rnacentral:lncRNA from 1 species
UAAAAACUACAUUUUAUUCAGAAUUUCUAUUGUAUAAGAAAUCUGCAUAAAUCAUCUCUGGAAGUUUCUAUUAUUAUUCCAUUCUACAGGAGACAAAACUGAAGCUCAGAGACAUUAAGGAAUUUGCCCAAGAUUACAUAGCUGGUCAGUAUAUGAGCUAGGAUUUGAACACAGAUUUUUAAGACUGCAUGCUCUUUUUUAACCACUGAACCAAAUCAUACUAUUUAUUUUUGUAGAUCAGGCAAAUGUGGAGAGUAUGAAAACAAGUAAUGGUUUCAUCAAAAUAUGCAUGUCAACUUUAUCCAUAGUAUUUGAAUGAGGGACAUUACAAGGCACUAAAAGUGUUGAUUUGUCAUAUACAUAUACAUACACACACACGCACACUUAGGCUAAACUAAUGGAACAGUGCAAACACAGGAAGGCAUAUGUAGGACAGAAAGGCUGUAUCAUGAGAUCAGAUGAUCUGAUUCUGUGGCCAUAAAGAGUUUCCUCCAGCCUUAUGAGUAAAGGCCUAUAUGGAUAACCCCAGACACUGCAAAGUAUUAGGUUGCUGCCUCCCUCUUCAGACUAAUCAAAUAGAAAUACUACUGAAAGCAAUGUGGUAUCCUGGUUGGAUCCUGGAACAGAAAAAUGACAUGAAUGGAAAAAUUAAUGAAACCUGAAAAAAGUUUAGAGUUUAGUUAAUAGUAAUGUACCAACAUUAAUUUCUCAGUUUUGACAGAUACACCAUAGUUAUGUAAAAUAUAAACAGUAGGGCAAACUGGGUGGAAGGAACACAGGAAUAUUGUACUAUAUUUUUUAUUUUUGAGGCAGGGUCUCGUUCUGUUGCCCAGGCUGGAGUGCAGUGGUGUGAUCACAGCUCACUGCAGCCUCAGUCUUCCUGGCUCAAACAAUCCUCCUGCCUCGGCCUCCUGAGUAGCUGGAACUACAAGCAUGCACUAAUACACUCGGCUAAUUUUUUAAUUUUUGUAGAGACGAGGUCUCACUAUAUUGUCCAGGCUGGUCUUGAGCUCCUGAGCUCAAACAAUUCUCCUGCCUUGGCUUCCUAAAAUGUUGGGAUUACAGGCAUGAGCCACAGUGCCCAGCCUGUACUAUCUUUAGAACUUUUCUGUAAAUCUAAAAUUAUUCCAAUAUACAAACAUUUUGUUUUAAACAUUAAGUAAAAUAUAAAUAUAAAUAUAAGAGAGAGGGAGGGGGAAAGCAAGAGCACAGUCCUAGAGGCCAGAAAAUCAUCUUGCUAGCCUCUUAAAUCCAUAAAGCAAAAUCAUGCAGGAUAAUUUUGUAAAUGCUUUUAUAUGUUACUGAUAUGGUAUACAGGUGUAAAAAAAAAAAAGAGCAGAAAAACAAUUCUCAAAGAUUAGAAUCGGCCGGGCACGGUGGCUCAAGCCUGUAAUUCCAGCACUUUGGGAGGCUGAGGCGGGUGGACCACGAGGUCAGGAGAUCAAGACCAUCCUGGCCAAUAUGGUGAAACCCUGUCUCUACUAAAUAUUCAAAAAAAUUAUCCAGGUGUGGUGGCGGGCGCCUGUAGUCCCGGCUACUCAGGAGGCUGAGGCAGGAGAAUGGCCUGAAUCCGGGAGGCAGAGCUUGCAGUGAGCAGAGAUCACACCACUGCACUCUAGCCUGGGUGUCAGAGCGGGACUCCGUCUCAAAAAAAAAAAAAAAAAAAAGAUUAGAAUCAUACAGAAGUUAGACUAAAAUCUUGCUUUGUCAAAAUGGCUCUCCAGGAAGCUUACCCUCUUGUGAGCACUUCAUUAGCAGGGAUUCCUUUUGCUAGGGAUGGGAAUGAGAAGAAUCUGCUGCCAGACACAAAAGAAGAAUUGAAAAAAAAAAAGGCAAAAAAUACCAUGUUAUUAGAAAAAGACUCAACAUCCUUACAUGUCAAUUUUCCCUAAAUAAAUCUGUAAAUUUAUUAACAACAUGUUUCCAACAGAAAGGCUGAAAUAAUUUUUUAGGGGAACUCAGCAAGCUGAUUUUAAUAUUCAUAAACAGUCUUGAGGCAAAUGGGCGGUGAUAUGGAAAAUAUCACUAAGUUGUUUUGUUUGUUUGUUUGAGACAAAGUUUCGCUUUGUCACCCGGGCUGGAGUGCAAUGGCAUGAUCUCGGCUCACUGCAAACUCCACCUCCCGGGUUCGAGCAGUUCUCCUGUUUCAGCCUCCCGAGUAGCUGGGAUUACAGGUGCACGCCACCACGCCCAGCUAGUUUUUGUAUUUUUAGUAGAGACAGAGUUUCAACGUGUUGGCCAGGCUGGUCUCAAACUCCUGACCUCAAGUGAUCCACCCAUUUCAGCCUUCCAAAGUGCAGAGAUUACAGGCAUGAGCCACCGCACCCAGCCCCAAAGCUGUUUUUUUACAUUAUAUGUCCCACUAAAAUAAAUUCCAGAUGUAUUAAAUAUACAUUCAUAUACAAAGUAGGUAAAAACAUAGAAAGAUGUUUUUAAAAAUCUAUUUUGGGAAAAGCCUCUUUAAGUAUAACAUAAAAAUCUUAAGUCAGAAAAGAUAAGAAAUGGAUAUCUGACUACAUAAAAAUUAAAACUUUCUGAAUAAAAAUAAAAAGUUUUCGUAUUUUACUUUAUUUUACUUUUUGUAUUUUACUUUGUAAUAUUCACAAAGUAAUAUUACAAACAUAUUUACCAGUUUGCUGUUUAUAUUUUACUUUACUAUACAGAGAAAAAUACAAACAGUAAACUGGUAAAUAUGUUUGUAACUCAUAUCCCGGAAAAAAAGUACUAACAUUAUCAAUACAUAAAGAGCAAUAACAAAUCAAUAAGGAAAGAAUAACAAACCAAUAGAGAAGUGAGCAAAGGAUAUGAACAUACAGUUCAGCAGAAUAGGAAAUACAUACUCAGGAGGCUAAGGCAGGAGGAGCACUUGAGGCCCAGAGUUUGAGGUUGCAGUGAACUAUGGUUGCACUCCAGCCUGGGCAACAGAGCAUGACCCCUAUCUCAAAAAAAAAAAAGGGAAAUAUAAAGAGCUCUUUAAACUUACGCAGAGAUGUUCAUCCUUACUUGUAUAAAAAGUACACAUUAAAAUACAUUGAGGCAAUAUUUUCACCUUAUGGACUGGCAAAGACAGAGAAAUUUGAUCAGUGUGAGGAAACAGGCACUCGCAUAUAUUUGUAGUGGAUGUAUAAAUUGGUAUGAUCUUUAUGGAAAGCAAUAUGGCAACACAAUUUCUAUCCAAGCCACAAAUGCUCAUACCUUCUCACCUAGUAAUUUCAAUUCUAAUAGUUUGCACUUCAUGCACAUUCUCACAAUUGGCAUGAUCUCGGCUCACUGCAAACUCCACCUCCUCACACAAACACAAGAAUAUUAAUUACCACAUUGUUGGUGCUAGCAAAAGAUUAAAUACUACCUAAAUAUCCAUCAAUAAACGACAGGUAAAAUAAACCAGAAAACAUCCAUAUAAUAGAAUACUAUGUUAUAGAUAAAAAGAUUGAAGCAGCUCUAGAGAGACUGAGAGUAAAAGGCUUCCAGAAUAUGUUAAGUUAAAAAGGCAAAUAAUGAAACAAUGAAUGGUAUGCUAUCAUUUGUGGGAGUGGGAGGGCAGGGGGAGGUGUAUAUAUAUUUAGAAAUGGAUAUAAAAUCUGAGUUUUGGUGAUGGAACUUCACAAGUUUUCUCUUUUGUCCUAAUUUUUUAAAUAAUGAACAGUAAUUCCAUUUUAAAUAAGAAAAAUAAACAAAGUUAAUUUUUUAAGGAACUCAAUCAAAUGCCCUAUAACUACCCAAACUCGUUUCUGGAAAGAGAAGAAAGUGAAAACAAAUAAAACCACCUGGUUCUUUAGGUCUCUCUCCCUGAUCCUAAGCAGUCCCCAUCCUCUCCCUGGGAAAACAAUGCAGUGUUAAACCCUCAAAGCCUCCCAGCUCAGUUGUUAAGGUAAUUGUGUUUACUCUUUUCCAAACAAAGUAAUUUGAAUCAGAAAAGUAAAUGUGCUCUGUCUUCAGGUUCUUUGAUGUCAUCUUCCUCCUUGCUCCAGAGUGUAUGAUGCCUGCCUGCUGCCCAGAGCAUUACACACAGAUUCUCUAAGCAUUGCCAUAGCUACACCAUUCUGCUUGGGAUAAUGAUGUAAAACAAAUAAAACAUAAGUAAAAUCGAAUUUGAAAUAAAACAAUAGGCCCUAAAAAACAUAAGCUGUGUAUGUUUUUUUCUUCCCUUUGAACACUUAUGCUGAUUAUGAAACUUUGGAGUAUUUUGAAAUUUCAGAACAAUUUUUAGUGUGCUAAAGCCCCAGAGGCAUGACUAUUUUCUUUCCUGAAAAUAACAUCUGAUCAAGGCCAAUGGUAUGUUUGAAACAUUAAGAGCCAGUGUUUGUACCUCUUAAGCCUAUCAGAUGAUUUCCCUCUAGAUGACCCUUGUUAAACAUCACAUCAGCUCUAAAUGUGAUUUUAGGAUUUUAGGUUCUUAAGACUCUGAAGCUGGUAGCUGUUCAGUCAUCCAGGCCGGAUCUAUGCAGGCAAAGGACGGAGUGGUUCAUGCUGUAUUAGAUGAAUUAUCUGAGUUAGCCAAAUAAAAUCCUCUGGGCUGUGGGCUACCUACUGUCUCCACUGUCCCAAACCACCCCACAGUCACUUCAUUCUUACUCUGGGAUGUCCUGGGUCUACUUGCCUGGAGCUUCAGCUUCUUUUUCCUGUUUUCCUCUUUUUAAGACUCCUUUGCUCUGCCUUUUUUUUUUGUAACAACACAUUUGGAGUUGGAAGUUACUUUAAGAAGACAAGAAAGUUAGGAAAAUAUUUAAAAUAAAUCUGCUAGAACGUCCCUUGCUCAUUUAACACCCAGGAGUUAAGCUUCUAUAAUGGCAUUUAAAUCCUUGGGUUUUUCCUUUUUUUUUUUUCAUUACUUUAUGUACUUGCAAUAAAAACAUUCCUUUAGACUUUAGAAAUUCUAAAUAAAACAAGAACAAAAGAAUGUUCCUUCUUUUCAACUCUCCACCCAAAUGUUACCAUUGUAAAUCAAGGUAGCAAAGUAAAUUAACUACUGGCAUUUAAAUGUUUGCUGUCCCAAAUAUUUAUUCCUUCCCACUCCCCCAAUUUGUUUUAUACAAAACAAUGCUCAUAAAAACAAUAAAUACUCAUUCUUUGUCUACUAAAAUUUUAGAUCAAAGUACUGUGUGGUCCAAAUCCUGAAUUGUAAAAAGUAAUGUUUGUUCAGCAGGAAGCCUUCAACUUCCCAACAGCAAUCUGACCAAAUUUGGUUUCCAAUUUUCUCUAAGCACUGAAGUGCUAGGUGUAGACAUAAUAAUAUGAUUCACUCCACAUUUGCAUAAUAUACUUUACAUCUGGAGUUUCAUUUACCCCUUAACUGCAUGAUGUGCUAGAAUCGGACGUAUUUUGGUGUCAAGAAAGACCUGAAUGUGCUGUCACUUGACGCUCUUAUGCAGCUACAAUUCAGUUUUGUCAUGGGUAACAACAAGAGGGUAUGUAUGCCUACUUCUCUGGGAUGCUGUGAUGAUUGGGUGAAAUAACACAUCCGUGGCUACUGCCCCACGGUGGGCCUGCCCACUGUUGCACAUGCCAUACCAUGUUGUUUUUCUGUGUUUGUAUAUUAGCAUCCCACCACUAGAAUGUCUACUCCUCUGGGAAAGAACUAGGACCCCCUCUCCACCUCCUUCUGCAGCCUCAGGGUAGCUUCCAUGUACAUUCUUAAAAACUGAUUUAAGCAUACUGAUUUUUGAAUUCUUUUCUUGGGCUCACAAAAAUUACUAUACCCCAUACCACUGCUCCCGAGCAAAAGGGCACUAGAGCCUUAUUUCCCCUGCCACAUUCCUACUUCUGGAGCCCUAUUCAGGCUGAACAUUUACAGGAGCUGUGAGAACCUCUGGUUCCCCCAGCCUCUAGCCCUGAACCAAGCUAGGUUGGCACAAACUAUCCCCACCUUUGCCAGCCCCAAACUGCCCAGUGCCUCACUGUCCUUCAUUCACUGCGCUUCAGCCCCAGCCCCACCCCCGCAUGAACACAUGCACAUCACUCCCAGGCGUAGAAUGCCAGGCAGUCCAUAGCUUUCCAUCCAGGCUCUUCCACAGCACUCACCACUCACACUUUUCUGCUGGCCUGAUUCCCUCUGCCCAGAGGGUGAGAACAGCUCUAUGUUUCCCUGAGGUGGAAGCCCUACCCCAGAGCUUUUGUGUGUGCCUUGUUCAGUGACAAAGUUGUCCCUGGGGACAUGCUCUUGAGUAACGAACUUGACAAACAACUUUAAAAUGACUACCAACAAUCCACUCUAGGGCAGAUUAUCCCAGGGUAGAUACACACUGCCCACCCCCUGCAAACUCUUUUGUGGUCCUAUAAUUGCCCUUGGGCUCAUCUUUCAGAGAGUAUGAGGAGAAAUGACUGAGGCUCUUUCAUAGUCUGGGUAAGUGGUUUUUGGUGAGGUGGACUACUCUCCUUCUAAAUUAUUCAGGAACGCAUACUGAUUGAAGCACUAUUGAGCAACCAGUUGUGCUAGUUGCUACAAGGGAGAUAAUUAUAAGACACAGCCCCUGCCUUCAGCAGCAUUAUUAGAGGCAGUAUAGGGCACAGGUUCCAAAUCCCAGCUCUGCCACAAACUAUCUGCAUGACCCUUAGCCUAGCUCUGAGUGUCAGUUUUCAUAUCUGUGAAAUGGAGAUACUCUACAGAUUGUUUCCAGGACUAGAAAUCACAUGUGUGAUACGCAGGGCAAGCAGUGAAUAGGGUGUAAAUGACAGGUGUUUGUUUCUGUUUUGUUUCAUUGUUUUCUGAAUGCUUGUUGAGAGGUGCAGUCCAUGCUCUCAGGAGACCUACGGACACAGCAAGGAAGAGGAGGCAAACACAUCACCUAGUACUAGAGUAGACUUCUCCACAGGGUAAAGUUCUAGGGUGGGGCCAAAGGAAGCUGCAGUCAUGUCUCCCUGGGGUGGGGAAGUCCUUCAUAGAAGAGAUGACACAAGCUAGACCAUGAAGGAUGUUUAAGCACAGCACAAGCGGUGAAGACUGGAAGGGCAUUUCAGAUGCAGGGAAAGCCUGAGAAAAGGCCUAGAAAACUGCACGGAGUUGAACACCUGGAGCCUAUGGUGAAAGCCUGGGCCCUGUGGUAUGACUUGUGUGGGAGAGGACUGAGGGAGAAUCAGAGGCAGAGCACAAAGUGAUUUCUUGUAAGCAACUGAGGCAGGCAGUUGCUAUUGAGCAUGUUUUUCUUUUGAUGAUCUUUAUGUAUUUUAAUUGUAAAAACAACAUAUGCUCAUUGUUAAAGAAAAAUUACAUAGUAAAGAAGUACAGAGAAUAAAAAGCAAAUGAUCCUGCCCCAUUCCCUACAGGUAAGAGUUUAAUGUUUACCCUUCUGGAUCUUUCAUUAGAGAGUAUUUUAGGCAGGAAUAGGCAAUGACCAGAUUUGUAUUUAAAAAAAAAUCACUUUGGGACCGGGCACAGUGGCUCACGCCUGUAAUCCUAGCACUUUGGGAGGCCGAGGCAGGUGGAUUGCCUGAGCUCAGGAGUUCAAGACCAGCCUGGGCAACAUGGAGAAACCCUGUCUCUACUAAAAAUACAAAAAAUUAGCCGGGCAUGGUGUUGCGUGCCUAUAAUCGCAGCUACUCAGGAGGCUGAGGCACAAGAAUCGCUUGAACCCGAGAGGCGGAGGUUGCAAUGAGUCGAGAUCAUGCCAUUGCACUCCCACCUGGGCGACAGAGUGAGACUCUGUCUCAAAAAAAGAAAAAAAAAUCACUUUGGGUAGAAGGUAGUGGACGGGGUGACUGAAACCAGGGAGACUCCCCAAGUCAUGGGGCAGUUCUUUCAGAGAGACAGUGAGAGUCUGUAUGUACUGAGGCAGCGCUGGGGGCGCUUGGUUCCUCACCCAUCAUGCAGGUGAGGGAGUGAGAGGAAUUAUAAAUGACACCCUGGUUUUGGCUUAUAUGAAUGAAAUUAAAUGUAUAGAAGAACCAGAGGUUUGCAGGGGGAAAUUAUGAGGAUAGUUUUGGGCAUGAUGAGUUUCAUGUGGCCAUCAGACAGGCAGAAAAGUAUGUCCAAGGUCUGGGGCUUAGGAGAGAAAUGUGGCUUAAAGAAGCAGAUGUGGAAUACUUUUCAUGAGGGGGAGCUCACUGAGGGAGAACCAGGGGAAGGCCUAUAUUUAAGAAGCAAGAAGAAACAAGAGACCUUUCCAGGGAGACGGAGAAGGAGCAGACAGAGGAGGAGAAAGAGGAGAACAGUGUGAUGGCGAAUAGGAGAGAACUUCAGGAAGGAUCGGGGCAUCAAAUGCUGUUCAGGGAACAAGGAGUCCGACGGAAGUGAGGGCCAGCUUUGCUCGUAGCAGUCAUCAAGGAAGGGGCUGACAGUGGAGCAGGUUCAGUGCUUUGUUUAUAUUAUCAGAAAAAGGCAGGGAGGAAAUACGACACAAUGUCCGCGAGUGUUACUUCUAGGUGUUCAGAUGACGAUGAUUGCUAUUUUCUUCUGUCCCCAGUAAAAGGGUGAGGGAGGAAGAUGAAAGUACCACAUUCCAAAAGAAAACCCUUUAAAAUUACACAGAUGAAGCAAGUUUAUUCAACCUGCUUAAGCAUUUAAAGUCUUAAGAGAAGAUACCAGCUUUAUGAGGAAUAUGGCAUAAAACAAUACAGUUGUUACGUAUUACUGCUUGCCAUUUUGUACAGGCCGCACAUGAAGCACAGUGUGAAACUUUCUGGUUCUUCCAAAGAUCCUCCAGAGCUAGCUCAGGAACUCACAGCAGGUUUUUCCCCAAGCUUCAGCCAUGUGUGUCUAUGAUUUUUGCCAUAUCUCUUUACCACCAGUCUUAUUAUAAGCAUUUUAUUUAAACCAAUUGGUUUAAAUAAAGUAGUUCUUACAUGAAUCCAGUUAUAUCACAAUAGUAAAUGGAAAAUCUAAUAUCACAAUAAAUAGUAGGCAAUUAAAAAAUAAAUAUAAUGAAGGGGAAAAAAACCCUCUUAGUAUAAAUUCUAGCAAGAUUCUCUCAACAACUCGAGGUUUCUAGCCUGAGACCUGAUCUAGCUCUCUGGUAAAAAGGGAAAUAAACAGGCACUAGAAAUGGUUAAAGAUUUGCAGGUACUGUAGUUCAAGUUUUCCCAGAAGCAAACCUGUGACUAGAAUUCAGUUGCAAUUAGUUUACUUGCGAGGUGAAGGAAAUGUGGAAACACAAUGAAGGAGGUGGGAAGUGAGGCAGAAAAGAGAAGGAAGCAAUUGAAUAACAUAUUAUCAAGCCAGCUCUCACUGUGGACAACUAGAGCUUCAUCCCUCUGAGGAAACUCAGGGAGCCAGUGUAAAACACACCUCAGAAUUCGCCUACACAAAGAAUGAGAGAGACGGGGUAUUUAUACACCAACUGCUAUUAGUCACUUGUUGAAGGUCAAUCCCUAGGACAUUAAUUCCCCAGCAUUCCUGGGUUGCCUUGUGGGCAGCAAAGCAGGUCUCAUAGUCAAGAGAAGGCCUUGGGCAAAGAAUAUAAGGGCUGUAGGUGUAACUCUGGCAGGCAUACACCCACUUGAUAAAGGUGAAAAGGUAUGGGCCAGGUUCCAACAGAGGCUGCUACAGGUACUAGACUGAUAGAGAAUAGAAAAGGAAAUAGUUUUCUCAUGAUUUGAGUGAAAAUAAUUUAUUGCUAGUCCUGUAAAUCACUCAAAAUCAUCUCCCAUACCACCAAGCCAAGGCUCCCCAACCCCUGGAAACCUUCAAAUACUCUUGUAAGGCCUGAAACAGCUCAGCAAGGAUAAAGCCUGGCCCAACAACUGUCCUGAGGGGCCUGGUGGAAUUCCAUCCAGGCCACUGAAAAACAGAACUUUUCAGAUAUUUUGUUUACUCUUCUCCCUAUCAAUUAGAAAUAGCUUCAUAAUACCUGCCUGCUCAAUAGAGCAUUCCAAAAGAGUUGUCUCUAGAGAAGCAGGUCACAUUGACAACACAGACAAAUUAGAGUAUGACUGUUUACUUUUAAAUGGAACUUUUACCUUUAAAAAAGGGCCAUCAAAUGCCUUCUAAUAACAGCUUCCCUGAUUUGUUUAAAAUAUGAUUUAUUGUUUAUAUGUAUAUUAAGCUAUAUCCAUUUAGGAGAUCACAACAAUAACAAGAGGUAAAGUAUAUAGGUACUAUGUGCUACGAUACUUUUGUGUAUGUAUUUUUGUAGAUAUUCUUUCAUUCAACAAACAUUUAUUGGAUUCUAUCUGCAAGUCAGGAACUGUUCUAGGUGCCUAGAUUUAUAGCAAUGAAGGAAACAGACAAAAAUCCCUUCCCUCCAGGGAAUUACAUUCUACUAGGGAAGACAGUCAAAAAAUAAAAAUAAAUGAAUAAAAUACAUAGGAUGUCAGCUGGUAAUAAGUACUACAAAUAUAGUGAGAGACGAGGAUAAAGAGUACCAACAGCUAGGGGAGGAGUUAUAAUUUUAAAUAGGGUGAUCAGGGAAGACCUUACUGACAAGGGAUAUUUGGAAAGACCUGCAGGAGGUGAGGGAGUGAGCCAUGUGAAGAUCUGGGGAAACAUUACUACGAAGAAAGGAAAUAGCCUCUGCAAAGAUGCUGGGGUAAGAACAUGCCCAAGAUUUGAGAAAGCAAAUAAACUCAAGUGGCCAAUGCACAGAAAGCAAGGGGAACAGUGAGAGAUGAGAUCAGAAAAGUAAGAGGUGGGUGUAGAUCACACAGGAUCCUGCAGAACAUUGGGAAAUGGUAAGCUGCUGGGGCAUUCUGAGCAGAGGAGGGACAUAAACUGACCUAAGUUUGUAAACCAAAAAAAUGCCAAGCCCCCCAACUGACUGUAUGGACCCCCUCUGUGCCAAGGGGAUCCCAGAGAAACACGAAAAACUGAAUUCCCAGCCAUAAGAGGAAGGGACGUCAGGCAUGCCUGGUUAUACCCCUCCCUUCUAGAGUUUAGGACAACUGACCAGCAUUAACACUGAAAUAGAGAUCAUAAGACUGACAGAAACAGACUCUUUGUGGCAAUAAGUUACCAAAUUCCAACCUGAUUCUGAUAUAGCAUCACAUGAGAUAGAAGACUCUGAAGGAAAUAAAGUGAUUUUACCCUAAAAUAUAUUUCUUUGACAUAUUUUGAAAUGGCCCUAGAAAGCCCUCUCUCGGGGAAAUUUGCAUCUCUAGAAAAUCUCCUUCCCUUUCUAGUUUUUCCUGGAUCUAAAAGGGACUAAAGGAGAGUUUUGUUUCGAAAAGUUUUGAAAAGAGACAUUUACCAUCUAUUCUAAGGCUGUUACCUGGAGGUUUAAUCUAAAUAACAAGAACCUUGGAUUUCACAAUCCUCCCCGCAUCUUGACUCUAGCGUGUCUUUGUACUGACUUCAAGUCUAGACAAAGCUUAACUUUUUCAACCAAUUGUCAAUCCGAAAAUCUUUGAAUCCGCCUGUGACCUAUAAGUAACCCCCUCAUACUAUGACGUGUCCUGCCUUUUGGGGCCAAACCAAUGUAUACCUUGCAUGUAUUGAUCUAUGUCUUUGUUGAUAUCUUCUGUCUCCCUAAAAUGUAUAAAACCUAACUGCAGCCAGACAUGCAGCUCACACCUGUAAUUCCAAAACUUUGGGAGGCCAAGGCAAACGGAUCACUUGAGCCCAGGAGUUUGAGGCCAGGCUGGGCAACAUGGCGAGACCUCGUCUCUACAAAAAAUACAAACAUUGGCCGGGCGCGGUGGCUCACGCCUGUAAUCCCAGCACUUUGGGAGGCCGAGGCGGGCGGAUCACGAGGUCAGGAGAUCGAGACCACGGUGAAACCCCGUCUCUACUAAAAAUACAAAAAAUUAGCCGGGCGCAGUGGCGGGCGCCUGUGGUCCCAGCUACUCGGGAGGCUGAGGCAGGAGAAUGGCGUGAACCCGGAAGGCGGAGCUUGCAGUGAGCGGAGAUCGCGCCACAGCACUCCCGCCUGGGCGACAGAACGAGACUCCGUCUCAAAAAAAAAAAAAAAAAAAAAAUACAAACAUUAGCCAGGCAUGGUGGUGUGUGCCUGUAGUCCCAGCUACUCAGGAAAUUGAGGUGGGCAGAUCACUUGAGCCCACAAGGUGGAGGAUUUAGUAAGCCAUGAUCGUGCCACUGCACUCCAAAAAAUUGUAACCCAACCACGUGGACAUACUUUCUCAGGACCUCUUAAUACUGUUCCCCAGGCCUGGGUCACUCAUAUUGGCUAAGAAUAAACCUCUUUAAAUAUUUUACAGAAUUUGGCUUGUCAUCAAUAGUUUUAAGAUCACUCUGUGAGCUUUGCAGACAAUAGCAGGUACAGCAUGGUAGAAACAGGGAGACCUGUUAGGAGGCUAUGAUAAAUAUCUAGAUGAAAAAUGAUUGCAGCUUGAACUAGGCUGGUGAGAAGUAGCUGGUUCUGGUUAUAUUUCACAGGGAAAUAAUUUGUAGAUAAGGCUGGGGGCAGUGGCUCAGGCCUAUAAUCCCAGCACUUUCGGAGGCCAAGGCGGGUGGAUCACCUGCGGUCAGGAGUUCAAGACCAGCCUGGUCAACAUGGUAAAACCCUAUCUCUACUAAAAAUACAAAAUAAAAAAUUAGCUGGGUGUGGUGGUGCACGCCUGUAAUCCCAGCUACUCAGGAGGCUGAGGCAGGAGAAUCGCUUGAACCCGGGAGGCAGAGGUUGCAGUGAGCAGAGAUUGUACCACUGCACUCCAGCCUGGACGACAGAGCAAGACUCUGUCUCAAAAACAAUAACAACAACAAAAGAAUUUGUAGAUAGAUUGGAUGUGGGGAGUGAGAGAAAGAGAAGGGUGAGGAUGGCUCUAAAGCUUUUGGCAUGAGCAACUGAAAUAAUAGAUCUGCCAUUUCCUGAGACAGAGAAGACUAUGAAGGAACAGAUUUGGGGAAAGAUCAUAAGUUGGGUUUUGGACAUGCUGAAUUUCACAUACCUAUUAGACAUCAAAUAGAGGUUUGUAGGCAGCUGUAUAUGUAAGUCUGUAAAUCUGGGGCUAGGUCUAGGCCAAAGAUGUAACUCAAUGUUGUUAGCAUUUAUAAUAUAUUCAGAGGCAUGAGACUGGAUGAGGUCAUCAGGAAAUGAAUUAGAUAGAAAAGAGAAGGGGGUGAGAGACUGAGCUGUAGGGGCACUCCACCAAAUACAUAGAGGUCAGGAAGACAAAACAAGCAAAGGAGACUAACGAAGAGCCAAGGAGAUCCGGAAAGAACCAGAAGCUGAUGGCAUCCUGGAAGUAAGGGAAGAAAGCGUUUGAAGAAAGUGUAAUCAACUGUGUCAAAUGCUGAUGAUGGGUCAAAUAAGGGGGACGAGAAUUGACCAUCAGAUUUAGCAGUUUUGGUGGAGAGCUGGGGCAAAAAGCAUGCCUGGAAUGUGGUCCAAAGAGAAGGCAGAGGAGGAAUGUAUGUUCAUUUGCUACCCACUUUGUGCCUAUGAUUUCAGUACUGCUUGGAACCUAAAGAAAUGUCUAAUUAUUUCCUUGACAAAAUAAAGCACGAUUGAAUAUUAGCUCUUUUUGAAUUAAUUAAUUUGGGUUUAAAUAAAGUUUUUCUUCAACAGUGUUUUACCUAAGUUAUUUAAAUGAUUGGUGUAAUUCUCUACUUUUCACAUGAACAAAAUAUUGGCUACAUACUACAGUAUGUGGGGUAGAUGUGAUGGAUAUUCUGCAUAUGUAGUCUCUAUGGUAAGUUAAUGAAUGUUUUAUGUAAGUCAGUAAGUCUCUCCUCUGUUCUCUUCUGGUGAGGCACCAAUAAUCUGGAACAUGAGAAAAAGGAGACAGUAGAAAGAAAAGAGGAGUAAGCAAUACUUCUGAAUUUUCUCCAACCUGAAUGAUGGAGUUAGUUCUAUUUUAAUCCAGUGUCAACAUAAUAGAUGGACACAAAGUCAAUUCAUCAGUGUUCACAGUGAGGCUUGCAGCAUAAUUACUGAGUCAUGGCACAAUGUAAAUUGAGUUACCAAAAUAAAAAAAAGAAAUUGUCCCCUUUUUCCUUUUAAAUUAAAUCUUGUGUCAUGUUCCUGGUCAGAUCUGGAUACAAUUCUGAGUUUUUAACUAUAUAAAUUAGUUGUAAUGUCUGCAAUACCACUCUUAUUUGAUUGCAAAUUCCUCUUUCAUCUCACCAAGACUAGAGGAAACUAUAAAGAAAUAGGAUAUCACUCAUCUUCUGAUUAACUGAAAGUGAGGGCAGAGUUUUAUUCAAAGGAUCAUAUUUCUGGGCUAGAAAUAUAAUUAUUAUUGCUUUAUUUCUUUUUCUUUUCUUUUUCUUCUUUUUUUUUCUUCAAUAAAAAAGGAGCAGAAAGAGACAUUACAGCUGAAAUAGAGUUACUUCCAUGAAAUGUUUCUUCCACAGUGCUGGGAGCCCUAAGAUAACAGCCUUGUAUUCAAAUGUGAGAGGCAGAAAAUGUAAUUCACUUGAAGCAUUAAGUGAAACAGAAUAGUUUUUUUUUAAAUCAUCCACAGUAAGUGAAAUAUUCUUAGUAAAUAAUGUACAAUGUCCAUUUGAUUUUCAAUAUUUUUUCAAUUUGCAACCAAGAAAUAAAUAGACAUAAUGACAAUGAUUUUCAUUUAAAGCUCAUUGUUGCUAUUAUUGGAAUAAUGAAUAUAAUUAAUCAUAGAGCAUUAACUCUUAUAUAGAAAACAAACAGGCUUAUCUUGGUUUACAAGUGAGUGAAAGAGAUAAAAGUAAAUAUUUAGUUAUUAAGUAAACUCUCUCUCCUGCUUUACUUCUUAGAUUGUACCUUAUCUAAUUGCUGUCUGUCCAACUGAUAUUCUCAUAGAAAUUAACCUUUUUUACUUUAAUUUUCAGCUCACUUAUUUCUAACUUACGUAGCCACCAGGCAAAGGCAUUUCUUACUCAGGUGACCUUCUGGCACCAAUUCACCACUUUGGGCACCAAAUCAUCCCUCCUAUCAAUUCUAAUUCCCUUCAUUUUCAGGGGUCAAACUAUGAAAUUCUCAUAGCAAACCAGUGGAAACAGUUUCUCAAGUGAUUUCACACCCCACAUGCUGUAGGGUUGACGAAGAGAGCAGGAGGGAUGAAACGCACAGGGGCGCAACAGCAAGCAGCUCAAGAGUGUUUUGUGGGCCAUACUUGGAGUAGAUCCUUAACGUUGUUUUCGCAUUAUUGUUUUUAUUUCCCUCACAGCAUGCAAUGUCUUUUUGGACUACCAGGCUAGUAAUCCCAGAAGUCAUCUGACCUGAACCAUGUUGCAAUCCAUUCCAUAGUCCUCUUUAGGACAAUUUUAACCUAUGUAUUGAUCACAUUGUUUUGGCAUGGACCUUUGAGCCCAUAUUUAAGUUAAUUAAAUUUUUCCCUUCCUGGAAGUUGAGGUUUAUCUUCACCUUAGAAACAGAGAGGAAAGAGAAAGAGAAAAAGAGAGAGAGAGAAAGAGAGAUGAACUUCAGCUAUUUCACAGUAAGGGGGAAAAAAAUACAUCCUAUCUGUAUUUUUUAACACUUCCCACAAAAGAAAUUCAGGAAAUGCUAUCUUUUUUACAGUAAGUACAAUAUUGUGCCACAGCCAAAAGAUGUUCCUGUUUGCUGUGUUCAACCACAUGUUGAACCGACAGAGGCCAGAGGAAUGCUAAGCCUAGAAGGUAUGUGCAGGGGGCAUGCACAAAUCCACGUUGCUCUCCUGCGCUUCUGCACCCACCAAAGAGCCUCAUGUUCCCAAGUCUCUGGCACACAGCUGCCUCUGGAAAUCACCCCAUCAGGUCCUUAGUCACUUGCUCCCCUAAUACCCUUCCCCAAACAUCCAUGUCUGGAGCAAACCAAGACCUCUUCCGACUGUCAGUCGUUAAGACAACAGACAUUUCACUUACUACAAUGAAAAACAGUUUAUAAUACAAAUUAUUUCAUGCAAUUUACUUGGUCAGUGUUUCAAUUCAGCACUUUGAUAGCCAAUCCAAUAACCUGAGUUCCAUUUCUCUCCUUCCUAUUAAGUACAUUACAGUAUUAGCAUGUUUUCUAGAAAGGGAUACUCUAAGGUGACAAGUUGUUCAGAUAGAGAAAAUAAAUUACAGAGUUAAGGAAUAUAUCCGAAGCAACCAGCAAGAAAACCACAAACUACCAACAAAUGUCAUUUCACCAAAAAUGUAGCUUAAGAAGUUGCUUUGAAAUAAGUUCAUCCCAUAGGGGAAAUUUCUGGGAUGACUGAAAUGUUCUAUAUCAUGAUGGAGUGAUAGUUUCACAGGUGUAUAUAUUAAUCAAAACACUCUGGGGAGUCUUUCAGAAUCACCUGUGACUCUCAGAGCUGCCCGAUUUAAAACACACACACACGUGUGUAUUUGUAUACUUUGUACACUUAAGACCUACACAUUUCAUUGUGUUUAAAUUAUUACCUUAAAAAAAAACAGCCCAUCUUUCUGAUCAUUAUAAACCAGGGGUGUCCAAUCUUUUGGCUUCCCUGGGCCACAGUGGAAGAAGAAUUGUCUUGGGCCACACAUACAAUAUACUAACAAUAGCCGAUGAGCUAAAAAAUAAAAUAAAUCAUAAUGUUUUAAGAAAGUUUACGAAUUCAUAUUCAGCUGCAUUCAAAGUUGUCCUGGGCCAUAUGUGGGCUGUGGGCCAUGGGUUGGACAAGCUUGCUAUAAACUGUCAGAGCCCUUUUAUAUUGACCUCUGCAUGACCAGCAGGUGGCCCUGAAAUUGUGUCUGCUAUAAUGCAGUGGCUCCAAUACUGCCCCCAGUUCCUGAUACUCUUCUUCUGUGAUUUACUAAUUUUUGUUGUCAAAAUUACCCAAGAUCAGCUCUUUCACUUUUUAAGAUAUUUUUAUCACAUAACAUUUAAAAUUAUAUUUUAUUACUUUAAAAAUGUUGGUUCAUUGCAUAUAAAAUUUUCCAAAUGCAGCCAGGUGCGGUGUCUCAUGCCUGUAAUCCCAGCAUUUUGGGAGGCUGAGGCGGGUGGAUCACCUGAGGUCAGGAGUUUGAUACUAGCCUGGCCAACAUGGUGAAACACCGUCUCUACUAAAAAUACAAAAAUUGGCCGGGCAUGGUGGCGCACGUCUGUAAUCCCAGCUACUCAGGAGGCUGAGGCAGGAGAAUCGCUUGAACCUGGGAGGCAGAAGUUGCAGUGAGCCGAGAUUGUGCCACUGCACUCCAGCCUGGGUGACAGAGUAAGACUCUGUCUCAAAGAAAAAAAAAAGAAAUUUCUAAAAGCACAAACAAUAAAAAACUCAAUAAAAAAUCUCCACUAUUCAGAGAAAACUACUAUUAGUAUCUUACUGUCUGUCCUUCCAGAUAUAGUCAACAGAUAUUGACUAAGUGCCUACUUUGUGCCAGGAAUUGUUCUAGACAUCAGAUAUACUGAGGUAAACAAAACAGUGCCCCUGCUCAUAGAGUUUACAUUCUAAUAAAUGAUCUGUAAACAUAAACUUUUUAAAAUGAGGUAUGAUUGCAUUUAUUCUCUUAUAACUUUAUUUUUUAACUUAGCAAUGUAUCACUAAUAUCUUCAUGUGAAUAAAAAUAAUUGAGCAUCAUUAUCAAAGCUGUGUGGUAUUUCACCAUCAAGCUAUAUUAGAAUUUCACAAAUCCACAGCUAGACCUUUCCAAGUUUUUCAAAGUUAUAAACGCUUCUUUUUCUUCCUCCUCGUCUUCUUCUUCCUCUUCUCCUCUUCCUUUCUUCUUUUUCUCCUUCUUCCUUCUCUUCCCUGCUCCUCGUUUUCUUCUCCUUCUUCCUCUUCUCCUCUUACUCCUUCUCUUCCUCUUCUCUUCCUCUUUCUUCUUUCUCUUUUUCUCCUUCUUCCUUCUCUUCCCUCUUCUUUUCCUCUUCCUCUUCAUCUCCUCUUCCUCUUUCUCUACUUUUCUCCUUCUUCUUCCUUCUCUUCCCUCCUCCUCCUUUCUUUUUCUCUUUUCCUCUUCCUUUUUCUUCUUCCUCUUCUCCUCUUCCUUUUCUCCUUAUUCUUUCUCUUCCUCCUUGUUUUCUUCUCCUUCUUCUUCCUCUUCUCCUCUUACUCCUCCUCUUCCUCUUCUCUUCCAUUUUUUUCUCCUUCUUCCUUCUCUUCCUUCCUCCUCUUCAUCUCCUUUUCUUCCCCUUCUCUUCCUUUCUUCUCUUUUUCUCCUUCUUUCUCUUCCCUCUUCUUUUUGCUUCCUCUUCUCCUCUUCCUCUUUCUUUUUCUCCUUCUUCUUCCUUCUCUUCCUUCCUCCUCCUCCAAUUCUUUCUUCUUGUUCCUCUUCUCCUCCUCUUCUUCUUCCUCUUCUCUUCCUCCUUCUUUUCUUCUCCUUCUUUCUUCUUUUUUUUUUUUUUUUGAGGUGGGAUCUCACUCUGAUGCCCAGGCAAGAGUGCAGUGGCAUGAUCAUAGCUCACUGAAGCCUCAAACUCCUGGGCUCAAGUGCUCUUCUUGCCUUAGCCUCCUGACUAGCUGGAACUACUGGCGCACACAACCACAUCCAGCUAAUUUAUUUUAUUUUUAGAGAUGGGGUCUUGCUAUGUUGACCAGGCUGGUCUUGAAUUCCUGGCUUCAAGCAAUCCUCUUGCCUUGAUUCCAAACUGCUGGAAUUACAGGUGUGAGCCACUGUGCCCAGCCUACUCUCUGUACUUCACUGAAAAUCUAUGGUUCACUUUUAUUUUUAUUUUUUUUCUUGAGAUGGAGUUUCGCUCUUGUCACCCAGGCUGCAGUGCAAGGGCAUGAUCUCAGCUCACUGCAACCUCCUCCUCCUGGGUUCAAGCAAUUCUCCUGCCUCAGCCUCCUGAGUAGCUGAGAUUACAGGCGCUUGACACCACGACCAGCUAAUUUUUGUACUUUCAGUAGAGACAGGGUUUCAUCAUAUGGGCCAGGCUGGUCUCGAACUCCUGACCUCAGGUGAUCCUCCUGCCUUGGCCUCCCAAAAGUGCUGGGAUUACAGGUGUGAGCCACCGUGCCUGGCCUAUGGGUCAUUUUUAGUCACAGUAAGGAUAGUAUGUUUAUGUAAUACUUCUCUACCAUAAAAGCAUAUCAAGGCUUUAGAGGUACAUCUCUCAACAAACAGUCUUUACCCAUUUCUUCCAGAAAAUGACCCUGCUCUUUUGUUCAUCUUCCUCCUCUUAUUGCAUCAGGUUUAAAUCUCUGAAAUGGAGGGGAAUGACUUUUGCAACUAAAAGAAUUUGCUAGGCCUAAGGCUAAUGCCUUAUUAAAGCAUUUUAGUGAAAACUCAAGGCAUAGGACAGAAUAGACUUACUAUUAUAUCUGGCCCAUGUGUACCAAGAAGCAGUUCAGGAAUUGUACCUGAAAAUGAAAUCUGUAGUGGGAGUAGGCACUCUCCAUGGUAUAUAUUUCUGGAGAAACUUUUGAUCCUGGAUGACUCUUAUAGAAGUGCAGGUUUGGCAGUUUUACAGGGAGGAGAAAGUUAUUCUAGAGAAUAUGAUACAGAAAACCUUCAACUUAUGUAUUUCCUAAAGUUCAAUGGUAAAUCUAUUAUUUACAAUGUAGAAAAGUACUCAACUCAGCAACACACGAGAACCACAACUAUUCAUUGCACACCUCUCUUAUGGGCAAAGCACUGUUAUAAUACACUUAAAAUGAUUAUAAUCUCAAGUUACUUCACCAAGACUUAUUUCACCCUCCAAUAAGUUGAAAGUCUGAAUUUGCCAUGAAAAAUAGUAUAUAACAAUAUAUUGUUAUGAUAUUCUUUGAUACAUUUUUGAUCAACUACUGUUUUGAGGGAAAUGUGUAAGGCAAUAUGGGGGUUACAAAGAUGAAUCUGACAAAAACUUGUCAUUAAACAGUUGACUGACUGCAUACAGUAGCCUCUAGCCACACUCAAGCACUCAAAAGGUGGCCAGUUAGAACUGAAUCGUGCUGUAAGUUGCUGGGCGCGGUGGCUCACGCCUGUAAUCCCAGCACUUUGGGAGGCCGAGGCAGGCAGAUCACGAGGUCAGGAGAUCGAGACCAUCCUGGCUAACAUGGUGAAACCCCAUCUCUAUUAAAAAUACAACAACAACAACAACAAAAAAGCCGGGCGUGGUGGCGGGCGCCUGUAGUCCCAGCUACUCGGGAGGCUGAGGCAGGAAAAUGGCGUGAACCCAGGAGGUGGAGCUUGCAGUGAGCCGAGAUCGUGCCACUGCACUCCAGCCUGGGCACAGAGCAAGACUCCGUCUCAAAAGACAAAAAAGAAAAAAAAAAGAACUGAAUCUUGCUGUAAGUAAACUGCACUGAAUUUCAAAGACUUAAUAUGAAAAAAGAAUGUAAAAUCUUUCAUUAGUAAGUUUUCAUAAUGAUUAUAUAUUAAAAUGGUAAUAAUUUCAACAUUUGGGUUAAAUAAAAUGUAUUAUUAAAAUUAAUUUAAUCUGUUUCUAGCUUUUUAAAAUUACAUAUGUGACUUGCAUUAUAUUUCAUUUGGCAGUGCUGAUCUGCAUAAUUACAGUUAUCACCUACUGAGUGUAUCUACUGUAUGCCAGGUAAUUUUAUAACAAUUAUUUGUAAUCUUCCAUAAGGGAAGUAUUCCAGAUAAGAAACCUGAGGUUGUCAAAGGCAUGUUAAUUUAUUCUUCUACACACCUUGCUAGUAUAUUUUCUAUGCACCAAGAGCUGCCACAGGAAGUAAGGAUAAAACAAAGCAAAGUCCCUACCCUCAUGGAACUUAUGAACCAGUGGGAAAGAAAGCUAAUUAGUAAGUAAGUAUAAAAAAUAGGCCAAGCAGUGACAGUAAAAGAAGAUGAAGUCCAUAAAAAAAAUGGAGAGUGACCGGAAUUGGAGUGAAGGCAGAAGGUUUGGGGGGAUGGCUAUUUUUUAAGAUAACAAGCUCUAAGGAGGGACUAUCUGAGCAGAACCUGAAUGAAGUCAGGGAGUGAGCCCUGUGAACAUCUACCUGGCCAGGAGCUUCUGGGCAGAGGCAACAAGGACUGAGGUGUAUAGUGUGUGUGUGUGUGUGUGCAUGUGUGUGUGUGUGUGUGUGUGUGUACACGUGCGUGCAUGUGCUUUGCACUCUGAAGGAACAGCUGGAGAGCCAGUGGUGCUAGAGAGCAGUGAGCAAGAGGAAGCCAGGUAACAGCUCACAUAGGGACUUGGAAGCCACAAGUAGGAAAUGUUAAAGGAUGACUUUGGCUGCUCUAUGAGGCAUGGACUAUUGUGGGGCAUGCAUGGAACCCAGCAAGAACGGAUGCCAGAGCACUUUGAGAGGUCAAGGUGGGUGGAUUGCUUGAGGUCAGGAGUUCAAGACCAGCCUGGCCAACACAGCAAAACCCUGUCUCUACUAAAAAUACAAAAAGCCAACUGUGGUGGUGCACACCUGUAGUUCCAACUACUUGGGAGGCUGAGGCACGAGAAUCACUUGAACCUGGGAGCCGAGUUCACACCACUGCACUCCAGCCUGGGCGAUAGUGGGAGACUGUCUCGGAAAAAAAAAAGAAUGAAAGCCAGAGACUCAUUAGGAGGCAACUGCAAAGGUGCAGGACAGGGAGGGCUAACAGUGAGAGAGUUAGAGCUUCAACAAGGUCUGUCUUACUCAGCCACUGUGAGAUACAAAGCAAAACAAUGUAAAAAAUUAUCCUAGUAAUUUGAACUGCAAAAAUCAAAUAUCUCGGUAAUUCAAAUGAAUCUCAAAAUAUAUUUGGGAGUCUGGGGUUAUCAGAACUGGCAGUCAAAAAUUACCGUCUAACCUCAUAGGAUAGUAGUUUAUCUCUGUCCUUUGCUUUCUGCCAAUUUAACCUAAGGGAAGUGGACUUGAGAUCUGUUAAUUGGCAGAGCGGGACUGCAGGACCUUUAAGUCAAAUUCAGAUGAGGCAAAUUAGCUUUAUUUUGGCCAAAGAAAAGUGUUUGGUGGAGCCAGAUGACAAUUUUGUAGCCUAAACUAUUUGCACUGGCUGUCUCUACCAUCUGAAUUCACUCCCAUCGUUGUUAAUUCUGAGUUUAAGCGUAGCCAUACAAGCAAGACAAAGCUAAGGAAGGAACUAGAAAUUGGCUGUGUCUUGGAUAAAUGUAUAUAUGAGUACAGGUAACCUCACUCAAGGAGUCUGUUUUUAUGGACAGAAGUGCUUUAAAACAGAAAGCAUCCUCAAGGUCAAAUGUCAUACAGGCCAAGUUCUUCCUCUGAGAGGUAAAUAAGGAUUUAAAGCAGUUACCCAGUUUCAAAUGAAAACAAAUACAAACCAUUCCCAAGGACACUCAAAAGUCAUGUCAUGAGAAAAAGGAGGCUCAAUCCUGAUGCUCUAGGUUGGUUUAUUUACUUUGAUGGAACUCACUGGAAAAUUCUUCAACUCCACGCUUCACUGUGCCUGUGUAGGAUGUGUUUUCUGGGCAUUGGAUGUAGAUCUUGUCAAUCAGGUACUUUCCUGGAGCACUAAAAUGUACAGAUUACACACAUCAAAGGCAGGCUGCAACCACUGUAGCUGAAAUUUACACAAAAUCUAUGCGGCUAGUAACUGGAUAAACAAUGAGACUAACGACCUUGUUCUGCAUUAAUCUCCCUAUGGCUCAGUUGGUACUGCAAGAAGGUUGUGGCUUUGGCUUCUAGCCUCAAACCAGGCAUUACGUGCUUGCCCAAUGCCAACAGAGCCCAGGAAGCCUGAGAAUAUAGCCCCAGUCCAUCCAUUUUAUGAGGUACAUUUACCACAAUUCAAGAAACACAUCCAUUACCAUAUCCACCCAGGAAAGAGAUUUAUAAAAAUAAGUAAAUUCCUUGGCCCUGCCUCCCCUUUCAGGGAGUUUAUUUUCUUAUAGAAGGCCUCAGGUUUUCCUUAAGUGUUUUCAGGGUUUCUCCAUUGCCCCCCAAAAGCAAGAUAGAAUCCUUGAACUAUCUUCCUCUUUUGGCCAAGAAUAAAUUUCAAAAAGGCUGCAUCUGUAAAGAAAAGAGAAAGGAAGAAUUGAAGUUGACCAGUGAACUUGAUCAGCAUCCACUUUUAAUUUAGGACAUUUGGGAAAAGGUACAUUGAAAAUAGAAGGUGCUUGGCCGGGCGCGGUGGCUCACACCUGUAAUCCCAGCACUUUGGGAGGCCGAGGUGGGCGGAUCACCUGAGGUUUGAAAUUUGAGACCAGCCUGGCCAAUACGGCGAAACCCCGUCUCUACUAAAAUUACAAAAAUUAGCCGGGCAUGGUGGCAAGUGCCUAUAAUCCCAGCUACUUGGGAGGCUGAGGCAGGAGAAUCGCUUGAACCUGGAAGGUGGUGGUUGCAGUGAGCCCAGAUCAUGCCACUGCACUCCCGCCUGGGCGACAAAGUGAGACUCCUUCUCAAAAAAAAAAAAAAAAGAAAAAAGAAAAUAGAAGGUGCUUUCUAAGUGCCAAUUAAAAUUGCUAUAGAGUCCCUUCCAUACAAUUGGCAAAGGCUGAGGGUUGCUUCUGGCAGGAGGCAGCUGAAGGAGAUGGAGCAUCUCAGGAGGAGUCUGCACCCUGGGCAGCCUUGGGCCAUGCCAAAGGGACCUAGGAACCCUGGAACCCCACCCAUCUCCCAGCCCUGCUGCUUUCAUAACUUUGUAUACAGGUCACACUGAAAAGCUUAUAUUGGAAAAUGGCUCCCAAUGAGCCCAGGAAAUGGCUCCCUUGGUGGGGUUACCUUAGGUUAGAAAGGAUCACACUGAGGUACAUUCAGCUAAAUGCCCUAUGCACUACACCUGUGGUACUCCUGUCACUUCCCAGCCAGCCCUAGCAAUAAUCUUUACUGCAUUGUAAACUUGAGAUACCUCUGUCUGGGAUACAUAAUCACAGUCUAUUCUAAAACAUAGAUUUUUGUGGCACUCACACAGUCCCAAGAAACAACUCUUAUAUACCUUUCUAGUCACUCUCCCCACCUGUGAGUCCUUACAACUGUUGUUGGGGGUAUUUUAUCCACAUAAACAUUACUGCUUUCUCAAGCCAUUAUACUAAGACUGUUUUCAGAGCUGCUGUAAUGUGUGUUAAAUGUCUCACAAGAAGAUAUUGUUUUCAGUGUUAUUUUCUUCAUUCAUUUAUGAAUUCAUUAAGAGCCCAACAUAAACACGAGUUAAGGCACAUUCACCCUGUUCUGAAAAUGUUCUCUCAUCACACUCACUUGGGGGUAACAACUGCUUCAGUGAUUUUGGUGGCCUUUGUAACACAACUGAUGGAGGCGUGGAGAUGGUCAUAGCAUGGACGCGAGAGCGUAACACUGUCCCCAUUUGCUCCUGUGGUAAGGGUUUCUAGAGCUUCAGAAGUUUUUGGUUUUGCAACUUAACAGGUCCCCUUAAAAGGAUCGUCUUUGCUUCAUGGACUAAUAAUACCUCACAUUUGUACAUACUUUCAUAUGCAUUAUCUCACUUAAUAGUACGGUAUUAUUAUAUCCAUUUUUUCAGAGAGGAAACAGACUCUGGGAGAGGUUAAAAUGGCUUGCCUAAGGUUACCAAUGGCAUGAGAGGGAGUGGCAGGGCCCAUCUCCAACCCAGGAUUUCUGACUCUUCGUAUCACAGUAUUUCAAAGCUGUCUCUUUCUUUUAGUUACUUCCAUUAACAACAGAAGUGAAGGGACCUACAGUUUUUUAACCAUAAAAACACAAAGGUUUCUGACUGGUGAGUGGCCUCUAGGAAAAGAUCUCUGCAGUCUAUCGACGAGAGGGUUUCAAAUCACAGAGAUCAACUGUGACAGUAAGUACUUUGAUAAAAAUACUAACAUUGGUUUUCCAGAAUCUAACUUCUGUGAAAGAAAACUAUACGGUGCACCAUAUCAUGUGUAGAAAAAAAGGACCACUAUACACAACGAACAUAUCCACACGUGUUGUGUCAACGUUCUCUUCCCAAAUGUGGCCGCAGAAGAAAGUGCGAAGCAUGCUGAAAUAAGACAGUAUUUACGGCUAAGGAAAUUCGGCUUCACAUACCGGUAAUUAUGAACAAGAUAUUUUCCCUAAUAAAAUUACUCCAAAACGAAAUAUAGAGAAACUGUUUCCCUAUGUUCUCUUUAUUUUAUACCAUGUGCUCAAGAAUGGUCACAGAAAAGAGUCAAAGGGAGCAGAGAGAGAAAGAAAGAGAGCUAUAUAGAGAGCCGGCCUCUGCUGAGGGUUGGUUUUGCUUUAGAAACUGGAAUGUGUCCAGGCUUGAUUUUUAUUUUCAAUUCACAUUUCAGAUCCAGCUCCCCAAACUCUUUGAUCUUUCUCCCUGUCUCCUUACCCGGAAGAGAACCCUUGGCCUUCUCAGCUGGGAGCUGGGAGCACACGUGGAAAGACUGGCUCAGAUCCAUAUUCUUGCCAAAUUUAGUCACACAAAGGGGCCUGCGAGGGAAAAAAGAAAGGAUGAAAGCGGCAGCCGCCGCGACUUCAAAGGCCGCGCCGCCGCGCGGGGCCGUGCGCAGGCGCCUCCCUCAGCCGAUAUAAGGCACGGCUCGAGCGCGCGAGCGGCCUUUCCGCGCGCGUCCCCGACCCGGGGGGCGGGCCGAGGGACGCGGAGGGCCGGUGGGAAGGAGGGCGAAGGGUUGGAUACCGCGGCCGUGCUACCCGCCGGCUUUUCGAGGCCGGUCCCCAUGCCAAGUUCAGGCGCCUGAGAAAAGUUUUUCAGAAAGGAGGGACAAGAAUGUCACGUCCUGCCCACGAAAUGAGCAGUCCUGUGGCCCGCAAAAUGACUCCAGCUCCCACCUCCAUUCUAGCUCCGUUCUAGGCAUUCCCCGUGCGUGGGAGCCUGGGUUCCCGUCACGGAGCGCAGCCGAGCGAGGAGGGCGCGUGGCCGGGCCCUGUCUGGCUCCUUCGGCUCCCCUGUGCCCGCCUUGCGUUCCUGGUUCCCGUGCGCUCUCCUACCGGCGCGAUUCCUCUCCCCCUUGGGCAGCCUUAGGACGUGUGCCCUCGCCUCCCAGCUGGCAGAAGGGCGGCCUGCAGAGCGGGGUGGGAUGCGCCCCUUCCCCGCGGGCCGCAGGAGGAGGCGGCCCUGUGGACAGCCGCGCCCCGGACCCCCACCCAGCGAGGCAGGGACGCAGGGCUCGGCCUGCACUGGCCCAGCGCUGGGAAAGCCGCAGGAGGGCGCGAGGGGUGGCGGACCCCGCUCGCUGGAGCCCCGCGUGGCUGCGCCGAGCUACAGACGCCAACGGGCGCCGGCCCCGCGGAAGUCCGACGUCCGCAGGCGGCCGGAUUUGGGAACGACUUUUUCACGGUCCCACGAGUUCCCUGAUACCCCGGAGGGUGGGGGGUUGAGUUUGUUUGUCUUUAGGAGGCGGCAAGAAGAAGGGGAAGAACCCCUGGGACACAAACUGCCAUUUCCCUCGCCCCCCUUCUCUCCUUUUCCGCGAAGUCCGUUAAACUGAAGAUGCCCACAGCUUUCGUCUCCGGGUGAAGCCGGGGUGGGAAAUAGAGGGGGUCGGGGUUCCGCCUCUGGAGUCACAUUAUUCGUUUUCUAGCCCUUCUCCCUGGCUCCUGGGUAUCCUCUUCCGUAGGCCCCGCCACCUCCUUCCUUUUGGAUCCCACCAAAGUCGUAGCUGGGAGAGAGUCCAGGCCACACAAAGGGGAAGACCUGGAGCCUGGGCGGGGGUUAGGACCGAGGGGGCGGAGAGGACUCGAGGGGCACCGUGCUUUUCUCUCGUCCUUGUAAUUAAGGACUCACUGGACUGUCUGUAGCCGACUCGAGUUGGCAGCAAAAUCGCCGGGGGGAGGGGUUUUCUGGUGUGAGUGGGGGUCACUACCCUGUCUCUCCUGCCCGCUCCCGAGCGGGGCUGGGCUCCGCUUACCCAGUGAGCAGCGAGGCCGUCUCUUCUCCCCCGCUCCUCUGUUCUUGUGCGGGGUGGGCGCCUCGCCCCCCACGCGCAGUUGAGGCGACGGCGCCCGAUGUAGAAGGAAGUGUUGAUAUAAAACAAGUUUGUUCCCAAACUAAACCCAAACCAAGCAAAGCCACCAGGAGGGGAAAAACCAACAGCAAUCCAGCCAGCCCCUAGCAAUUGUUUUCACGGUCGGAAUUAAAUCACAUCAAAACGCCCCCUGAAACCCACAUCCUGAAGGAGUGAACCUACAACAGCCAACCUCCAGUCGUUCGCUCGAGUUCACACGAACAACUUGCCUCUAACAUCCGAGUGAAGGGGGCGGCGGGUGCCUCUCCCGCACCGCACCCACCACAUCCCGGACCUGGGAUCCCACUCGCACCCGAAGAGGCGGCUGCUUAUGUUAAUAUCAGCCCCCACACGAAUUAGAAAAGACCGCCCGGUGACAGAAUUGCUUAUGCCAGGAACUACACUGAAUCCGUAAGGGAGGGGGAAGAACGUCUUCCCGGGGUUACUUCGCCCCUCCUGCGUCCUCCUGCUGUUUCCAAAAGACAGACUUCAUGUGCAAAUGUCAACCUCUCUCCCAAACGAAGCUUUAGAAAUUUGGGGCGCAUGGUUUUUACUAAAGCCCCUUCUAAGUGCUGCUCAUCAGAAGAUUUACAACAAUCCUAAAGACAAUCAGCUAACACAAGUUACACCACUGUAAGGAAAACAGCCACGCAAAUAGAGCAAGGUGCUGGGUGAUUUCGUUAGAAACAAUGUUUUCAAUGGACGGGGUCUCAGUAAAAUACCAAACGCAGCCCCCUACCCUUGGCCCUUCAAGUAAACAGUUUCCCCUAGUUAUUGUUCUAAAAAUUCCCAUCUUCUUGAGCUUCUAAUCUUCAGGAAACCUGGAGCAUAGGCUCCAAAUUACUCGGGGAAUCCAGAGUUAACAUGAAGGAGAAAGUGGGAUCUGAAUUAGUUUCAGCACUUAAACAGCGGGGGGGAUGUAAGAGUCAUCAUUUAAUCUCUCUUCGGCUUCCAGAAAGUACCCCCUGGCCAUUCUGUGUUCUCCCCUCCCCCUCCUGAGGGUUUGAUGAAAAGGAACCUCUACUCUGCUUUGGUGAAACUGCAUUUUCCACUUGUUUUCCUAUUGGUCAAAUUGGUGCAGUUAUGGGAGGACUUUUGACUGUUUUCCCAUGUGUCUUUUAAGAAUGGGGCUAUAAAUGUCUGACACAGCUACACGUUCACCUCUCUGGGACACUACUCACACUGGUGCCUAACUUUAAGGGAAGUGACAUACCACCAUCAUCCAAAAACAAAAAUUGGGUUUCUCACACACUGUAGCAGAAUAUACUCUUUUUCUUCUCUUGAGGCAUAGCAUUGUCAGCUAUUAAAAAUGGAUUUAAUGUUUUAAUUUUCCUGGAUUCCUUCACCAACCCCUUAAUUUCACCCCAAUCUUCCAGAUAGAAUUUACAUGUGACUACUGGCCAUGUUGUAGGGACCAAUUGGAUCCUUUGUAAAGUUUUAAAAAUUGCUUCCUAGUAAAUUCUUAUUCCCAAGAAGUAGUCGUUAUUAGUAGGUGAAGUCAUUAGUGCUCACUUAGAUACAGCAUUGUAAAAAUCUUUACCCAUUCAAUGUUCAGCAGCCUGAAAUUUCACCUUUAGGAAAAAAAGAGGGAUCUUUGCCAGACAAUUCCUAUAUAAUGGAGCAAAAUCUGAUUCUGUAGUGUUUUGCUUGUUUUCGAUUUAAGGGAGAUGAAGAUACAUUUCUUUAUGUCCUUUGUUUACUGUUCUGAAGUUUUACAGAUGGUUACUGUAUUGGAUAUAAUAAUUUUGCCUAGAUUUUUAACUGAGGGGGUUUGAGAACCAAGGGACAAAAUGUAAUGUGUUUUCAAACUUCAGCUUCCCUUCUGCUGUAACUUUCACAAAGUAUCUCCUGAAAACUCCUGUCUUUGUACAAAAUUCAUCAAAGAGACAGUGGAGACUGGGGAAUUUUUGAGGUUGUAUUCGGAUUGGUGUCUUCAAGGGUCCCUUUCAGUUCGCAGUCCAAGGUGCCAGGGACUACCCCGUCCUCCCUCCCUCUUCUGGCUUUGCUCUCCUGAGUCCUUUUGCCUUCUCUUCCCCCUUCUUGGAUUAUCUUUUCAUUCUCGAUGAGGUUCCCACACACUGCGGUGUGUGUCUCUGAAAACCCACUGGAGACCUAGCACAACUCUCCGUACAUCCCGUGGUGAGAACAGAAUGAAAGAUAUAUUGUUUAAAAAGCAAUAAUUAAAAUCUAGUCUUCAGUUCCUUCUUCCUCGUCAUAUUUUUUCUCCGUAAGCCUAGAGAUUUUAUUUUCACUAGUGUGUUCCCUUGUCUCCAAAGAGCGUGUGUGUGAUAUUAUAUUCGGGAAAGCUACAACUCUCUUUUCCUUGUCCUUCUGUUCUCUCUUAAUAGUUGAGCAAUGUCUGUUAUAUUUUCCCCUUUUCCUUUUUUUCUCAGUCCCAGAUUCCCGCCUCUCCCCACUGUCAGAGCAUCUAUCAAUGUGGUGUCCAUCACAGCGGCAGCGGCUUUCUCUUUCAUCUUCCUCCCUCUGCCAGAGCCAGGGAGGGAGAGUGGGAGGCGUCAAGGAGGUAGGGGAGAGACUGGCAGAGGAAAAGGAGUGGGUGGGUGGGGGCCAAGUAAAUAGAUACUUAGAUGAUGAAGUCAAGCCACUGCGGCAAUGUUUCUUGUCAGUUUCACGCGGGCAAAGCGUGCCUUUCGGUGGGUUAUAAGCAGCGCCCGGUCCUUCCUUCUCUCGCCAAGUUGCCUGAUCCUUCCCUCCAGGCGCGCGCGCACACACCACACUCACACACCCCAAAACCAAGACUCGUCCUACAGGAUCUGGGAAAAGAAAAAGAAAAAAAAGCCCUCAAUCACCACCUCCUUCUCGCCGACUCCCCCUCACCCCCCGCCUCCCCUCCAGCGGGCAGCCAAGGAGAGCUAGAGGCGGGGGAGGGGAGAGGGAGGAGAAGCGACGCAAGUGGGUAGCUUUUCAGCGCCGGCGAGGCGCGGGAGGAGGAGAAGCAGUGGGGAGGCGCAGCCGCUCACCUGCGGGGCAGGGCGCGGAGGAGGGACCCGGGCUGCGCGCUCUCGGGCCGAGGAACCAGGACGCGCCCGGAGCCUCGCACGCGGCCAAGCUCGGGGCGUCCCCUCCCCUCGGCCGGGCGAACUCAAGGGGCGCAGCUCUUUGCUUUGACAGAGCUGGCCGGCGGAGGCGUGCAGAGCGGCGAGCCGGCGAGCCAGGCUGAGAAACUCGAGCCGGGAACAAAGAGGGGUCGGACUGAGUGUGUGUGUCGGCUCGAGCUCCGGGCAGAGGCAUUUGGGCCCGAGGCCCCCGCUGUGACUCCCCGAGACUCCGCAGUGCCCUCCACUGCGGAGUCCCCGCGCUUGCCGGCAAAAACUUUAUUCUUGGCAAACUUCUCUUUCUCUUCCCCUCCUCCUCGGCCCCCAUCUUCUGCUCCUCCUCCUUCUCUAGCAGAUUAAAUGAGCCUCGAGAAGAAAAACCGAAGCGAAAGGGAAGAAAAUAAGAAGAUCUAAAACGGACAUCUCCAGCGUGGGUGGCUCCUUUUUCUUUUUCUUUUUUUCCCACCCUUCAGGAAGUGGACGUUUCGUUAUCUUCUGAUCCUUGCACCUUCUUUUGGGGCAAACGGGGCCCUUCUGCCCAGAUCCCCUCUCUUUUCUCGGAAAACAAACUACUAAGUCGGCAUCCGGGGUAACUACAGUGGAGAGGGUUUCCGCGGAGACGCGCCGCCGGACCCUCCUCUGCACUUUGGGGAGGCGUGCUCCCUCCAGAACCGGCGUUCUCCGCGCGCAAAUCCCGGCGACGCGGGGUCGCGGGGUGGCCGCCGGGGCAGCCUCGUCUAGCGCGCGCCGCGCAGACGCCCCCGGAGUCGCCAGCUACCGCAGCCCUCGCCGCCCAGUGCCCUUCGGCCUCGGGGGCGGGCGCCUGCGUCGGUCUCCGCGAAGCGGGAAAGCGCGGCGGCCGCCGGGAUUCGGGCGCCGCGGCAGCUGCUCCGGCUGCCGGCCGGCGGCCCCGCGCUCGCCCGCCCCGCUUCCGCCCGCUGUCCUGCUGCACGAACCCUUCCAACUCUCCUUUCCUCCCCCACCCUUGAGUUACCCCUCUGUCUUUCCUGCUGUUGCGCGGGUGCUCCCACAGCGGAGCGGAGAUUACAGAGCCGCCGGGAUGCCCCAACUCUCCGGAGGAGGUGGCGGCGGCGGGGGGGACCCGGAACUCUGCGCCACGGACGAGAUGAUCCCCUUCAAGGACGAGGGCGAUCCUCAGAAGGAAAAGAUCUUCGCCGAGAUCAGUCAUCCCGAAGAGGAAGGCGAUUUAGCUGACAUCAAGUCUUCCUUGGUGAACGAGUCUGAAAUCAUCCCGGCCAGCAACGGACACGAGGUGAGCGGGCCGCUGCCCCAGUUCCGAGAGGCGUGGCGGGUCCCUGGGAAACUCAGAGAGGGAGGAAGGGAACGAAGGCGCCCGGCCGCCCGGCUGAGGGUCCCGAGUAGAUCCCUCGUUUGUUUUGGGGUGUGUGCGUAGCUGGGCCCCCGGUCCGCAGUGUGUGUGUGUGUGUGUGUGUGUGUGUGUGUGUGUGUGUGUGUAGGAUGGGAGGUAGAGGGGCAGGGUAACUUAUUCCAAAUGGAUCAGUUUAGGGGGUUCGGUGGCUGAACGGUUGGUUCGCGGGCAGGAACCCACAAUGUUUCGCCUUCGGUCUUUUUGUUGGGCUGAGGGGUGCCGUGCUUUAAAGCGAGUAGGGCUGAAUAACGCUACUGAUAAAUUCUUCCGUGGGACGGAAAACAAAGUGCACACGCUAUCUCUUGGUAGAUGUCUCUGCAAAAGUGCGUUAAACCACCAAAGGCUUAGGUGGAGACGAGCAGAGCCACAGGCGGGAGGAAGGGGAGGCGGGCGUGGGCUGGGGCAGGCGGGGCCGUCCCUACCACCGGUGAGCCGGGCCGCGGGGAGCAGGCCGGCCGAUGGGGCGCGCACCCGGGCUGCGGGGGCGGUGCGGGGUUCAGUCCCUGCGGCCCCAGCGCCUGGGCUAGCAGCUGGGAGCUGUGGGUGCGCCGAGCCGACCCACCGCAAGGGUACACCCUGGCUGUACCGCCCCCAACUCUAGUUUUCUCCAACCGCCAUCACUUGGAAACAAACCCACAACUUUUAUUUGGGGUUUGGGACCGGAUCAGGCCUUAAAUCUACGCAGAAGAAAGGCGGAGAAGCAGCGGAAGCCGGGCACUAGUCCUGCAGGGUGGAAGGCGCUUUAUCGGGUCUUCUGGCCCGCUGCGGGCGAUAGAGCUGGUAACCUGAGUAGAGUAAAUAGAGACACGUGGGUGCUGGCUAGAGAAAGCGCGGAGCAGGGCCGCGCUGGAGGGCUGUUUGAAGCCUAGUCCAGAGCUGGUCUAGGGGGCGGAUGGACCCUGAUACCCGACACUCCACUGGUCACCCUUGUUCCACAACUGGGAAACCCUCUGGAGGAAAUCCGGUAGAAAAGUCCUGACACCCGAAUGAUUUAACCAACGCCUUUUCCCUCCAAAGAAACUUGGAGGAUAUACCUUUUUUUCCUUAAAUGGCAUCUUUCUACCCCCAAAAAGAAAGUGUGUGGUUUUGAGGGCGGGGACAUUUUGGGUUUUAAACAGCGCGUUUAAGAACACCUCAGAUCUGCCUUCUCUAUCCCAAUGGCAGAGGUGAGUACGAAUUUUGAAAGGCUGGGGGCCUGCGUUCAGAGAACAGAAUGGUGUUCUUUACCCGUUGAAUCCAGUUUGAGCGGGCUGGGGGCGGGGGUAGGGUGCACCUAACCCCGCGUAAAAGAUUUGUGACUACUGUGUGCUGGGAAAAGGAGGUCAAAGGGAGGACACACGUCCAGAGAACCGAAUAACAUCCAAAACACAGGCUUUUUGCCAAACUCUCCUAUUUGUAGAGCAGCCUCUCUUUCUACCCAUUUUGCUAGUCCUGCCUUAGUCCAUAAAUAAUUUUGCCACCCACUUCAUAUUCUCCACAAUUUUCUGGUCCGGGUGAAGGACACUGCGUUCGAAUCCGAGAGCACUCGGGUGUUAAGUGGGCAUGAGGAGGCCUGAGGGUGAAGGAGUAAUACCACUGAUUUGCACGUGUUUGAGGCUGUCUGGGUGGAUGGUGAUUACCAAAACUGAUAUCAACUGGGCUACCUUUUAGAUGUCUAUAACCUGACUCUCUAAUUUUCCUCCCUUUAACCACAGAAUCGUUCUACUUUUGUAAGCCUGCACUCAGCCAGCCAUAGUAGGUUAUAAGCUCGAGUGGAGCUUCUGCUGUAACUGCGCUCAGGGCAGUUGCCUUAAGACCGCAUCUGAGUGGUUGGCUUGUUUAUGUUUAAAUGCCAUUUUCAGUUGCAAAAUGAUAUUUCAGCCUUCUUUUAAUCAGAUCUGAUUGAAGUGAACAGUGGUUGAAGAGGCUAUCGAAACCAUCAACCCCAUUAACUCCUACUCCUGUAAUAUUAGGCAUCCAAGGAGCCUUGAUAUGGUUUAAUAAACAGCAGUCAGAACAGCAUGUGGAUCAUUCCCAAAUUUAACUAUAUUUUUAUUGGUUUUGUUAUUAUUUAUACGUUUUUGGUCCCGGGUGGAUAAUAAUCACUCAAAAAUACAUGUUGACAAGAAAAGGAUUAUGCAGUACUAAACACUAGCGUAUGUCUCUCAGAGUAUAAAACAGAGUUGCCCCUAAACCUCUUCCUUUGAAUUACCAGCGCACACACAUUUGUACCAUUAUUGUCACAAACUCUAAGGUGAUUUUCUUUCUUUUGGGUGUGGGGAUUCAUGAUGUUAGGUGGCCAGACAAGCACAAACCUCUCAGGAGCCCUACCACGACAAGGCCAGAGAACACCCCGAUGACGGUAAGACACCCAUUCUACUUCUUCUGACUUUAGCAGAUAAGGGGUGCAAUUUGUAUAAAUAGGUGUGUUUUGUUACUUUUGAGUUCAAGAAACUGGGACUAGGUCAGACUAUGCCCACUAUUUUAAUGGUAAAGAAAACGCAGGAAACUUAUGGCUUACCUCUAAUAUAUAUUACAUAAUUUAAAAACUGUUUUUGAAUGAGUUAGGGACCCUUGGAUUUCAGGUGGGUUCCAGAUUCUUUGGGAAGAGGGAAUGUCUACAAUGAGUUUUUCUCUUCCUCAUCUUACCUUAAAUCCUAAUUAGCUUAGAUCUUUAGUAUUUUUAAUAUAUUAUUAAGAAGAACGACAGUAUAUAUCGAUUUAUUUUCCAACCAGAAUAGUUUUGAGUGGAUUUUCACUUGCAAAAUUGCUGUUUCUUGUUCCUUAUUACAGUGAAAAGGCCGGCAGUAAAUGAGCAGAGCAGAAUCUAACUUGUAAAAAUAUAAAACUUAUAAUUAGGAAUGUGCAUAUCAGAAAUGAUACCCUUUCUCCCUAUUUCUGAUUCUUGCUAAAAACUUUAAAAUUACAUACAUAUGUAUUUAGACUUAAGGAGAAUUCUUUGUGACUUUAAAAGAAUCAAGUAACCUUAGGGAUUUCUUGUCAGCCUAUCUGUUUUCCAUUAAUUACUUAACAAUUGGCCUAACUGAAAUGAAGUGUUUUUACAUACAAUAUGUCAACCAGGAGCAGGGAAGAGAAUUAUAUAUUAGGCUUCUUCCUCAGCUACAAGAUAGUUACACAGAUUAACAAGAAGAAAUACACAUAUCGAACAGAAAUUUUUUGGCAAAAUGAUCUAAGUGUAGCACAUAAAAUUAAGCCUCCCAGAGUUAAUCCUUUAUAAAUUUAGAUAGUUGCCUAUAUACUAGAUAACAACUCUUUCAGUAGAAUCUAGAAAUUUUUCUAGAAAUCUGCAAGCACAGGUAGAAUCUUUGAGUUUGUCUACAAGGCAAAACAUAAUUUCAAGUGUAUAAAUCUCUGUGUUUGUGUGUAGCUAGAUGGCCUAAUAUAUUUAUAUUACAUUUUUAAAGUUGUGUGUGUUCUGUAUAUUUUAGUCCAGUUUGUUAGUAUUAGAACAAAUUAAGUUAGAUGGAUAACACUUAUUUUUGUAAAAACAUCAGUCAGUAGUGGAAGAACUGUUUGAACUACAUGUUUUUAAAACAUCUGGUUUGCUGCUAAGCUAUUUAAGAGAAUAAAUACUGUCAAUCUAAAAUAGAGCAUAAUAAUCCAGUUACAGUAUUUUGUAAACAAAUCUUUUAUGUAGGGUCUGAUUUAUCUUAGAACUAUUAGAUUUUCAGAUGAAAAAUACAGUAAUAUAAAAGGGAAGUCAGUGCAUCAUUGAUUGUUCUUUGGAUCUUCCCAGGAAAGCAUCCAGAUGGAGGCCUCUACAACAAGGGACCCUCCUACUCGAGUUAUUCCGGGUACAUAAUGAUGCCAAAUAUGAAUAACGACCCAUACAUGUCAAAUGGAUCUCUUUCUCCACCCAUCCCGAGAACAGUAAGUAACAUGCUGAUGUUGCAAAUUAUGUUCAGAAGUGCAAAUUGAUUUGUAUUUUGGCAGAAUGUUUAUUUUUCCAAACUCAUUGGUAAUGCUUUCAUUAUAUAUAACUAGUCGUUGCUAAAUAAGAGCUGUUAUGAGGAAUGGCCACCUUAAAACAGUGCUACCUUUGAUGUCUUGCCUUUGAAAUUUUAGCUUUUGGCUUAUUGAUUAAAAUAAAUAUGUAACAGAUCAUAAGUUAUAAAAUCAAGUGAAGUUACAUCAACAAAUCCCUGAUUUUAUGAGUAUUGUGCAUUCUAUGCUGAUGAGAGGAAAAAAUUGAUUUACUUUUUCAGCUAAGUAAGGACUGUAUAGCUUUUAAUGCCCACAAGCUUUCUAGAAUCAGAGCUACUUUAGCUCAUUUGGAGCUGAAUGUUUGUUAUGUUACUUUGGCUUUUCAAAUGGUGUCUUGUUUUAUUGUAUCGGCCAAUGUUUCCUUAGGAUCGGUUUGGCGGGGAUGAGUUAUUUUUGCUUUAUUGUCAAUUGUUGAGAAAGCAUCACUCAAAGAUAACCCUAAUGAAAGUUGUUCCUUUUUUUUUUAAUCUUGUGGUUUAGUUAACUUUUAAAAUUCUAAAAAUGCAGUGGUAUUAUAACUGCAUUAUGCAAAUGCAUAACAUUAUAAAGAAUUUCAGGUUUAUUUGAUGAUAUUUCUCUUAGGAAGUGGAAACCUCAUUUAAGUGAGAAAAUACCUAAAUGGUAACUUGUGUAGUAUGUAGAUGUAAAAUGUGCUGGUGAUGGAGUUCUCUCUUAGAAUUAGCCCACCAGCGUUGGUGACGGACUUUUUACUGACCCAUCAAUAUAUUUACCUUCUCUCCAGCCCCACUCUCCCUUUAUCACCUAACCCCCAAUGAAAAACACAUGUCUAUGGGUCUCGGGGAUUAGGGUUCCAGUCUCACUGACAGCCCUGGAGGUCAAAUCUCAGAUUGUAAAAUGGAACCUAUAGUGUUUGACUUACUUGCCCAGUGUUUCUACCAACUGAAAAAAAUCAGUCACAAACAUCUGGGAAGAGUAACGUUGUUAAUACCUUAGUGAACAAAAUCUGGGAGUGAGAAGAUUCACUAGCAGAGAAUAGUGGCUCAAAAUCAACAGUUAUCAACAAGAGUAUUUGUGGUUAUCAUUACACAUAAUCUUCAGUUGUUGAAAUGAUACUUAUAUCAAAUAUGAUCACUUUGAGCACUGCAAUUUAGAUGUUAUUGUAAUUAUUUUCCAAUAAAUUGCUAAAGGAUAUUUGAUCUCUCAGCUAAGGAAUAAGCUUUUUCUAAUUUUUAUAUAGUAGUUAAAGUGGAGAUCUUGGGGUUCUAAUCUUGAGGGAGAUCUUGUGAUGGUUGCUGUAAGAAAUAGGUAUUUCAUAUUUUAUUUUAAGGCUUUUCAAGUAUUUAAUGAUAAAGAUGUCUGUGUGAUGAGGAUGAAUCUCCUACUUAAAAAGUAAUUUAAAAAAGCAAAAAUAGUUUAAUAUUUAGAGGCCCCUCAAAUAAAUGCUUGAGUUUUAAAAGUUGUAGGAGACUUUAAAUUUUUGAACAAAACAUACAAAUAUAUAGAUAUCUCUUUAAUAUUUGGGCAGGUUUUUUUGCUGUUUUUGGAGGGGGUGGAGAAGGGAAGGAGAAUAUGUUUUAGAUAAGGAAUAUUUGAAGAUUCCUGUUAAAUCAUUUUCAGAAUAACAAAUAAUCUUUCCAAAUCAAAGUAGUGUUGGUGACAAUAGAAAAUAGCCACAAAACAGCCUUACGUUUUUCAGCUGUGAGUAUACAGCAUUUGUGGAAUUUAUUUCUUAAAAAGAUCAGCUACUUCUCCUUUCAAAAUGGUAAUUUUAAAAAAUCAAUAUAAUGAAAAUUUAUUGGUAUUUAUAAGCAAUCCCUAAGAAUAUUGAAAAUUAAGCUGAUCUUCCUCUUUAUGCCAGCAUUCUGCCUUGUGUUUCCACAGUCUUUUCUCCCAAUCUACCAGUAUACUAGUCAUUUUGAAAUUUUGAUAGAAAAUAUCUUUUGAUAGAAGGUAUUUAUUGUUAGUGUAUGUAUUAAAAUUUUGAGGUCAGUGAAUCAAACAGUCAUUCAUUGUUUAGGAAAGAUUUGUGGCCAGAAUAAAUGUUGGUCUGGGUAAAGUGUAGGAAAGAGGUGUGGUCAGGAAACAGUUACCUUACCCUGUUAUCUGUUGCUUUGCUUUAUUCUGUUAAAUAUUAGGAUGUAUUUAUUUUAGGCAUGUUUUCUUGAGAUAUUCUGCAGUUUGCACAAUUCCAGAAGCUUUUCAGCUGUAACCACAAGACUAUGUAAAUUUUUUUUUUAGGGUCCAACCGAAGUGAGUUACAAUCUUUGGUUUUUAAUACCUAACAGCUGUUUUUAAUGUGUCGGAGAUCAAAAACACUAACCGGAAGACAGCCUCUCUUCUUCACCCCUAACCACACUUCUGCCUUCUUGCUCUUUAACUCUGUCCUUAGCAGGGCUGAGUGUUUGUGUCACUAACAUCCACAGUGAUAGAUUUUCAUCUAGGGUGUCAGGAGCAUGGUGACCAUUUGUGUUUGGGCUUAGGAUGGGAGCAUCCCCUUGGCAUCCUGCUUCUUGAAUUUCCAUUACAAACAAUUGCUUGUUUACUGCAUCUGCUUCCCAAAAGUGUUAGGACUGGAAAAACACCUGGGGUGGGGGAGGGACCUGACCACUCCUUCCCUAAACAGUCUUCUGUUUGUAUCUAACUGCAGACAAUCCAGAGGAUACCAGCUAUGGCCAACUGGCAUGCAGAGAAAUGUUUCUGCUGGAAUCUAAUUAUAAAAAGUGCAUAUGCUUUUGCUUAUUUUUUAGACAAAUGCUACUGUGUGUAUCCUGGAACAGAUUUUACCUAUGACCAAUAUACAGUAUUACCUGUUCAGGAGCACCACUUUCACCUACUCAGCUUUUUUUCUUCUCAAGGGGAAUUUUAAUUGGCAAAUUACAUCCUUCUAGAACUGGAAUCCUUAGGGGUGUGAAUGUGUCUAUACCAGAAAUCUUAUGAAUGGGUCUCUCACAGAAUUUUAAAUAAGAAUUCUUAGUUCAGAUAAAUUGGGUCUAAGAAGAAAGCACCUAUCAUGACAUAUUUGGUGUCAGCGUGAGUUCUUAGGGCAUAGUAAACUUUGGCUUGAGUUGGUCUUCUUCACAGAGAGUGAAGAGAAGAUGCAGAAGCCUGUUAAAUAUUUUAGAGCCAGGACCCUGGAGAGUUUAUUAAAAGCAUACUCCCAAACCUUUCGUUCUCUGAACUUUAUUUAUGAAAAUCCCUGUAGGCCAAUGGUAAAGUAUUAAAAGAAAAAAAUAGUUCUUUACAUCCCUAGUUUGGCUCUGGCAGUUGUGUGCCUGAACACCGUGUGAAUGGUGAGCUUGGCCAGCUUUAAUGUAGUGAAAGUUCCCACUGGCCUAAUGCACUGUGGUUAUUCAUCUUAGGCGUCAAUCUUCCAUUUGUCCCGCAUGCAACCCAAAUGUUUAACACCUUAGAAAAGAAACAUCUCAUUUCUCUUCAGAUGCUUGGGGAGGGAAAAGCAACACAGUGCAGGAAGCUGCAGCAAACGUUGCAGCUCAGUCACAUCAAACCACAAUAACACCUGGUCAGUGUAGCGCUGCAAACUUCAUUGUUUUUGGUUCUUUGUGAUCUUUCUAAGAGUCAAUUUUUAGGUGGGAAAGGAAAGAUAUGGGUGUUCUCAUUUCAGCUAUCUUUUAAAAUGUUUAUUUUUUUAAAGUAGAAAUUGCUAUGAAAAUGUUCCAUGAGUUCUUUUCUAAUUACCUUGUAUAACUUAGUUCUGUUGUGACUUUUACCUUAAGGGAAUCAACACUUUGGUUUCUAUUAAACAGAAUUAUACCUAUUAUAACUUUGUCUUACCUACCCUGCAUAUUUGUACUUGCUUAUAAACAGCUAAAAUCUGAUUUUGUCAUUGUUCACAUCUGGAAUUAAGGAACUAAGUUGGACUUGUCUAAUCAGUAAGCUUCUGAAUGUACCACUGUACGUGACAUUGUUGGAUACCUUUGAAAAUAAUCACAUAAAUAAUAUUCAAGGAUAGAUGGAGACUAAGGCUUAUAUCUCAUGCAAGAUUUUUAAGGUAGAGUAUCUUUUCACUUUAUUGCAAGAAGCUAUUGAAUUUGACUUAACCUAUAAAUAAUUUUCACUUUUCUAUUUUAAGUUGUGCACUUUUUGAAGCUAAACACAUUGAGUUUUCCCCUUCAAGUGGAGAAUAAGUUUUAGAAAGUGUAUUAUUCUAACUCAAAUGUAUAUAUAGAUGUCAGGAGAAUGUGUGGGAAAAUUCCUCAGAGCCCCCAAAGUUUCCUGUUUGAUCCCUCCUUCAUGGCAUUGCUACAAUUUGGGACAGGAUCAUAGUCAGAAUAAUUGGAAGCGCUUGCCAUUCCCCCAUCAAAUACCUUAUGGCCAGUUUGCUUAUUUAAGUGUGCCAGGAAGCCAUACUACAUGUAACCCUUGCAGAGCUAAUAUUGCAUUUACAUGCCUGGUUCUUACUCAGAUAGUUUUUUUGAAAUGACCCUAGUAGUUUCUUCUUCAUUGAUAAAGACAUGAGAACAACCCAAAAGAUAGUCUUAAAAAAAAAAGACCACACACUAAAAAAAAGACCAUUGAGCCAAUCCGCAAAAAUCUUGCUUUUGAAGUAUUUUUUCCACUCCCAUACAGGUCUUAGAUUUGCUCUCAUCAACCUCAUUAUUUUGAUCGAGUCUUCCCUGUGGUCCGAGACCCUUAUGUGAUUUAACAGAGCAGAGGUAGGGUCUCACAAAUGGGACUCUCUGGACUUGAAUUUGUAGACUCACAAGCACUUGCUAUAAUAUCAAUUUUGUAGCGGAUGAGUUUUUUUUUUUUAAUGUUCUUUAGACAGAACCAUUUGGGUUUAUGUGAUUGAAUUUUUUUUUGAGCAAUCAAAACACUUCAUUUUUGACUCCUUUUGUUCCUCAUUUAUGUAUCAUAGACAUGACUGGAAUUUUAUAAAGCUGAUUUCCUUUUGAUUUUGGUAAAAGACUUGGAAUUUAAAGAGAAAACAUGCCAGCACUGUCUGUAGCAAGCAGAAAAACAUAUAUGUUUUAUUCCCAGGUAAAAGUAGAGCUCAGCAUUAUGUAGGUGCUGCUGUCCUGGGACUAAAGGUUGCGCGCUCUCUCUCUCUCUCUCUUUUUUUAAGGGAAUGUUCAUUUAAAACUUGUCCUCUUUGAAGCUGUUGCUUAAGUGUUUGUGCUGAGCUGAGCCAAUCUGUAGGAAGCUAAUACUGUAGUAAUCAAGACACUUAGUACUCUUCUGUGCUAUCCUUACAUGUCCUUACUUAUUUAGAAAAGGCAGCCAUUGGAUUUUAUUCAGAUAAUUUAAAAAUUAUACUUUAGGUUCAUGAUUACUUUUUAAAUAUUAUGAUCUUGAAUUACCUGCCUAGGAACUGUGGACUCUGCUAUAAACUCUUUUAGGGAUAUAAAUCAUCCAGUAUCUCAGAUAGAGAAGAUGAAAGCCUUAAAAUAUCCUAGAGAACAACAACAAAGACUGGGGGUGGAGGUGGGGGGAGUUGGGAGUUAAUCUGUACCAAAGUGAAGAGCGGGGAGUUGAGCAGAGGACUGGACAGGGAGCAGGAGGCAUUGCUAACUCAGAAAUUCUGAUAAUCUAGCUGGGACUAUUUGCAGACUGUUAGCAGAGGCUGUGUAGAGGAUUAUAAAGUCUCUGUAAAAGAGUGCAUUUGUAUAAUACCCACUGUAGCUAAACCUGUAAACCUGCUGCAAUUAUCCACUUGUUAUCUCUAGAUCACUUACAAAGCUCACUGAGCGAUGGUACUCACAUGCCUUCAAUCUGUAUAGGGAAAAUUGCAAGGGCAGUGCAGAGCAAGCAAGAGUUUUGUUGCCAACCCCAUUUUUCCAUUUGUAGGAGAAAUAGGACUAGCAGAGAAGGUUGCAUCACAGAGUGUCUAGAAAUACAGUUUAUUUUUGCAGCUAGCUAGGGACAAGUAGAAUCUUUAAAAAGCUGGAUUUGUUGACCGUUGUGUCUACCUAUGCUCACACAUAACCCUAUGUGGAACUUGAUGACAGUUUUGCAGAUGAAAUUUUGAUCUUCAUCAUAGUAAUUUAUUGUCAUUGUUAUGUUCACCUGUAAAAAGUUGCCUAUUGCUCGAGGCAGGUGGAUCACCUGAGGUCAGGAGUUUGAGACCAGCCUGACCAACAUGGUGAAACCCCAUCUCUACUAAAAAAUACAAAAAUUAGCUGGGCUUGGUGGCAGGUGCCAAGCUACUCAGGAGGCUGAGGCAGGAGAAUCUCUUGAACCCAGGAGUCUGAGGUUGCAGUGAGCCCAGAUCGCACCAUUGCAUCCAGCCUGGGCGAAAGAGCUAUAUGUGUGUUUGUGUGUGUGUGUGUGUGUGUGUGUGUGUGUGUGUGUGUGUAUAUAUAUAUAGAGAGAGAGAGAGAGAGAGAAUGAAGAGGUAGAUAUAAGUUAGGGUCUCUAAAAAGGAGAGUGGUUCUAGGGUAGCUUAAUUUUCUUUUAUUAUUGUUGUCAGCUUCUGAAUGAAACAGUAACCAAAGCAAAAUUUUAAAAUUUGACCUACUAAGAUAUAUUUCUUUUAUUUGUAUAAGUUUAUGGAGUACAAGUGUAAUUUUGUUACAUACAUAGAUUGCAUAGUGGUGAAGUCAGGGCUUUUAUAGUAUCCAUCAUCCAGAUAACAUAUCCAUUAAGAAAUUUCUCAUCAUCACCCCCCUCCUACCCCCUCACCCUUCUGAGUCUCUACUGUCUAUCGUUUGACACUCUAUGUCCACAUUAUUUAGCUCACACUUACAAGCAAUAACAUGAUAUUUGCGUUUUUACUAAGAUAUUUUUAUAAAUCUUUUUUAAUCCUGGAAACCUUACAAUAAAAAUUAUAAAAAAUGUUGAUGAUAGUUAAUCAUCUAGUAAUCAGUUACCAUCAUAAAGUAACUGGGGGACUAUCAUCAGCAGUCCUCCAGUUUAAACUCAGGGACUGCUGAUGAAUUAUGUUAGUUACAGUCAGCCUAGCACAGAGUAGAAACCUCAGUAAAUGUGCUGAGUUAAUAAAGAAUGUAGAAGAAAUUUUGCAUGUGUGUUUUCUGGAUAUUUCCAAAUGAUCUGUCUUUAUGAAACCAAAUGCUACGUGAAAAGUAAAACUUGAAAGUGUUUACUAAGUAAUCCUUAGUAUUUGAUUAUUUUACUUUUUCUCUUAUUUUUUGCAUUGGUGAAUAAAGUAGCAUUAGACCAGUGUUUUUAAUGAGGAAGUCAAAACUACUCCUUAUAGAAUAUAGAGUUUCCAGAUAACUCCUGAAAACAGUCAGCCGGGGGAGUGCACUACUGGAAUAAAUAAAGAAUGGACUAGACCCUCAUAUGAGGAUUUAUCUUAGGAAGUACUUAUCUGUUAGUUAGGUCCUAGAAACCUAAUUGAAGAAAUGGAGAUGAUAAAACUGCUUUUUUCAGAAGGAUUCUUGAGAUGGAAACACAAUACUAGUAAAAAGAAAACCAUCUUCAAGUAUGUUUCAGAAUCAUGUGGUUAAUGCUUUUCAAUUCAUUUUUAUUCUCUUGGCAAUAGAAGGAACUUUUUUUUCAGUAUCACGAGGUAUUUUCAGCUAUUAAAAAGUUCUGUCCUUUUCAAAUACACAUGGCAGCCUCAGUGCUGACUUUUCUAGGCCAUUGUGUUUUGUAAAUUGAUUCUAUCCUUUUGCAAUGUGGUGAACAAAAUUUUUGAGCCUUAAUUAGGGAGAGAUAGGUAGGCAGUGCCCUAUGAUGGCUAAACAUAGAGAAGGGAAGGACUAGGCUAGAUGUUAAAAGACCUGAGAUCUAAUGUCGGGUCUCCAUCAUCUUCUUCUGAAAACUUUGGGAAGGUUAAAUGGCAUAUUAAUAUCGGGCUUGUCUACCUGAUCUGAUUGAUGAGAAGUUCAUAUGGCACAAAGCCUGCAAAAGCGCUGUUUUCUAGCUGUGGCCGCAGAGCAGGAGUCUAAGAUGGUGUAAGUCAGUGCCUUGGGCCCCACCUGGUGGGAUUUCUGCAGCUAUAAGAAGUGCUUGACUCUACCCGGGAAACUCCAGAGAAAGGGAAGAAACUUUCGGUUCCUAUUGUGCCAUCAUGCUGACUCAGAAUUUGGAUACUGGGUGAAGGCCUUACACAAACCUUUAGAAAAUGUUUGCAUAAAUAAAAAUUCAGGGGAAUGUCAUCGUAUUUUUACAGAUCUGAUUUUCCUCUCUUGGGCUCGCUUUCCUUGUGAUUGUUAGGAGAGCAGCAGAUUUUCUUCUUUAGCACCGUAAUCCACCAUGAAAGGGAAUGAGACGUAUGAGGGAACAGAUUUCUAAAUUUCAGGUUUGUUAGCCGAAAGUCUCAUAUCCUUCUAAUAUUUGAUAUGAAAUUGCCAGAUAACUCUUAACUACUUGAAUGGAGUUGAAUUGAGGUAAGAAUAUGUUUUUGGUUAGGAGAUUUUUUUUUCCCCCUUAAUCCCAUAGGAGCUGGGGUUUUCUCUCUACUGCAAAAAUUAUAGAGAAAGGAUAUCCAGGAGCCGUAUGAAGGACAAUGGGCAAGUUAUUUUUUUUUGCCCUUCGAAUUUCCUUCUGGCUUAAAUUUUUCUAGCUUUCUUGUCACCGAAAAGGAUCACGUCCAAAGGGAUGUGUUGGCUGAACAGCAAGGAGAAAUCAAUGUUUUUCUAGCCUCCUGGGAAAUUCCAGCUUCUUUCCUUUCAGGACUUUUCUUUUUCUUUCAGUAAAAUCCCAUGAAUGUUAAAUAUUUAUAUAUUGGAUGCAGCUUUCUUUGUACAGGAUCCCUCAAUUUUGAACACUAUAAAUGGUACCUUAAAAUAAUUAUGGUCAUAUCAUCUUUGUAUACUGGUUAAAAUGACCUGGAUCGAGGGAAAAAGGUGCUGAAAUCUUAUCUCAAAUAUAUUAGACUUUGUUUUGGCAUCUUAAAGUCUGUAACAAAACCAAAAUAUGAAGUAAAUAAUAUUUACUGUUUAUUACAGUUGGGCUGACCAGUCAGCUGUCUGGCAGUGUUAGGAAAAUAAUCAUUGCUUGAAUUAUUUUUUUUUCUUAUUUGUAUUCAUACAUUAGAAUUUUAAGUUAAAACUCAAGUUUUUUGGUUUUUUUUUGCUUGAAAAAGAAGGGAAAGCAACUGAUUUUUUUUUUUUUUUUUUUUUUUGCUACUACCUUGUGCUACAUACUGUGCGAGGCACCUUACAGGGUUGUCAUAUUUAAUUUAAUCCUAAUGUGAAAACUGGGGUGAGUGUUAUACUCCCGGUGUUAAAGACAAGGAUCCAUCGUCAGCGACAGCAGUAACCUGCCCCAAUUUAAUACGGUUCCUUAAGGUCUAAAGACUUGUUUGUUUUCAUUUAAAAUAGCCAUAUUUACCUUUAAGAAUACAAAGUACUUAUUAAAUUCAUCAUAAUAUUGAUUAAAAUUGAAAGCAGAAGAGAAAUUGUUACAAUUUUCUUGAAAAUUUCAAAAAUGCUUAACCAUUUUUAUUAAAAUAAAAAGAAAUUUAAAAAGCAAUACAUGUUCACUGGAAAAAUUAGAAAAUUCAAAUAAGCAAAAAUAAUACCAAAUAUUAAAUUCCCAGGAUCACAUUGUUAAAGACGAUCACUUUUUCUGUGUGGCCUUUUAGACUUCUUUCUGUGCACACAUAUAAAUGUAGGUAAACAAACACAAAUACUUGUUAUAUAUUCAUGGCAAUAGGAACAUAAGGUAUCAUUUUGCAACUUGCUUUUUUGCCACCAACUUAUUAUGUAUAUCUUUUUCUAUUAAUAAAUAAUCUUCUGUAACAUCAUUUUUAAUAGAUUGCCUAAUUUAUUUAACCAGUAUUUUAUUGGUAGACAUUUAGAUUGUAUCACCUUUUUCCCCACCUUAUGCAGUACUGUGAUGAAGUGCAUAUAUUCUAACUAAAAGUUUGCACAGAUUCUGAAUUGUUUCUUUGGAACAAAUUGCCAGAAUUGCAGUCAAAGGCAAUGCACCUUUUUAGGUAGGAGUUACCUGCACUGCAAUUUAAUCUUAAAAACAUGUUUAUAAAGUUAAUAUUUAAAAAUAUGUACUUGUUUACAUUCAACUUUCGUUGUGGUUAGUGUUUUGAGGCUGAUAAUUUUCAUGCCUCUUCAAGUCAAUAAUUAGUCCAGCAAAGUCAGACAGAGGGAAAGUGUAAUAUCAGCUUUAUUAUUAAUAAGGCCAGACAGUAUCAGGCAGUAUAAUACCAACUGUAUUAUCAAUAAGGCUACAUUGGAGAACGUGACUUGAACUGUGAUACAAACCAUGGACUUCCUUUGAUUUUCCUAAAUUGAACACAACACCAAGCCACAUGCCUCUUUUGCAGAGGCAGGGUGCUCACAUCCUGUAGAACUGGAGAUGAGACCAAACCCAUGUUUGGGCAAGCUGGCCUGACAGAGAGAACAAAGGGUCAGUCUGUCCUUGCUCAGUUCCUGCUUCUAGGUUGCCAAAGAGAUGAGUGUCCUUCCUUGUAGAGAGUGCAUGAGGUGCUGGGGAGGGAAAAGGGCUACAGCCACUGCUGAGAGGGCAGCAGUUCCUACUUUAGUGACCAAGCUAGGGAGGAAGGGAAAAGGGUGAGGUGAUUGUCUCUUUAGUCAUGACUUGCAGUCAGUGAGACUAGGGUCCAACCAAGAUAAUGGUAAAAUAAAUGAGUAAAUAAAAGAGAGCAGCAGCAAAGCACUGCUGUUGGAGUCCAUAUACCUAGAUGCUACCACUCUGCUACUGACUAGAUGUGUGUUCACACUCUUUGACCCUUGGUCUCCUCAUCUGGCAUUGGUGGUGGUAUGGCUGGAAGGUGGCCAGUGGCCUCUGAAUUACAGGUGUUUCUGUUAAAAAGGCAGAUUACUGGCCCCGUCUGCAAAUGUCCUGAAUCACACACUACAGGCAGGUCAUGUAGAUGCGCUUUUAACAAACUCUCCAUUGAUUCUUCUAUAAAAUAAGUUUUGGAAAAACAUUGGCACAGUAGAUGCUCAGUAAUUUAACUGAGGUUCAGAUAAUGUAAAUGACUUUCCAGAGGUCUCACACCCAGAAAGCAGUGGAGCUGGGACUCCAAGUGUGGCCCUUUGGCCCCAAGCUUACUUUCUCUUCACUCAACCAUAUUGGGCCCUAAUUGAGACCACUGGCACUGUUCACCUCUCGUCAGAUCUCAUGAGGUUUUCUCCCCGAGUGCCUUGCCCCACUGGCUGUGGGAUUAAAUCACAUUUUGGGGCAUUAUUUUUAAAAGCUUUCCACACCCUGGAACCAUCUCCCUUUCAAGUCUUACCUCCUCACCACUCUGCCUUGCAGCUUAUGAUUCAGUUACACUCCCAGACCUGCAUCCUAAACCCUUUUCCAAAACCCUGUCUUUGGAUUCUUAUAGCUUGCUCUCGCUGAAAUGCCCUGUUCUCUAUUCCCUGCCAGCAGGGUCUUGUCCAUCCUUAAAGGUCUGGGGUAAGUGCUGCCUCCUCAAUGAAGUUCCUCCGGAUCCCACCGUCAGUCAAGAGUGACUACUCUCUCUUUCGGGUCCUCAUAAGUCCUCCCUCAGAGCUCUGUAGCCAUGUUUUCCAAUAGCUUUUUGUCUUUGUGUUUGUAUUUCUCAUUGAUUGUUAGUUUCUUUAGGAUAGGGAGCAUGUCUUAUUCAUCUUUGUUGCCCAGAACCUGUUAUAUUACUUGCCACAGAGCAGGUUACUCACCAGAUGUUUGUGGAAUAAACAGAACAGAAAUUUUAAAACUUCAAGAAUGUAACGCAACAACACCAGGUAUCAAUCCGUAUUUAAAUGGAAUCUCUUAAAAAUAUAUAAAUUUGUAUGGAAUCGCAAAGCCAAAAUGGAGCUUAGAAAUUAUUUGAGCAUUUCAUAUAGAAUCCAUGGACUAGACGUUAGUUAUUAGUUUUGAGUACUUAGCACAUGCCAGGAACUGUUCUAAACCCCUUCUGUGCGUUAGCCCAUUUAAUCCUCAUAGUAACUCAGUGCUAUCUCUGAUAUCCCUGUGUUACAGUUGAGGGAACUGAAGUAUAGAGAAGGUUGAGCAAUGGCAUGCAGGGCAUAGAGAAGGGUAAGGACGACUGUAAACAGGUCAAGAAGUGGAAGGUCAGAUAAUUUACCCUGAUUGCACAACUGGUAAGUAGUGGUACCAGAUUGAGGCUCAAGUCUUCACUCUCACAGCAGGGUACUUUCUGCAACUUCAGUUUCUUAUUACCAUUUCUGCCACUAGCAUGCAGAAGACGCUAGAUGAUUAUUGAAUCAGUGAGUUUCUCAUAGGUAAGAUGGAAAUGAUUCUUAGUAGGGUUUUGUGAGAAUAAAAUUGGAAAUUGUACAUUUCUUUAACAUAUUUUGGGUAGUAAUAGCUAUUAUGAUGCUAGUGGAUAACACAAGAGUUCAAAGGUGACCAGUUAGAUGUGGAGGAGGGAAAGAGUUGUGUAAAAGAUGAUGAGUGUUCUAGCCUGAUGGUGAGAGGACAGUAUUAAUGGAAAUAAUUAAUUUGGAAAGAGAAGCCAGUUUGAAGACAGGCAUUCAUGAGUUUAGCUUAGGAAUCAUUGUUUUCAGUUUUAUGCUAAGAAAACAAAAUUAACCAAGAUCUGGAACCAAACCAUUUUACAUUAUGGGCAUCUUUUUGGUCCAUACUUUAUUUGAUGUAAGUCAACAAUGCCUCACAAAAUCACUUCACUUACCUAUGAAGCUUCCUGGACCUUGACCAGAAACCUCCAUGUGAUUAUGAGAAAUAAGUAUUUUGUCCAAGGGUGAAGAGAGUACUGGUAUUAAUAAUAUACUAGCAUGUAAUAUUUAAUGAUGUACUUUACAUGCAUUUUUCUUAUUAAAUCUUUACUAAACAGUAUGAAGUGAAUGCUACUAAUAUGCCUAUGUUUCCAGUGAAGAAACUGAGGCACAGAGAAGUUACUUGAAUGUCCAUAGUCCCAACCAGAGUUUAAUAAGUGGUAGGGAAUUUGGAUUCAAAGUCAGGUAUUUUCAGGAGCUGGGGCCCAAUUCAUAAAUCAGUUCAUCUCUCAGAAGUGUUAAGAGUAAUCCUUAGUCAAUAAACUACUUUGAGGAUUAAAGGUAUCUGUUAUACUUUUAUUAAAUAAUGUAAAUGGCUUAAAUAAAAGGUUCUAAGAAUACUUGGAAAUUGUCUUCUGGUUCAUUCAACACAUAACCAUGUGAUUGCUCAAUGUAUUCUUGAAAAUUCCCAGGAAAUAUUGCUUCCUGGGGUAUAUCAGACAUAGUUUGAUAAGUGUCUGAUUUUUAUGGGAAUCUCUAUUCCUCACUUCUAGAGGCCCAGUGUCCCCAAGUCUUAGGGACUAAACAGAUUAAUCAAAUAGCUGUAUGACCAAAGGUUUCAUUAUUCUUAGAAUCUUUUUGGCAAAUGAUGUUGCCUCCUUAUUACAUAAGAACUGAGCAUUUACAGGCAAAAGUCUGCCAAAGAGCAUUCUUUGCACAGCAAGCAAUUAAAAUGUGGUAUGUGCUUCAUUUUUAGGAGCAGUUAGUGGUGAUUUUUGUGGUAUCAUGAUGUUGGUUUAAAUAAGAGAAAUUAGUUUAGAAUUAACUGGAAUUGUGAUCAUUCCUGAGAAGUUGCAACAGUGAGUUUCCUUUAAAAAGUGAAGAAACUUUUCUUUCUAAGGAGACAUUAGGAACAGUCUUUUCUUCUUUUUCUCAAAAGGAAAUAUCUUUUUUUUUUUUUGGUUAACAGUAAUAUAUAAAAACGGGGGAAAACCCAUGAAAGAACAGAAAAAAUAAAUAAAAAGUACCUAUAUUUCUGUCAUUCUGAUAUAAUGGUUUCAUUUUGAUGAAUUGUUUCAUUUCAGACAUUCUUUCUGUAUCUAUACCUGUAAUACAAACGUUUUUGUAAAUGAGCUUAUAAGAUUAUUAUUCUAUUAUAAUCUUUUGUCAUUAAAAAUGUAUUACGUGUGCUCAUCUUUAUGUGAAUGUAGGUCUGUGUCAUCAGUUGUAAUGGCUGGAUAGUAUCCAGUUAUAUAUAUAUAUACACAUGUACAUAUAUGUACAUAUAUAUACACAUGUAUAUAUAUGUACAUAUAUACACACAAAUAUAUACACACUUUAAUUUAUUGGAUUUAUCCUCAGUUAUGGAUGUUAAAGUUUUUUUGUUGUUAUUUUAAAUACCACUACAAUGAAACCGUGUUAAAAAUAUAUUUAUAAUCUAUUUUUUUUUUUUUUUUUUGAGACGGAGUCUCGCUCUGUCGCCCAGGCUGGAGUGCAGUGGCACGACCUCGGCUCACUGCAAGCUCCGCCUCCCGGGUUCACGCCAUUCUCCUGCCUCAGCCUCCCGAGUAGCCGGGACCACAGGCGCCCGCCACCACGCCCGGCUAAUUUUUUGUAUUUUUAGUAGAGGCGGGGUUUCACCGCGUUAGCCAGGAUGGUCUCGAUCUCCUGACCUCAUGAUCCGCCCGCCUCUGCCUCCCAAAGUGCUGGGAUUACAGGCGUGAGCCACCGCGCCCGGCCAAUCUAUUUGUUUAUGUUACUUGCUGGUUCAUAGCUUUCUUGAUUUAAGAUAACUUUUUACAUAGUAAGCAUGUAAACAGUUUUGACAAACUAUUCAUGAAAUAAUGGUUCAAAACUAUUUUACACCAACAUCAUGUAUCUGUUUCUUUACUCCUGCACAAUUAAGAUCUGCUUGCAAGUUAAUAUGUAAAGAACUUGCUACUUAAUAUAAGAAAAUUCAUAGUAACUCAGUGCUAUCUUUGAUAUCCGUGCAGCAUUAGUUUGGUUCAUUAUUUAUAUUUAAUUUCAGGAGUGAAGAUGCUAAUACAGCUCUUUUGACCCUCAUAGGAUGGUGCAAUAACCAGAAAGCACAUCUUAUUGCAGUUCACUAAUUAUAUGUUGUUAUAGGAGUUUCUGAACUAAUCCUAAAGUUUAAGGAUAAACAAGUUUCCUGGUAGAAUGAAGAUAAAUCCUAAAGAAUGUUUUCAGGAAUGAUUUAUCAUUCAUUCCGUAAAUAUUCAUUGAAGAUACUUAUUUUGACAGUCAGUGUGCUGAGCCCCAUUGUGGAUACAUGAUGAUAAAAGCAGAGUCACCACCCUCUAGAAGCUUACAGAUUAGUGAGGGAGAGACACUUGUGCAAACAUCCACAGCUGAGCAGAGUGAGGCAGGCAUGACAUCACUACUACAACCCAGGGAUACAGGUGUGAACAGAGCCUAGCCUGCUCACCCUGGAGUGUUGCAGCCUAGUAGAGCAGUUCCAGAGGACUGUCUUUAUAUGUACUAUUCAUUCUUUACCUGCUUUCAGUUCCAUGUGGCCCAUUUGAAGCAUGGUGGGGAAUAUUUGGUUUACUUGUUUAAAAAGGGUUGUGUAGACACCUCUGGGCUGGGCCAGGAAAGUUGCUUGAUAAAUUUUUUUUUUUUUAUUAAAAGAGCAUUCAUGUUAAGUAACCUAAGACUAUUUAAGAAUAGAACUCAGAAACUCAGAACUAUUUAUAGAGCAUUUGAAAUGAACAAGUUUAUAAACAUUGCUGCCAAGUUAACUGAUGGUUGGUAAGAGUGGAGGCCAGGACUUAGACCCUCUUCUGUUUUAUGCUGUUGGUACUGUGUCACUGUUUAUUUAGUACCACCACCAGAAACCUUUACCUUGUGUGAGGCACUUGCUUUUUGUACUAUUUAACCACAUUUUAAAUCGUUGUUGUUAAAUUUGACUACAAUUUGAAUUGGGCAAACAAUAUUAUGAAGGUAGAUAAGUUUUCAUUUAUUUACAUAUGUCAUGUAGUGGCUGAGAACACAUGCUCUGCAUCUUAAGUGCCUGAGCCCAAAUCCAGGAUUAGCCACUUACUACAGGUGGGAAAAUUGCUUUACCUUUUUGUUUCUGUUUCUUUACUCACAAGUACUUUAAAAAAAUUUCUGGCAUCCUAACGGUAAGUUGGAAAGAGUAGGAAAUGACUGUUUCAAAAAUAUUAUUUAGUUACCACAUAUAGGAAAUACGUGGUCUGAAUUCAUUGCAGGGAAUCACUGUACUGCUAGGAAUAAGGUGUCAACAUAGGACUGUGAAUUGCAGGCUUGAGGAUAUUAGAUCCCAUUUAGUGAAUAAUGUGAAGCCAACAAAAAGUUACAUAAUACAGGAUUAUAUGUACUAGAUUUUAUGAGGGCUUCUUAUGUAUCUAUAGAGGAAAAUGGAGAUUAAAUUUUUCAAAAAGAAAUAUUUCCUCCUAAGAUGGCUGGGUAUAAGGAAAAAACAGAGGCCUCUGUGUAGUGGUGAGAGAAAUGUGACAUUUAAGCUACAAAUGAAAAAACCGUUCAUAAUUCAGGGCUAUCUGAGAUGUUUGUUUUUGUUCUUAUUUGUUAUUUUAAUCUUGAGUUAAUUCAAUAAUGUCUAUGCAAAUUUGAAAAUAUUGGCUACCUGAGAAAAACCUUUUAAAGACUUUUUUUUUUUAGGCUUCUAUUGUUGCUAAUCUCGUGGUAGAGGAAAAAAUACUGACAUGGAGUUAGGCAAGUCAUUGACUAGCCAUGUAUCCCUGAACAGACUAGUCCCUAACUUCUUCAAGCCUGUUUCCUUCUCUCCCUCCCUCCCGGGCCUCUCUCUGUAACCCAGGCUGGAGUGCAAUGGUGUAAUCAAAGCUCACUGCAGCCUCAACCUCCUAGGCUCAAGUGCUCCUCCUGCACUUCCCAAAGAUUCAGGUAUGAGCCACCGCACCCCACUGAGCCUCAGUUUUCUUAUCUGAAGCUCUAACAAAGGACUGUUGUGUAGACUAAGGGAAACACGGUUGUGUCAGUAUGCUUCCCGUGCUUAAAAGCUCCUGGACUUCUUAUGGUACCAGACUUUAGAGCUCACUCAAAGAAAACACACUUGCAUUUCUCUUGAGUUGUUUUAUCGAUACAGGUUGAGUAACCCUAAUCCAAUAUGUGAAGUGCUUCAAAAUCUGAAACUCUUUGAACACUAACAUGAAGAUCAAAAAACAAAAACAAAAAACUUGUCGGAGUUUUUAGGAUAUUGAUUUUCCCAUCAGACAUACUGAACCAAUAGGUAUAUAAUGCAGAUACUCCAAAUCUGAAAUGAAAUCUGAAAUGCCUCUGGACCUAAGAAUUUUGAAUAAAGUAUACUCAACCUGUACUGAAAGCAUCAGAAUUUACGUCAGUGCUUUUUAAGAAAGGAGGUUUUUUCUGCUCUAGAGGUGAAGCAAGGUCUGAUGCUAUGAGAAAGGUAGAAGAUUGACUCAAUACUUCUUUUUGCCUGGUUCUGGGAGGACAUCUCAUAUGUUAAUAACUUAUUAGGGGCACCACAAGUGCAUACCUAUUAUACCAAAUCAGAUCUGGACAUCUAACGUGAAUAAUUCCACUGGUAUAUAAUGCUUACCAUUAAAGGUCUGCCUUUGGAACACCAAGCCAUACCUACUUUCUGCUCAUCCUCUGCUCACUCUCUCAUAGAAUCCUGAAUUCCUUGACCCCAGUCAUCAUCCAGAUACUCCUUUUCAUGAGCAAACAUUUAGUGUUUUAAAGUCACAAGGUCGCUACGUGGACAAAGACUAAGCAACACAGUUGUUUUUACUCAUGGAGAACAUGUCCAGGAGAGCUUUUCCUCUGGCUUUUGUUUAAUUGGGAUAGGAGGAAUUCAUUCACUUAUUCAUUCAGCAAAUGUUUUUUCAGUGGUCACUUAUUUUUAAAAUAGUUUCAUUUUUAUUGAGAUAUAAUUCACAUAGCAUACAUUUUACCCACUUUGAGUGUACAGUGUAGUGGUUUUUAGUAUAUUCACAUAGUUAGUGCAGCCAUCAUCACAGUCAGUUUUAGGACAUUUUCAUCACCUCGGAAAGUAACCCCAGAGCCUUUAGCUAUUAUCCCCUUAUCUCUCAUUCCCUCAGUGCUCACCCCAGGCCCAAGCAACUACUAACCUAUUUUGUCUCAACAUAUUUCCCUAUUUGAGACAUUUCAUAAGAAUAGAAUCAUAGGCACAUAUAGGGUGUAGUCCUUUGUGACUGGCUUCUUUCACUGAGUGUAAUGUAUUCAGGGUUCAUUCAUGUCACAGUGAGUAUCACAGCUUCAUUUCUUUUCCACUCUGGCUUCCAUGGCUCCAUCUUGCUUCCAGAAGGUUAGAUCAGUACAGUGAGGAAAGGAGCUGAUUUAAUCCAUAUUGAGAGGAAGAAAAGUGAAAUCAAUUGAUAUUUCAGAUAUCUAAAUCCAUGGUGAGAUUUAUUUUACUGCAAGCCCUCAUCAAUUAAAAAUUUUGGCCACUGUAUAAUUAUUUAUGAAUUAUAUACCUGAACUAUAUAAUUAUCUGAUGGCUGUUAUUUCAAAUAAAAUUGAUAAUUUCUCGUUAUUUUGGUCAGCUUCUUGACAAGUCUUGUCCAGUGUCAUUACAGAUUUUAGCUUUAAUGCAAGCUCUUAAAGGGUUGAUAUUAGAGGUAGAACUGUUGGCUUUGCCAUUUUCUUGCUGUUUUUUGUGCUUACAUUAUUACUGUUAUCUUCAGUCCACUUGGCAUUCUUGACCGUCUGGCAUACAGAGCAAACGGGGGCCCCAGUGGCAAUUUGUAUGUUAAAUAUUUCUGGUAAAACUUAAAAUUUUUCAUAUAGAAAUAUGUAUUGACAUUGUAGUAUUUUCUUCCUGCUGCACCCCAGUGGAUAAUGCUAUGUAUUCUUUGUAUGAUGUGGGAUAACCAACUAUUCUAGAUUGAUGGCUGGGGAAAGUAAACGGGAACCCUAUUCCUAUUUGUUCCGAUAAGAUACUUCUGAAAGUGUGGCUGUUGAGUGUUUCAUAUGAAAGUUUUUUAUGAAACCUGCAGAUUAUGCAGUAUUCAUGAGGAUACUCUUCUUUUUUUUUUUUUUUUUUUUUUUUGGCUGGUUGGGUCAAUUCUUUGCUGUACAGAUUACUUGCAGAUUGCUCAGAAUCACCUGGGUUUGCUGCACACUGAGCUGUGGGCUGAGGCUGUGUUUCACCCUCGUGUGGCCCAGCUAAAUGACAUCAUUUGAGGUCGUGCUUCAUGGUGACCUUGUGGCAUCUCCUGUUCACCCCUCCUGUGGCCCUGCCCUCCAGCAGCUGUGUGGGAAUUCUGCUCCCUUCCUUCUCUCUAGAUUAGAUGUCUGCACUAGGGCACUUGCUAUUUUAAACCAAAGAUGUACUGUGUGUGCAAGUGAUGAAACCGCUUGAAAAGAAGGCUCUGUGCUAUCUGAGACAGUUCUCAGUCUUUCAUGAGCAUGUUGAAAAUUGGGCACCAUCCAAUUAUUGACAUAUGAUUGUAGAUCUUGAUGGCAGAACUCUGCCAAUUCCCAGGGGGAUCUGCUUGAUAAGCUGUUCAUUUGACUUGGGGAAGACAGGAGAGCAGUUUAAACCCAGCUCCAAAUAUAAGAACUGUUUCUUUAGCAUGUGCCUGGGGCCAGCUUUGUUCUUCACUGAAGGAAUAACCAAAGGAAAUGGACUUAAAUUGUUGAAAGAAUUUAGGUUGGGAGAAUUACUUCAGAGGGAGAGAUUAAUAAACAUUGGAAUGGUUUAUCAAAGGAAAGCAUGGAAUCUGGUUAUUUAAAGGUUUUUAAGAGUAAAUUUGUAUUUGUGUGAAGCGAUUGGAAUGCCUCAUCUAGAGGGGUCCCAGACUUUGGGCAGUACCUAUUAACUCCUGCUCCUCAACCGGCUUGCUUCCCCCACUCCUCACCUCUGAGGCAGUUUUCUUUUCUUUUCAGUAAGGAGCAUAAGGACCCUCCAGGUUCUUCAAGAGAUUAUUUUUCCCUUCCUGAAGGGAAAAAUAAAUAGGCCAGCACAUAGAUUAUGCUAUAUAACGAGUCUCCUGUGUAUCAUUACAGUGUUGUCACCUCCAUUCUCAAUGAUGGCAAUUUUUGCUGAGGGCAGUCUGAGAAAUGUGUGGAGCCCACAGCUCCGGGGGCUACUGAGAUUCCAUAUGCUUUUAGUUUGUCUCUGCUUAGCCACUGGAGUGCCUCUCUCAAGGUUGGUGGCUGAGCAAGUGGUGCUGUGUUCUCUCACAUGCUGUUCAGGUGACUAAAAUUCUAAGUACAGGUUUCUCUGAGGAGGGCCUUGAAGAAGGCGGGGGCAGGGGAUUGAGGGGGCGCCGUAUAUUGACUUUUUCCUUUGGUUUGAAUGGGAAGCCUGGGAUGCUUCCAGUGACUGUUUUGCUUGUUACUUUGCAAGAGAAGGCUAAUGAUAGAAUCACAAAAGAAAUGUUUUUUUGCCUGAUAAUCUGAAAUUAGAAGGGGGCCUUGGGAUAUGGAAAAUGUGAUAAGCUUAUUAAGAAUGCAACCUACAGAAAAAUAUUUGAUAACACUGGAACUUAUUUCCGGCAUUUUCCGAAAAUGGUAAAAUUAAGGAAAGAUGGCACUUUUCCAAGAGAAAAAUAUACAGAUUUUGAGAUGUUAUUAUUCAGGUUUUCUUGCUGAUUUUGCUUUUGCAAUUCUGAAUUCAUGUAGUUUGUACCCUUUCCUCUAAAGCAAAACAAACCCCAAAUGAAACAAACAUAAAAACUGUAACCCAGUAAACUGAAGUAGGCAGGUUGUUAAAAGAAAGAGUUUUCCAGUUCUGCACAGUUACAGACAAAUUUUCAAAGAAAAUUUACAGUUGGGUACCUUACAGCCAGGUCUGUUGAUUCAAAAUCCUUUCAAACAAAGAUGGCUUUUGUUCGCCAAUUACUUGGUGUUUCAGAACUAAGAAGUUUUGUGCAGAAUGAAAGGAAGCAGUUAUUUCAUAGUCAUUUCUCCUAUGUCAAUAAGUUUUAGAACUUUGUAGACUUGGAAAAGUUAAAGACUGAUGGUUCAUUGACUACUAUCUACAUAAACAAUAUUAAAUCUUUGUGAAAAGGGGACUUUGUUAAACGAGAUGCAUUUUAUUUUAUAAAUUCUCUUAAGAUUCUACUUUCCUGCUCUCUCCAUCCAUAAUCUUGUCAUUUCAAUGUGAAUGUAAAUUCAGAGUUUCUCUGUAGAGCUAUGUAAUAUUGAUUAGGGCAGACAUUUUCAAAGGCAGCAAUUAAAAAUUAGAAUUGGAAUAACGGAAGGUUUUCUUACUAGGGAGUGAUUACUGGACAUAUGUAACACUAUAUGUAGCACCAGAGACAUAGUAUAGUGAUUUAUGGUCGCCCUGCUUGCUUUUUAUGUUGAUUUUAAAUGUAAUAAUGGAUGAAUUACACAAUGUAUUUAAUCAUAAGUCCAAAAUGUCUUAAUUAUUUUUAAAAAAUUAGAAAUAGCUUUACUUUUAAUUUCCAUUUUAAGAAAUAGGAUACUAGUGUUGAUGUAUUUUGGUUAUUAUGUUCUUAGGAAUUUUUCUGCCUCUUUUGGUGGCAUUAGGUUUUGAUUCACUUGUCAAGACGUGAUCCUGUCAUACUGAUUUGUGUCUCUGUAUCUGGAGCCAGAAUUGAAAACCACCUUUGACUUUCCUGUUCUUCCUCUUCUGUUAAUGGAAUCAUGCAUUUACAACUUCCCAAAUAAACCUGUGAUUCUUACAAAUGCAAGUAUCUGCUCUGCUUAGUUGAUUAAAAAGGGCUAAGGAGGAGCAGGUAAGGGCGCGGGACAGGUCUUUAGCAGCUGCACCCGUUCACCUUGCAUCAGGUGUCUGCAAAGUCUUCAGACCAAAUACAUGUUAGAGUCCCUUUCCCAAUUGGAAUCACUUACCCCAUCAUUUUUAUUUUACCCUUUAGGCUUGAAAAAGUGUGUAUUUAGCCAUCAGUUCAUUUUGUGUGGUCUGAGUUAUAAAAUGCCCCUGCUGGUUUUUCCAUAUGAAAAACAUGGUUUUCAUUUGUGGAAACUUACAUAAUUUUUUUUCUGGGCCUUUUGUGCUGCUUUAAAUUAAAAGCAAAUGUAUUUCCCUCCCCUUCAUUCUUGCUUCCCCACCCCCAUCUUUGCAUGUUCCAAUUACAGAGUUGUGAAAAUAAGUCAUCCUUCGGCUUUUGUUACUUUAAAACAGCUAUCGGUGAUGUCAGAGUCAAUACUAAAAGCAUUAAGAAUGCUGGCAGAAUGUAAUGCAGCUGCAAUCCAACAUGAUGCUGGAAAUGGGGUUGAGAGCAUAAAGGCUUUCCAUAUUCCCAGGGCGCACAACUGCUUGCGGCCUUGGCUUUGAUCUCUUCAAAGGCUGCUGCCUCCUCCUAGAUGGAGAGACUUGGCUGCCACUCGCUUGCAUUGAAAAAAGGCAGAGGUCUCUAUUCAGGCAGAAAUCAAUCACUGUGCAGAAACAAUUAUGUGUAAUUCAACCAUCAUGAAAACAGGACGAGAUUACGGGUUUGUUACCUGAGUGACUGUGUGAAGACGGGGAGCAGAGAACACUGGAGUCCCGCUGACAUGCCACAUCUCGAUGACAAUUAUAGACAUAUGAAUGAUGUGGCGGGGGGGGAGGCACAAUGACAAAUACUGGUCACGCUGUCCAGCAGAGCAGAAAAUGAGGUUACAAUUGGGAGAUAAUGUUUGCAUAUGUAACCAUAUUUCAGCAAGCUGAACAACUUCAGGGAACAGACCCUCAAAACUCUUGUGAAUAUUUGUAUGUACAGAGACUAACAUAUGAAUUUGAUAUUGGCUGAAUUAGGACAAAAAUAAUCCUAAUAAUUUGAGGAUUAUACUGAAAGAGAGAAGGAAAGUGAAUUUAACUUUGGUUUAUUACACUUGCUGAUUUGGAGUACAUACUACUGCUAACACCAAACUCUGAAAACACAACUAACUUUCUAACCUAAUAUAUAUGGAUCUCUCUUUAAACAUCUUCUGGUUCAAGAAUAACAUUUUUAUUUUGAGUCUGUAAACUUGUCUCAAAAAAGCAUUAUGUUUUUUCACCUUGAUUGAGGCUUUUUGGGGAAAUGAUUUUUGUCAGUUGUACCAUCUUCCCUUGUUUUCAGAUUUAAUUUUUGAAAAGCAACUUUCUCAAAUGUGUUGAAGUUUCCUUUCACUGAGAAGAAAAGCAAGGCAUUUUUCUAGGUAGGAAAUAACUUUUUGCUUUAAGUACAAGUAUGCUUAAUCUUGAAGCCCUGGCAUGCAAAGCUAUCGAGGUAUUUAUUUUUAUUUUAACUUGCUUCUUGUCACCUAACAAAGGCGUAGGAGUAACCUCGCACUUUGCUAGCUAACCUGACUCCGGGUGAGGGGAAAGUCAAAAUAAGAUGAAAACCUAGAUGGCUGAUUAUAAAAUGGUAUUGCUUCUGCUCAGUUUGAUACCCAGGCCUGGGUUUACCUUUUAUGCUGCUCCAGCUUAGACAUCAGAGGCGUGAGAGCUGCUUUGAGUUACAGAUCUUCAAACAAUAAGUCAAAACAAAAAAUCAAUCCCCUCCGGUCCCUGGGUGCAGUUAUCGAAAGAUAAAAGAGAAAAAUAAAGUUAUGCUAAAGUAGAUAGAGGAAAGGAGCAGAUAUGCCAAGGAAACACGGAGGACAAGUGCAGAGUUGAAGUGGGCCUCAUAUGAGCCAACAUCAAUGAAUUUUUAUCUUAUCAAAAAGUUUUAGGGUUGCCAGUUCUUUUCAAACUGGAUCCAGUCUGCUCCAGGGCUGCCUGGAGCGUUGGCUUCAAUGAAGUUGCUUUUCCCCCCUCCCUCUAAAAUAUAACCACAUAGGAAUUAGACUGCAUUUCACUCAAGGUAUAAAACUUGCCACAGACUUCGACGGCAAAUUAGGGGUUUUGAUAAUCCCUUGAUAUUUUGAAUAUAAAUUGAGGGGAGUGUGUGUGUGUGUAUUUUUAUGUUUAUUGAAAGCUGAGAUUUACAUGAAAAGUAAGGCAAAUCUCUAUAGUGUGUUUUUGCUUCAAGCCAAAUUUCUAAGGAGAGCUAGAAAGUCCCCAUGAAUUCUUUUUGAGGUAAGAAAUCUGUGUUUUUCCUCUGUUUCUUGUGGGUAAUGUCAGAUAUUUUUGGAUAUUAAUUAUAACUAUCUGAACCAUUUUAGAUGGUAUUUUAACAUAUGAGCCAGUAUAUAUUUUUAUGAAUCCAAGUUAUAGUUUGAAAAAAAAGCCUUACAUUUUUACAUAUUUUUAGAAAACAAUAAACUAGUUUACUCAAUUGUUUUACAGCUGUAAAUGUUUGUGAGAUGAUCCUAGUUCCUCUAUUAACGUCCCUAAAGGUCUCUCACAAAAUGGCAGCACAUAUUUCAUUCUUGUCCUUCCCUUUGCUUCCUCUUUGUUUUCCUUACCGAGAGAGUCAUGUUCCUGAGCUAAUGCCAGCAGGGCCAGCAGGGCCAGGGUGGAGGUCCAGGCUCUGCAUCCACCUCCCUAACCACUGUGGAGCCCGGCCUGCACCUUGCCCUGUGAUCUGUGCUGGACAUAGUCACAUUUAACAGCCCUUCAAGUUUCCAGGUUUUAAGGGAGAAAAGGAUAGUUAGCUUGGCAUUGUAGAUGUAGAUGCCAUGCUAUUUAAAGAUGCAUGUUCUAUAUAUAAACUCUAGUUAAUCAUUUGACUAAAACCAUCAUAACUUUCCUUUGCAUAGUUCAGAUGAUUCAUUGUUUUGAAAACUAUGUAAACUCAAAUGGAAAACAACCACGCACUGAUGGUUGCAACUUAUAUUUCCCAGUAUAGAGUUAAUGAGCAGAAAAAUGGCAGAGCCGCUUCCACACAUCUAAGGCUGAACAUUUCUUGGAACUAUUAAUGAAUGUACUUUACUGUAAACAUUGAAGCUUAGCAGUAUGUUCUAUAGGCCCUGAGAAGAGGGGAAUGAAGAUUCUUUCUAGUUUCUUACAAUUAUACCAUGGCAGGGAAUCUCAGUCUGUAUUUUUAGGUAUUUGUCCUCCAACUCUCCUUCAGGCCUGGUUCAGCUAGCAUUUCCAGUCCAGUCUCUACCAUUUCCUAUCCGUAAUCCAUCCUUGUUAUCCUUCCAGGCUACUUAGAGGAUGUUGCUACGAGUGGCUUCAUGUUUACAUGCAAGGAAGGGAAGGCAGAGGAGGAAAAUGGGGCAUGGUGGCACAUGUAGGUCACAUAGGCAUCAUGCGUCAGCAAGCUCCGUUCUGUCCCCCAUGGAAGCAUCUUUGAAUUCCUGAUGUUCUCAGCCCUAAAUUCUCAGCUCUUCUAUUCUCAUAUAGGCAGUGGCAACUUCAAGGCGUUUGGAGGAGUUGGGGCUAGCCCCCAUAAUCUCCAGCAAUACCCUUCACCACCCCAAAUAAACACCUUUGCUAAGUAAAAAUAUUCUUCAGAUACAGCAUUUACUUCAAUCUUGCAACCAGAUUGCUGUUCCUAAGCCCCCUUUGUGUAGAAAUGUAUAUGCUAGGUAAGCUGUCAGGCAUACUCGUGUGUGUGUGUGUGUGUGUGUAUACACACACAUACACACCUGUACAUAUAAUGCAGUGUUUAAAGCUCAUGAGUCAGAUUGCCUGUGCUUGAAUUUCACUGCCAUGCAAGUUCCUAAAGCAUUAUAAUGCUCACUUUCCUUAUCUGUAUAAUGGGAGUAAUCAUAGUAGCGACCCAUAGGCUUGUGUAAAGGCAAUGCAAAUACAGAGCAUACUUGAUACCUCUUUUUGUUGUUGGAAAAUAACAAUUCCAUUCCAUACAUCAUGAAAACAUUAUUUGCAUUUCAUUACUGACCUUUUGAGAUGUACUCUUUCAUCUAUUUAUUUUAUACAUAUUUGAUAUUCGAAAUUCCACAUUUGACCAGCUCCCCGAGUAGAGGCCAUGGGUGGAGGAAAGAACUGAGUCCAACAAGUCUCAUCUAAACCUGUAUUUCUGUUGAAGAAGCAAAAAUAGGAGAUUUUGUUGGGGUCAUCCUAAAGGCUGCAUAAUCAUGAGAGAAAAUUAUGUGGUUAAUAAUUUGUUAACCUCUUAGGUUUCAGUAAUUUGGAAUUUAGGAAAGCAAAAUCAUAGUUCACAUUUUUCCCUAGUCUUUUUAAUGUUAAUAUACUAAAGGAAAUUAUAUAUCUCUUUCAAAGGAAAAAUGUUUUAAAAUUAGGUGAAUGUUAUAUUUUGGCAUGUUAUAUUGGGUUGAUAUAUUCUAUAGGACAAUAUUAAGUUUUUAUUACAGAGUCUAUGAGUGUGCAAUUCAUUAGCAUUUGGAAUGGUAACAGGAAAACCAUAUUCAAAUAUUUUGAAUCACAAAAUAUAAAUUAGGAUCUAAAAUUUAUAAUAUUCAGGGAUAUGAUGGGUGAGAUGAGCAAGAUUCAAGUUAAUAGAUUAUUAUAGUCUUCUGAAUAGUACCAGACUCUGGACAGCAAAGUAACCAAUACCGUUCCUUCCUACAUUCAGACUUUGCUCUUCUUCCCCCCAGCACACACAGCCUCUAAUCCUCAUGCCAACAAAUCAGUGCCACUUUCCUCUUUUCCUAUCUUUGAGGGCAUUUUUAUCACAUAAAAACUCCACAUUGAAAAAUCUAAGUUGUAGUAUGAAGAUAGCUUUAUGAUGUUUAAAAUAUUACUUGGACUUUCUGUUUUAAUUGCUUUUUUGAUUGCAUGAAUCAGUUUUUUUAGUGGUGAUUUCUGAGAUUUUGUUGUAUCCAUCACCAGAGCAGUGUACACUGCACCCAGUGUGGAGUCUUUUAUCCCUCACCCCACUCCCACCCUUUCCCCUGAGUCCCCAAAGUCCAUUGUAUUAUUCUUACGCCUUUGCAAUAGACUUUCUGUUUUAAUAGGAAAUUGCUAGCUUUGAUGAUUUGUGAUGUUUUGUAAAAAAUGUUGAAAAUAACUAUUUAAAAAACUAUUCUUCGUAGCUUCAAAAUUCUGUACUGUUUGAAGAAUAAUUACAAUACUUAUUUAGGGAGAGGCACCAAAUACAUAUUUUAACUAACAUUAAAGUCAAUUUUAAAGUACUUACAAUAAAGAAAAAGUUGACUUUUUAAUAAGCCAGAAGAAACUUAGUCUGGGUUAAAUAGCUUUAUCCUUAGCAAAAAUGACCAGACAACCUCUCAGAAUUUUAAAGGAAGACUUAGAGCCCUUAUUGGUAGCUAUUUAGUUUUCAAUGACUACAUACUUAUAUAAUUUCAUAAAAAUUAUUGGAAGUUAUUUCCCUUUUUACCCUUGGAUAUUUUGAGUUAGAACAUUAUUUUUAAAAUCUUAUAAGCACAGUAGGGUAAAUAAUCACAAACAUUUAUGUUUUUUAAAGAAAAAGACACCUUACUGAAGGGCAAAUGACCCUAUAUUAUUAGAUUUAACUAUUCAGUCACCGUAAGAAUUACAAUAGCAUGUUUUAUACAAUGUGUGAAUCGUAACUCUAGGUCUGCAGUUAUAAGACCCCUGAAAGGCAAACUUCUGGCAUUUGAUCAUAUGUAUUGCUGAACUUUCCAGAUCUGGGUGGGGUAUCCAAACCUGGAAUUGUUAUAAUACUAUGCAGCAUAAGCAUCUAAAGUUUAAAAAAAAAAAAAAAAAGGAAAUUUAAGGAGAUGAGAAGUAUUUGAACUGGCAAUAUGCUAUAUAACUGUACAUGUUUUUAUAAAGAUUAAUCCUUUGAUUUUAGAAUACUUGGUCAAAUAGCCAGUAGAAUUUAAGUUUUGAAGGUUUUGGGGGGAAUACGCAUAUAGUAGAAGGACAAAGCAGAAAUGGUUAAGAAAGAUACGAAUUUUAUAGCAUGCUAAACCAACACCACGUGAAAUUUUAUAGGUGCAGGUUCUUUAUGGAACUUCUAAUGUUUGCACAUUUAUUUUAGAAAAAAUGAACUAUGCUUCUGAAAGUUAUUUUACAUUUAAGUUCAGAGUUAUUUCCUGUUUUCUUCUCUUGUCUACCAUAACUUGUUUUGUUUUUUUCUACCUGAAUUUUAACCCUUGAAAGAUUUCAUUAUUUUCACAUCACAUCAUCACCUUCCCCUGAGCAGCUGAGACCAGUUUUUGCUCAUUCAACCUGUUUGUGUAGUAAUUUUGUGACUGAUUUUCUUCAUGUAUGGGCAAGGAAGAAGUCAUACUGUUUGUACAGUUCACAUUUGGGCAGGAUUGGGGGAAAGGGGGAUGAAGCCAAAAAGAAAAAGUUCUUGGAGCCAGCCCAUGGGGUGCGUGGGAGGAGAGCAGAAGGAAUUGCAGGCUCCAAGCAGGUUAGCUUGAAGGACUCACAGUGGAUAAUUACCUACACUAUAUGGCUGGAGGAGGGCUACAAGUCUCCACUUGCCUAAAAACAACUCCCCCGCUGGCAGGCCAUUGAAGUGUCACUCAGCCAGCUUCCUUACCCCCAGUUCCCACUGCUAGAGGCUCUCCAUAGACAAAGCAGGGCGUUGUUGCCUAGAGGCCCCUGUUCUUGCCGGCUAGCAGACACAGCACUGUACCUCUCCUGGGGCAUGCCAGUCCCCCAGUGGGAAUAACUCCCUCCACCUUCACUCUCGCCAUCCUGAGCCUCCACUGGAAGGGAUGCUUGCAUUUCAGGGCCAUCACCAGAAAUAGAUGGAAGCACAUCUCCAUCUGUAUUUGAGCCUGCUGUCAUUUGCCUCCUCCUACCCUUUAUCACUCUUCCAGGCUAAACAGUCUUAAUUCUCCGUGCCUGCUGGUUUCAGAACGUUUGCUGUUGUGGCCCCACUCCUAGUUACAUUCUUUGUUUUGGCCCAAUAAAAGUUUGGGUUUUGAAGUACACUCAGUGCUUCAGAUUGAGCUGGCCCCCCACAGGAUAGGAGUGGUCUGUAGCUUCCCUCAUUCUGGAUGUUUGAGUUCCAUUAAUGCGCUGCAGGUUUUAGAGUCUUAAUAGCGUCUUGACACCUGGGCUCAAAGUAGAUUUUAGGCAGCUAAAACUCCUGUCUUCCUCUAACAAGUUUGGUUUAUGGACCCAUCAACUUGCAAUGUUUUAUUGUAAUCUAUAUUAGCACCCCCCUUCUCAAUUCACUUGGUCACUUUAGUCAUUUGGGGUCUUUUUGGACCUAGUGAUGUAGUGUUUUUUAUUCCUUCCAUUUUCUUGUCAUAUGGGAAUUUGAAAGGCAGGCAUCUGUAUCCCUUUUAAAGUCAUUGAUUAAAAUGUAUGAAGAAGCAGGGAUGCUGGGUGGGUUAUCAUUACCCUUUGAGUAUAUGAAAGGGUUCUGCUUCAACUUGGGAAUCAGAUAAGAAUCCUGGAUCUCCCUUUGGCUUGCUAUGUGACCUUGAGCCAUUUACUUUAACUUCUCAGGGUUUUAAUUUCCUCAUGUAUAAAACGAUGUUACCUCCUACUUCAUAGAGCAGAGUGAGGAAUGGAGAGUAUGCAUGCAAACCAUCAGAUGUGCCUAGCACAUUGUAAUGGGCAAUACGUGCUCUUUUUUAUCCUGUUUUGGAAUCACAUUGAUAAGAGUUUAAUCCUUCAUCUGUAUGUCUUGAUGUAUUUGGAAUAACUCUGUGUGGCCCAUCAGCUUCUCCAGUCUCCUCUUUUCUAGGAUGGAGUGCCAGUGCUGUAGCCUGCUCCUCCAGUGCCCUGUAUUAUUCUACAUUUGAACUUUAAAUAAAGAAAGAAAGCUGCUCUGGAUGAGCAGUAGAGCCCUAUUCUAGCCCUCUUUGAUUACACUAGGUUAAUUUGUCAGUUGAUAAUUUAGAAGUAUGACGUGUGGAGGCACAGUGGAUAAGGGAGAAGUGUAAGAGCUGUCUUCCAAUAGUGGAAGGACUGCUAGCAUGGAAGAGGAAGUGGACUUACUUGUGUAUUCACUGAGGACAAAAUAAUAUAUGUCCACAGUUCUUUAUUUGUAAAUUUGGAAUUGAAAGAUAUGUGAAAGUUGAUUUUUUUUUUUUUUGGUAAAUUUGGUGGCAAAAUCCAACUUUAAUUAAUGUGAAGUUAUUUAUAUAUACUCGUUAGCCCACUAAUUGUGAAUAUUUAUAUGCUUCACUGCGAAAAUACAAAUGUGUUUGAUGAUGGAGUGCUUCCCUGGACCCCACUGGGGAGAGUAUAAAACACACAGUAUGUGUGCCCUAUCUAAAACCUGAAAAAUUAAGUUGUAAGACGUGCAGCCCCAAGGAUUUCAGAUAAGAGAUUAGGGGCCUGUACCAAUGAGUAGAUAGAAGUCUUGGCAAAUAGAACCAAGUUUAAGGAAGACAUCCUCACAUAUAUGACAAUAAAAUGAGAUUAUUUUCUGAUGUAAUGAAUCUCAGACACAGAUCAUUCAUGGUGGAGGUGAGGGUUGCCAUGAAACCAUCUAUUAAGGAUGUUAUCAAAGGAGUUUAUUGAGUAGGAAACUGGACCUCUAAAGUCCGUCCCAACCCCGCAUUUAUUGAUUUAAAAGACACAGUUUUGCCAGUGCAGUGGGCACAUGCCUGUAGUCUCAGAGGCAGGAGAAUCACUUGAGCCCAGGAGUUCGAGUCCAGUUUGGACAACACAGCAAGACCCCAUUUCCUUAAAGAAAUUUUUUUUUAAAGGACAUAGUUUUAGUCCUAGGUGGAUGAGCUCCAACAGAGGUUUCUCUGAUAGACUGAGCUUACAGCCCUGGCCCAUUCUGAGAAUUAGGCCAUAAACUGAACAUGGGACACUAUGCUGGAGAGUACAGGCACCUAAUGAAGGACGAGUCUGUAAUUGCUUAACAUGUAUUACUUGUAUUCCAUGAUUACAUAGUCACUGUCACAUUUAAAUAAAAGUUACAUGAUAAACUCUCAUUUAAUAAGGUUGAUCUAACCCAGUGGUUUUCAAAGUGUGGUCUCCAGAUCAGCCACAUCGGCAUCACCUGGGAACUUGUUGCAGAUGCUGGGGCGGGCGGAUCACGAGGUCAUGAGUUUGAGACCAGCCUGACCAACAUGGUGAAACCCUGUCUCCACUAAAAAUCCAAAAAUUAGCCAGGCAUGGUGGUGUGUGGCUGUAAUCCCAGCUACUCGGGAGGCUGAGGCAGGAGAAGCGCUUGAACCUGGGAGGUGGAGGUUGCAGUGAGCCGAGACUGCACCACUGCACUCCAGCCUGGGCGACAGAGCGAGACUCCAUUUCAAAAAAAGAAAAAAAAGAAAUGCAGAUUUCAGGCUGGAUGCAUCUGUAAUCCCAACACUUUGGGAGGUAGGGGCAGGCAGAUUGCUUGAACCCAGGGGUUGGAGACAAGCCUGGGCAACAUGGGGAAACCCCAUCUCUAUUAAAAAAUACAAAAAAUUAGGUGGGUGUUGUGGUACAUGCCUAUAGUUCUAGCUACUCAGGAGGCUGAGCGGGGAGGAUGGUUGGAGCCUGGGGAAGUGGAGGUUGCAGUGAGCUGAGAUUGUGCCAUUGCACUCUAGCCUGGGUGACAGAGCAAGACCCUGCCUCAAAAAAAAAAAAAAAAAAAAAAAAAAGGCAGAUUUUCGCUCUCAUCCCAUAUCUAUUGAGAAUGCUGUAGUUGAGGGUUGUUAGAAAACUGCAUUUUAUUAAAAUCCCUCCAGGUGAUUCUGAUGCAGGCUAGUUCAGUAAACAAUAUCAACUAGUUUUCAUAAAGAAAACCUCUGGAGGGCCCAUAGUGCCUGCACUCCAGGUCUCAAAGUAUACUUUGAGAUCUAGGUUAUCUGCCAAGGUGCUAUCCUGAAAGGACUCUAAAUGAGACUCGAGUUGCAAAAACAGAAUAGAAGAGGAAAAAGGGAUUCUAAUUGGGAUGCCAAGACAAAGCUUUCUGGGAAGUAUGUGCUUUAAGACAUGGGUAAGAUUUUGAGGGGGUACAGAAUGGGAUAGUAUUCCUUGCUGAAGGAAGAGAACAGUAAAACCUCUUCAUUGGCUGGGGAACAGAAUCGUCUCCAGAAUGUCAGUGGGAAUACAAUACUAACAAGGGAGAGCUCCUAUCAGCCGGACUAGUUAAUUAUGUUUUUUACAUAAUGUGAAUAUGAAAUAAAUUCUUUUUGGACCCAAAUACCUGCCUUUAUCCUUAUUAAGGGUAGGCACAUCAGUCUAGUCCUGUGAUACAUUUUGGAUUCCUGAAGCUGUAGCCCCAUUGCCUAAUUAGAUCCUCAUCCAAAUUGUCAAUAAAAACGUUUACCUUGAAUUUGAAAUUUCCUUCCAGGUUGACCUAAAUCCUAAUACUGCUUCAGUGCAUUUUGUUGCACUAGAAAGAAAUAACCCUGAUUUCAUAUGUGGUUUUAUACAACCAGUAUUUCAUUGAACUCACUGUUAUAUCAUCAUACCCUAUACAACGCACCUUAGUUUUUUUUACUGGGAGUUUUUACAUUUUAAGCUUUUUAUGAGAUAUGUUUGAUACAAUAAGCUGCAUAAAGGCAGGGUUUUAUCUAGGACUCUUAGCAUGUCAGAAACUAAAAAAAAGUUAUGUUUCCAAAGAGCCCAUGUCUCAUAGAAGCCAUAAUUGUGCCUAGUAGCUUAUAUCAGCUUGUGUACUACUCAAAAACACAGGCAUUUGGUGGGUAUUCAGCAACCUUGUUUUUCAGACUAUGUAGGCAAUUUGUGGAGAUUGGCUUUGAUGCUGUUGCUUGAGUUUAGAGUGUUUCCAAAUGUCUUUCAGCCAAAAUUAUGUCCAGUGAUAUAUGGAAGUGUGUUUUUGUGGUGGUCUUUUGCAUAGCUGUGUAGGCAUUGUGUAGAUACUCUUGAGUAGAUUUUUAUUUAAAACAUUUUUUUUUUUUUUUUUAGAGAUAGGGUCUUGCUCUGUCACCUCACCCAGGCUGGAGUGCAGUGCCACCAUGAUAGCUCACUGCAGCUUGGACCUCCAAGUUAAAUGCCUAGCUAAUUUUUAAAACAUUUUUAAAUAGAAACGGGUCCUUGCUAUGUUGCUCAGGCUGGUCUCAAACUCCUGGCCUGAAGUGAUCCUCCUACCUUGGCCUUCCAGAGCACUGGGAUUACAGGCAUGAGCCACUGCUUGAGUAGUUUAAAUUAAAAUAAGCUGGAUGUAGUGGCGCCACCUGUAGUCCCAGCUGCUCUGGCGGCUGAGGCGGAGGAUCACUUGAGUCCAGGAGUUUGAAUUCAGCCUGGAAAAUACACUGAGACUCCUAAAAAAAAAGAUAAAUAAAAAAUAACCUGGGAGGAAAGAUACAGUAGUUUGGUGAAAAGCUUCCUAGGUGAUUUAAAUUAAAGAAAAUAUUUCUCUUUAGCACCUUACUACCACCACCACCAAAAUGCAGUAGUUUAAUAUUGUUCAAGAAAAAAAAUUUUGUAUGCCUCAUUAAUUUUCUUUCUUCACUUGUUAGUGGAGUGUUUAAGUUCUAAGAAGCAACUUGGGAAGGGCAAGGAAGGGAAUGUGUUAUUUUACAUUUAGUAGCAAUUUAACUGGAAAGUCUUUUUUUUUUUUUUGAGUCGGAGUCUCACUUUGUUGCCCAGGCUGGAGUGCAGUGGCAUGAUCUUCGCUCACUGCAACCUCUGCCUCCUGGGUUCAAAGGAUUCUCCCACCUCAGCCUCCCUAGUACCUGGGAUUACAGGUGCACACCACCACACCUUGCCAUUUUUUUUUUUUUUUUUGUAUUUUUAGUAGAGACAGGGUUUCACCAAUUGACUAGGCUGGUCUUGAACUCCUGACCUCAAGUGAUUUGCCUGCCUUAGCCUCACAAAGUGCUAGGAUUGCAGGCAUGAGCCACCACGCCUGGCCUGGAAGGUCUUUUGAUGAGCCAUAAACAGUUAAUAAUAUCAUCUUAGGCUGAUAGUGCAGCAUCAUAGGACUGGCAAGUAACAUAAGAGAGCAUUCUUGUGCCUUUAAGGAUCUCAUCAAAAUUAUCCAGGUAGAUAGUUAUCUGUCAAACUCUUAAUGGUCUCAUUUAAGGAGAAUCAUAUAAGCAGUCUUAAAUAACUGGUUCUGGUCACCAGUGUUAUCAUCUGUCCUCCUCUUUUUUUAGCCUUAAUUCCAAUUGCUGCUCUGCAUGUCCUUGUAUGAAGGGAGUGAUUUGAAGGGCUAUUUUAGCUCACCCUAAAACUCAAAGGGAAGUAUAUGAAGUAGUAUUUUCCUCUAGGUGAUUAUUGGAAUUGAUCUUAUGGAAGAAAAGAAAUGAAAAAUGGGAUCACUAUUGAAUACCUUGGUUGUCAUUCACCCUGUAAAUAGUAUCGUUACUCAUAACACAGCUUAAGAGGACCAUGUUUCUUUCCUAAAUAGACACCAUUUGUUAUUGGUACUUGAGAAACACUAAGAAAAUUGUUCAAAGCAUACACAGUGUGAUUCCUAUGUGUAAUCACAAUGUGAUUAUACCCUACUAAGUACCCAAAUUUGUAUCACAUUUUUUGUGCCUAGGAUUUGCAGCCACCUUUUACUAACAUAAACUAAGCAUGUUUCUAACUUUAUUCAACAAUUAGAAUGCCAAGGUAUGACCUUUUUAUUAAUGAGGAAUAUUUUGUUAUUGAAAAGACUUACAGAGAAUGAGCAGAACAACCUUAGUUUCGUUGUUUAUGAAGUGGAACAUGCUGGCAAGGUUUUUGUUCUCUAUCUGGAAUUUUCUCAGAAUCCAGAAAAGUGUUGUUUUACUUGGAUUGUUCUCUCUCUCCUUUGCUUCUCCAUUAUUCAUGAAGGACCAUGUUUUUAUAGAACAAAGCAUUCAAAAUUUAUGCAAUCCAUACAUGUUUUGAGUUUCUAACUAUUACAGGAAAAAUUAUUACCCUGAGGCUUAGAGAAACCAUGAUUCAGUGAUAUUUUUUCUUCCUAAAAUUAUAAUUUGCUUUGGAAUUCCAGUGCUCUUGGAAUGCUAGAGGUAAAGAAAGCAUUCUAAUUGGCCACUGGUUCUUGGGAAUGGAAAGGGUUUGUGUUUUUUGACCUCCUUCUAGUGAUUUGGUUGACUAAUCUACAUUUUAUGGUAGAAACAAUGUGGAGUUGACCAGAGCUCCAUAUACUCAGAAGGACUUUGAAGUGACCCCAGUCCUGCAGAGGUGUUAAAAGGAACUUUCUGCUGUGUAUUCCCAUAGAAGCAGCAGAUUCAGUAAUGAGAGGAGUUUGAGGAAGAAUAGAAGCAGAAGGGAUGUCCUGAUUCAGCUUUGAGUGGUUGGAAAGGAGGAACUGAUGAAGCUGGUGCCCAGUGGACCCUCUCCGGGAUUUUUCCUGGCCUGAUUUUUUAAAGUAAAAAUGUUAGCCUGUAAUUUGGUAAAUAUUCUUUCAUCUGUAAUAAUAUUUAUUUGAUUGUUAGAGACAACCACUUAUGAUGGACAUUUUUAUGGGUUUCUUCUCUUCUUCUUUGUCUUUUAAUCUCUAUUAAACCAACAACAAAGGAAAUAUAUUUAACUGUACUGCCCUGAUAGAGAACUCUUCUCAUGAUUUACAAUUUUUUCUAGUCCUGCCCAUAUACAUAGGUAUUGUGUACAUUUUUUAGUCUUACCUGAUUAGGAUUAUAAUAAUCAAUAGGUUCAUACCGAUUAUCUUUUCAAUAGGUAUGGCUUCUGUAUCUUUAUGUAUUUGUUUGCUAGCUCAAAUGAACAUAUUUUACAUGUUAGAAAAGAGCUCCUUUAGAAUCAGCCUUAAAAUAAGUAAUGUCUUUCCAAAGGGCAAAAGAAAGUCUAAAUCAUAACUUCAGUCAUCAGUUUAUCGUAGAAAAAAAAAAAAGCCCUUCCUCAGUCUGCUUUUUUCCCUUGAGAAUUUUAAUCCCACCUUGUUUUUCUGCCAGUGACUUACUGAUAUCUUGCCAAGCUUUUAUGAAGUUUUUUUAAUGAUAAAUAAUUUUGUUUAUGUUGUAAUCAUUGACAUUUAGGAGCUCUUGUUCCACUUUGUUCAUCUUUUUGUUGUUUUUCUUAAACCCAUAACCGGUGUUUAGAGGGCAGGACUGAAGAUUCUUGUGAAGGUCCUGACUUGAUUGCUGGACUCUGCUGCCACUAGUAAAAUUUCCUUGGUGAGAACUCUGCUCCCUCCCAAAUAGGUGAAUACUCUCACUUUCAUAAUAGAGUUUGCAUGUGUAUUUAUUUUGAGACUCUGCCAUUCUCUCCUGAGAAUGGUACAUAAUGGUACAUAUUUAUUAUGUCUUUGAACUAAUGCACUGAACUUACUGGUAUUCACUGUAUUUAUCAAUUCAAAUUAUGCAGUGAAUACCAUUAUUUGACACAAUAAAUAUAACACAUAAGCAAACCUCCAGUGGUUGGAGAGUUAAGGAAGUAGAGCCUGUAGGGCUGAAAUGGUCAGGACAGACCCUACAGAGAGGAUUCAGGGCCAUGUGGAAACUCCAGAAAAAGGGAUGCAAGGACAAACACCCAAUCCCUGACCUCAUUCUUUUUGCCUAGUCCCAAACCCUUCAGAUCUUAAAUUUCUGUUUCCCAUAAUCCAGACUUUUUGUCUUGUACAAGCUACAUACCCCCCUGUUGCAUCUCUAAGUUCUCUUGACUGUAAUUUUCCUGCUAUUUAUAUUCCUAAAAUCUUUGGUUUCCUACAGUCACGAUAAUUUAUUUUCCGCUUAAAUAAGUGAGAAAUGGCUAGAUACUCUGCCAAAGUAAGUGAGAUGAGCUAUGAAACCUGUUCAGAAUACUAGCAGUAGUCCCACUGAGGUGGUUUUCAAGUAGAAAGGGAGAAGGAGAGAGAACAUAACAUUUAUGUCAACACGAUUGUAAUUGUACAUAAUUUGUCAUGAGUGAAUCCCUGGGUUUGCUUUUUUCUUGCCACUUCUUUCUCCAGUUCUCUCUUUAGCCUAUCCCUGGAGAGUCACAUGAGAUUCAGCUUCAGUGAUAUAUAUAGCAGCAUUCAGGCAGUAAACAUUUCCGUAGAUGCACAACUUUAUAAAUAACAUAAGUAAUUUGUAGAUAUUUUUAUUCCUUUAGCAGUCUCCUAGAUUAAAGGGUUUUGACAUGACAUGAGGAGCCUUCCCAAAAAAGAACCCAAAGAAUUAACUUGUCAAAUGAGAAGUCCCACGUCUGAUCACUGAGCCUCUCCCCAGUUUUAGCAUUCUGUUCUUGGCCUCUGGGCCUUCACCUGCACUGUUUUUUUCUGCCAAAAUGAGCCCCCAUUACACAUGAAAAACUCCUACUUCCAGCUCCUAUGUCUCCUGAGAAGCAUUCUUCUAGCCCCUCAUUGGCCAUAUAAUUACCCCUGUAGUAUUUAGUCGAUGACUCACAUACAGCAUUUUCCACAUUGUAUCGAACGUUGUUCAUUUACAUCUCAUCCCCCUCAUUAGAUUACAUACAGAUUCUUAAGGACAGAGAUCAUGUUUGUAUGACUAGCCCCUAAAAUAGAGCUACACACACACACACACACACACACAUAUCAGUAAAUAAUAGAGUAAAUGAAUGACAUUUUCCACCUAUUCUUUUUUUUUUUUUUUUUUUUGAGAGAAAGUCUCCCUUUGUCACCCAGACUGGACUAUAUUGGCGCGAUCAUGGCUGACUGCAAACUCUGCUUCCCGGGUUCAAGCAAUUCUCAUGCCUCAGUCUCCUGAGUGGCUGAAAACUACAGGCAUGCACCAUCAUGCCCGGCUAAUUUUUGUAUUUUUUAGUAGAGACGGUGUUUCACCGUGUUGGCCAGGCUGGUCUCGAACUCCUGUCCUCAAGUGAUUCGCCCUCCUUGGCCACCCAAGGUGCUGGGAUUACAGGCCUGAGCCACCAUACCUGGCUGCUUUUUCCACCUAAUUUUUAUUAAAAAAGAAUAAAAAAAUCAGGAAAUGAGUAUUUUGAGAAACUAUUAAGUUAUAAUUUAUCCUAAUUUAUGAUUAUUCCAAUUGCAUUUUAUCCUGGUUCUUUUAACCACUUUUCUUCAUUCCUAUCACACCCUAAUGUACAUACCAAAGACACAAGAAGAUCAAAUUCUGUAAUCAGUUUAAGUCCUAGUUGGGGACUUAGAUGAAAAAUUUUCAGUGGAGAGAUUGCUAAAACUGACUAAAAUGACUUCUAAAGACUUAUAAAAAUAUCCAUGAAAUCUCUGGUUUUUUUUAUUACUGUCAAAAAUCUAGAAUUGGCUUCUUAUUCAUGUGUAUUUUGCAAUUAAAGAAACUUAUAACUGGAGCUUUAAGUCCUUAGUGGAAAAUGGAAGAGAGUUUCAGAACAUAGUUAUGACCACUAGACUCAGGAAUAGGACUAUUUCCUGAAAUAAACAACAAAAGUAAAAAAAUUCCCUAUUCCAGUAAAGUUGUUUCAUGUACAUCUAAGUACUUAAACAUUGUAAUUGGCAGGUUAUGGUUAGUUUUGUGAAUUUUGUGAAAAAUCUGAUUGGUGUUAACACUGUUAUGAUUAGUAACUUUUCGAACUUAGAGUUUUAAGUAAAACAACAUUUACUUUUUAGGAUCCAUAAUACACCUAGGAUUACCUUAUACAUGAAUCACUGCACAGUCACACUGCUGUACUUAAACUGUUGUGGGUCAGUUGUUUCCAAAAUUUGACUACUAAACUGUUUUCCCAAUAUGCGUGCUAAAAAAAAAAAAAAAUCCCAAGGUGUGUUAUGUACCAAGCAAGUGAUUUUUCUAGAACUUAAAGUUGUAAAAAUCCCUGUAAUAUCAUAAAAACUAUCAGCAAUAUGUACAUAUCUGCUGAACUUUCACAAAUUUUCAUUAAUUUAUUCAGUAAAUUCUCAAACACUAGAUAUUUUACCUGUAAUAGUGGAAAACUGGAAAAUGAUAGCAUGUGGAAGGAUAUAGUUAAAAGAGCUCGAGUCAUACUACUGUAAAUAAUAUUGAUACGGCCGGGUAUGGUGGCUCAUGCCUGUAGUCCGAGCUCUUUGGGAGGCUAAGGUGGGCGGAUCACCUGAGGUCAGGGGUUUUAGAUGAGCCUGGCCAACAUGGCAAAACCCCAUCUCUACUAAAAAUACAAAAUUAACCAGGCGUGGCGGUGGGUGCCUAUAAUCCCAGCUACUCAGGAUGCUGAGGCAGGAAAAUUGCUUGAACCUGGGAGGCAGAGAUUGUAGUGAGCUGAGAUUGCGCCACUGCACUCCAGCCUGGGCGAUAGAGCAAGACUCUGCCUCAAAAAUAAAUAAAUAAAAAUAAAUAAAUAAAUAAAGGUACACAGAUGACAAAAUUAUAUUGAAUUGAUAAAUGCAGUGAAUACCAGUAAGUUCAGUGCAUUAGUUCAGAGACAUAAUUACUGGCCUAUCAUGGGAAAAUAUGUUGGUAUGUUAGAAUUCUAAGUCAGAAUGAGCUAAACUCUAUAUGAUUAGCCUUUUAGUAGAGAGGUCAUUUCAGAUAUAACCAGUCAAGAAUAAUGACUCCCACGGGUUGGUAACAGCUAUGCCCCAUCCAAGUGUAUGGAACAAACCUAGUGAUACCUAGAAAGGAGUGUUAGAAAAUCUGUUUUAGUCCUAGGUCCAAGUUGACCUUUGGACAAAUUACUUGAAGACAAAAGAAUGUGGAAAUCUGCAAAAGCUCUGCAAUCUUAAAGUGUUUUCAUAACUUUUAUGUGGUGGCCCAAACUGACCAAAAUUAAGACUUUUUAUAGCCUUGUCUUUCCUACUUGGAUGUUUCGCUAAAGCAAUGUUCAUGUUCCGGGCGCGGUGACUCAUGCCUGUAAUCCCAGCACUUUGGGAGGCCGAGGCAGGUGGAUCACAAGGUCAGGGGUUUGAGACCAGCCUGGCCAACAUGGUGAAACCCUGCCUCUAUUAAAAAUACAAAAAUUAGCCGGGUGUGGUGGCGUACACCUGUAGUUCCAGCUACUUGGGAGGCUGAGGCAGGAGAAUCACUUGAACUCAGGAGGCGGAGGUUGCAGUGAGCCUAGACUGCACCAUUGCACUCCAGCCUGGGGGACAGAGCAAGAUUCCAUCUCAAAAAAAAAAAAAUGUUCAUGUAUCUGUUUAAGGGGUAUAUACUCCCCACACUUUGCUGGGGGUGUUACAUAAUAUAUAAUGUGCAUUCUGUAUUUUCAUAUAUGUGAAUAUUUUGGAAACUGAAAAAAUAUCUGGCUUUGUGGGUUUCAUCUAACACAUAUGGACCAAAAUAUCAGUUAUCUCAUGUAAAUUAGAAUAAUAAUACCAUACAAUCUUGCUAAGAGAAAAGUUUUUUGUUUUUAAUUUUUUAAGGUAGAGUCUCUCUGUUCCACAGGCUGGAGUGCAAUCAUAGCUCACUGAAGCCUCAACCUCCUGGGCUCAAGCUAUCCUCCCACAUCAGCCUCUGGAGUAGCAGGGGCUACAGGGGCAUGCCAUCACACAUGGCUAUUUUUAGUUUUUAUUUUUUUGUAGAGAUGGGGGUUUCUCUAUGUUGUCCAAGCUGGUCUUGAACUCCUGGCCUCAGGUGAUCCUCCUGUCUCAGCCUCCCAAAUUGCUGGGAUUUACAGGCAUGAGCCACUGCACCUGGCCCAGAAAAGUUUUUGAUAUCAGAUUAUAGAUUGUUAAUUUUAGAUUUAAAGCUGAUAUUAGGCAUCUUAAAAAUUGGUGUUCUGGCAUUAUGGUAGAUGUGAUACCCUAAGCAACAUCUGCUGAAGUAAACUAAAAAUAUGGAGAUACAUUUUACUCACACACACACACAAAUAUCACAUAUACAUAAUACAUACUCACAAACAUGCAUACACAUAUCCAAUCUGUAAAGUUUUUUCCCCAAAAUAUACAUUUUGAAUGCAUCCAUGAGCGGACUGAAAGUUAAGGGUACUCAGAAAGCAGUAAAUGGACCAUUAAAGCUGGCUGUUGUAGAAUGUGAUGAACCAGGCUUCAGAUUCUAUCUUGUAGGGUACGCAGGAUAAAAAGUAGACUAAUAGGUUUAAAAAAAAAAAAAAAAAAAAAAAAAAACCAACCCUAGCAGAAAGCUGGGGUCCCAAAGGCUAUAUCUUUAGAGUAAAGGCAAACUAGAAAUAAACCUACCUUCCCAGGGAACUGCAGUGAAAAUUUCUUGUCUCAAGUGCUGUCACUGACUAGAAGAAGAAAAAUGCUGUCCUGAGAAUUAUAACUGCAGCUGGCUUUCAUGCAGGUUUGCAGUCUUAGUUCAUAUUAUCAAGGGUGACCGAAGGACCCCAAGCUGAGAAUUUCCUCAACAGAGAUCUGGUUUUGUAAUGCUCCACAGCAUAUGGCAGAAGUGAAGACAGAUUCAUUCUGGAAGCACAUACUAUAUAGGCCUCAAGUAAUUUCUGCAGAUAAACUUAAAAGAAAUGGACACUUACAGUAAAGAAAAAGAAAAAAGAAUAGAAAAUCACAACACACAGGAAACAUGGCCCCAUGAGCCAAAGUCAACAUAUGCAGUUGAGUCAGACAAAAAUCUUUAAAUCUGUGUUGUCGUAAGUGUUAUCCAACAUGGUAGUUACUACAUGCAUGUGACUGUUGAGCACUUAAUUAGUGUAACUGAGAAACUGAAUAUUUACUUUUAUUUAAUAUUAAGUUAAAUAGCUACAUAGCUGAUGACUAUUCCAUUGGGCAGUGCAGCUUUAGAAAAUAGAAUUAUUGGCUGGGCAUGGUGGCUCACACCUUUAUUCUCAGCACUUUAGGAGGCCAAGGUCGGAGGAUUGCUUGAGUCCAGGAUUUCGAGACCAGCCUGGGCAACAUAGUGGGACCCCAUGUCUACAAAAAAUAAAAAUAAAAAUAAAUUAGCUGGGCAUGGUGGUGCACGCUUGUAGUCCCAGCUACUCAAGAGGCUGAGGUAGAAGGAUCACUUGAGCCCAAGAGGUCGAGGCUGCAGUGAGGCUGCAGUGAACCACUGCACUCCAGCCUGGGUGACAAAGUGAGACUCUGUCUCAAAAACAAAAACAAAAAUGAAUGGGUGGUAACAGCAGAUUAGACCUGACUAAAUUAAUGAAACGAGGGAUCUGAAGAAAUUAUGCAGAAUUAUAGAGACCAAAAGGAAAAUUAUGAAAGGUAUGAAAAAAAUACGCCAUGAUCAACCCAGAAUAAGCUGAUGGAACUAUGAUAAUAACAGAUAAAGGAAGAUAUAAUUCUGAAUCAUUAUGCAUAUAAUAAUGUAACUUUAAGAUCUAUAAAGGAAAAAUGGACCAGAACCACAAAGACAAAUCUACUUUCUAGUAAGAGAUUUCAACUUAUCUCUAUCAGUAGUUAGUAAAUCAGCAGGAGCCCCCUACCACCUUAAAAAAGUAAAUAGGCUAUAAAAGAUUUGAACAACCAUUAAGAUUGAUCAAAUGGGUUAUAUGAGCUGCUAUAUCCAACAACUCUAGAAUAUAAAAUAUUGGGCCAUGAAUAGUGUGUUAAAAAACUUCAAAGGAUUAGUUGUGACACAGACCAUAUUCUCUGCUCAGAAAACCAUUAAUUUAGAAGGAAACAACUAGAAAAACCCUUAUUUAUCAAUAAGGAAAACUCUUCAAAGGUCAAAGAAAAGAUUUCAGGACUGAAUGGUAAUAAAAAGUUUACAUAUCAAAACCAGUGAUGUGCAGCCAACAGGUACUUAGAGGAAAGUUAUGGCAUUAAGUAGUUAUACCAGCAAAUAAAGACUAAAAGGUGCAGUAAAAAUGUGGUGGAUCAAAGAGAAUGAAUGAGGCAUGAAGAAUGAUUGUAGCACAGUGCAGGCAGGGACUAGUGGCCUUUGCUGCUAGCAGUCCUUUGGCCCCUGUAUUUUUGGAGAGUGCUCAUUGACAUUGUUAGGUGUGAGUUUUUUAAGAUCUUGGCCAGAAAAUGUUAUCCAAGUUAUUGGCAAUAACUGGUCUAGCAAGUAAGAACAUGAAAGUGACAACUCUGUAAUGCCCGAAAUACUGAGGUGUAAUUGGCUUGUGCAUUGGUAUCUGUAUUUUUCCUCAAGAGUUAAAAAAUUCAGCUCCUUUUGUUGAGUAUAUCAGUAGCAGCAGCAUUGGUUUAGUAGGUAGAUUCUCAGAGUGUAGUGUCUGUACCUCUGGGGUCCCUGAGACAUUUUUAGGGGGUCCAUGAGAUCAAAACUCUUUUCACAAUAAUACUGUUAUUUUUUGCCAUUUUCACUGUGUAGACAUUUGCACUUGUAUGAAAACAAUGCUGGGAAAACUGCUCAUCACUUAGCACAAAUCAUGGCCUGGCACCAACUGUAGUAGAAGUUCUUUAGUUACUAUAUUCAUCACCAUGGACUCUCAGUUAAAAAAUGCUAGUGUCACUUAAUAAAGCAGUAGAAGUUAUUAAUUUUGUUAAACCUAGGCCCUUAAGCACAUGUGUCUUUUUAAUAUUCUAGUGAUGAGAUGGGAAGUACAUAUAAAGCACUUUUACAAUGUGGCAAAGUGCCAUGGUUGUCUCGAAAACACCAGUAUGAUUGAGUUUUUACUUUGCAGAAUGAUUGACAGGUCAGCUGUGGCUCUUCAGACUUGGUUAUUUGGUAGACUUGGUUAUCAAAAGUAAGUGAAAUGAGCCUAUUGUUUUAAGGAAAACAGUUAUCAAGUACAAAAUUCAAGCUUUCAAAUACAAAUUAGAAUUUUGGAAAUCUUGUAUUCCGCAACAUAAGCUUGACAGCUUUCCUAUCCUUUAAUGUCUCUUCUGAUGAGUUCAGUGGUGAUAUUGACAAAUGUGAUUGUGGUAUUAUAUAAUGAAACAGGUAAACAUUGGGAAAAUCUACAUGACUCAGUAACCCAACAUUUUUCAGAUGAUCAGUGUUUGUUGCAAAAUCACAUGUGGAUGAGAGAUUCAAAGUGUAGGACUUUGAUAGAUUAAUGGAUUUCAAUGUAACAGAGUAGGAAAAGUUCACUGAUGGUUUCAGAUUCCACAUUGCAGCUGACCUUUAAAAAAUUACUGCUUUGUCCAUUGUAUCAAAGAAGAAUAUUCAUAAUUAUCUUAAAAAGCUAUUAAAAUAAUUCUUUCCUUUCCAGUUAUAUAUCUGUGUGAGGCUAGAAUUUCUACAUAUACUUCACAGCAAAUUUUAUGCAGAAGCAGACAUGAAAAUUUAGUUGUCUUCUAUUAAGCCAGAUGUUAAAGAGGUUUUCAAAAACAUAAAAUGGUGGCUGGACACAGUAGCUCAUGCACAUAAUCCUAGUACUUUGGGAGGCUGAGGCAGGAGGACUGCUUGAGUCCAGGAGUUUGAGACCAGCCUGGGCAACAAAGCGAGACCCCAUCUCUACAAAAUAUAAAGAAUUAUCUGGGGGUGGUGGCACAUACCUGUAGUCCCAGCUUCUUGGGAGGUUGAGGCAGGAGGGUUCCUUGAGCCCAGGAGUUCAAGGCUACAUUGAGCCGUGAUCACACCACUGCACUCCAGCCUGGGUGUCAGAGUGAGACCCUUCUUUUAAAUAUAUACAUACAUACACACACACACACACACACACACACACACACACACACAUAUAUAAAAUAUACACAUAUAAUGGUACAACUUCCUAUAAAAAUAUUUAUGUUCACAUGUAACAAUUUAAACAGAUUGUUUUUUAAGCAAAUUAAUAAAUAUUUUUUAAUUUUCUCAGUUUCAGUUUCCAAUAUGAUAAAUAUUGAUAGAUAUAAUCCAUAUAAACAAAAGCUCCCUGGGUGUCCUCAGUAAUUUUCAAGAUUAUAAAUGGAUGCUGAAACCAAAAGUUGGAGAACCACCAGUUUACUAAGUCAAACUUUUAGGCCGCCUUAUAGGAAAGACUUGAGGCUACCAAAUGCACAGGUACAUAUGUGUUUCUUUUUGUAAUGAAGGCUAUCGUGAUGGGGCAGAUCAUUCAACAUACUCCCAAACAGGCCACAUCCUGAAACUGGCAAAGACCUUCACACCUUUUAUUGAGGGUUUUUUAUUUUAAUCUUUUGCCUUACAGUGGGACUUCCUGAAAAGUGUGGUGAUUCUCAGUAUUUCAUUUUGUACAUUACCAUAAUACUCUUACAUGACAUUUUGAGCAUCAUAAAUCUGAACUCUAUUAUUAGGUUCAAUAUGUAAUAUGGACUCAGAAAUUUCUUGAAUGAAAAUUUAUGAUGAGAAUUAGUCAUAUCCCUAGGGUUUAGUCAGUGAAAACAAAACCUCAGUGUGUGCAUUUAAAGGUGAUCAGGAAUAGAAAUUAUCUAUUCUAAAUGAAAGGAAAAAAGAUAGAAAAUUUCCCCAUUUUAACAGAAAACAAAGACAAAUGAUUUAGAACCCAAGGACUGACUUUUCUCCUCAAUAUGUGAUUUUCCAUCACCUGAUGUUGAACUUUUAUCUCGUAUGUGGGAGUUAGCUUUCAGUUCUACACUUAUAAUCUGUAUAGCUGACCUGCUUGAAAGGCAAAGAAAUUGAAAAAAAAUGUUUUUUAAAAAAUCUUAUUUUCAUGUGUUUUUCUUUGGUGUAAGUUGCUUGACUGUAUUUCAUCACAAAUCAUGUACUGUGCGGUAUAGUUCCCUCACAAGGAUGCAUGAUGUUGAAUAUACACAAAAAAAUCUUUGUUUGAAAAAAAAAUAGUUAGAAAGUUGGUGCUUUAACCAAAAAGAAGCUCAAGAAUAGAUUAGACCGUAACAACAAAUUAUGUAAAACAAAACCCAGAAAACAGGUCUGGUGGACGUUGUGUGUUAUACUGUCUCAUUAAAGAAAAUGAGUCAAGAUUGAUCUAAUUAACCACACAGGUUCAGUACAUUUUACCUACUCGAGCAGGCUGCAGUGGCCAUCUCCUGCCACAGCUGUUUGUUUAAAUUGUUCACAUGAGUCAUACUGAGAAAGAGCCUUUAAAAAAAAUAGGUAAACAAACUAUUUGAAAUCUCUGUCUUCUACCUGACAAUCAUCUAAGAGAAGCAUUGUAAUUAUGUACUUGGGAGAGUCCCUGGCCUAAGGCCUUUCUAAACCUGAGGUGGCCUUACAUAGAUAUUUAGAAGUAAUGUCUUUUCACAUGUCAUUCAUUGGGUGUAUAGUGUUUUAUGCAGUCUUUUACCUUCAUGUUAGUUUAACUAUAGCAUGACAAUUCACAGUUCGCAUUAAGCCUAAGUUUCGCACUCAAAAUCAUUUUUGUAUAAAAUGUAUGGAACUUGACUGUUGACAAAUCGAUCUGUUGAGUAUUUUUAUGUCACUGUUUAGCAAAUGCAGAAAUGUAGAUUUGUGAAAAGAUGACUAGAGAUGAAAGCAUGAAUUCUUUGCCACCUUCCAAGUUAGCAGUAAGUAUUAAUAAGCUCAUCUUUUAGAAAACAAUGCAAUGGAAAUAAAAAUAAUUAUUUGUUCUUGUGGUAUGCUUAAAAGGAUCAUGGACUUUGGUGAAAGAUCUGGAUUUGACUCCUACCUCUACUACUUGUUAGCUGUGGGAUCUUAUGCAACUCAUUUAGUCUAAGCCUCGUCACUCCCCACUCCCUACUCCCUAAAAUGGAAAUAAUGAUAGCAAUCUCACAGAGUAGUCAUUGGGACUGAACAUUUAUUUAGCAUAGUACUUGGCUCAUAAUGACUGCCCCAAAUGCUAGUAAUAGUAAUUGUGGCUGUUAUCACUGCUAAUAUUAAGUUAUAUUUCACAAGUGCUAAUUAAGUCCUGUUAUCUUCCUGAGCCUUGGUUUUCUUAUCUCUAAAAUGGGGACUUGGGAGGUGAUCUCUAAGAUUCUUCCAGUCAGACCUUUCCAGUCACCCUGCAGAGGCUGGCGAGCUGCCCAUUGCUGGGACCCUUCACGCCCACCCUGAUCCCCUCCCUGCUCUUCCUCCCCCUCCCCGCAAAGCUUCUCUCUGGCCAGUUCUGCUCAGCAGGAGGUCGUUUGAUCAAAGCCCUGGGAAAGGUCAGACAUUCCUGGAGUGGUGACACUCAGCCGGCUGCAAGAGCUGCCCUUACAGAACCUUGUACUGCAGAAGCUGUAGCUCAAAUGGAGAGGCUUUUCUAGGAGCCAUUUUCUGAGCACUGUGGCGUAGCCCAGCUGGGAAGAAAGUUACUGAAGAACACCUGUUUGGGGGUGGCUGUCAAAAGCUUUGUUAUGCUUUCAUUUUCUUUUGGGAUGUGCAAAUGGUGGGAAUAGAAAGGUGGAGGUUGAAUCUUGUCAUAAAGAUGCUAACAAGUGGUAAAUUACACUAUAGUUAAACCGUGCAACCAUUAAAAAUUCUGUUAAAAUAUUUAAUCACGGUAAAAUAUUUACAACAUGUCGAGUAAAUUAGAUUAUAAAAUAAUAUCAGGGUUUUUUUUAAAAAAUGUUUAUAUGUGAAGGUAUAAUGGAGAAAAAUUAGGAAGAAAUUUAUCUCUAAGUUUUUUUCUGGGUGGCAGUAUUAGGUAAUUUUUGUUUAGAUUUUCUAAAUGUUUUACAUGGGUUGAUUCUAAUGAGGAGAAACAAAAGAAAUAAAAUCAAAGAAAGAACCUUAAUUGCUUAUCAGAUGAAAAGGCUAACCUCUUCACAGAAAAGAGGAUGUGUGAAUGUGAAUUGUGUACAGUGAUGUCUCACAGUGAGGGCACUCUGUGUCACACGUUGCCACCUUUGGCAUCUUGUGGGCUUGAAGCUAUAGAAUGUGACCAGUCUCUUUACUUGUGGGCACUUACACAGUGCUUAUGAUGUGCCCAGCACUGUUCUUGGCACUCUAAUACUAACUUAUUGAAUCCUCUCCACAACUUGCUGAAGCAGAUCCUAUUAUCCUUACCUUACAGGAAACUGAGAGACAGGGAUGUGAAAACACACAGGGCACACAGCCAGUGAGAAGCAAAGCCAAGAUUCACACCCAGGUUCACCAGGCCCCAGAAUCCAGGCUCCCACCACAUACUGUUCCACUUUGCCCUGAAGUAAGACUCUUGACAGCCCUCAGGGCAAACAGCUCUCAAGUUGGAUUUUAUGUGUGUGGCCAUCAUGAGGGUUAAUUGGGGUGUACUGUACUCUAGUGUGGUUCAGAAGUGGACUCGGAGGGCUCUUUGGUCCCUUCUUUUUGUUUGAGACAGUCUUGCUCUGUUGCCUAGGUUGGGGUACAGUGGUGCAAUCACAGCUUGCUGCAGCCUCUACCUCCUGGGCGCAAGCAGUCCUCCCACCCCAGCCUGUCAAGUAGCUGGGACCACAGGCAUGUGCCACCACGCCCAGCUAACUUUUCUAUUUUUUUGUAGAGAUGGAGUUUCACCGUGUUGCCCAGGCUGGUCUUGAACUCCUGGGUUCAAGCAGUCCUCUCACCUCGGCCUCCCAAAGUGCUGGGAUUACAGGUGUGAGCCACUGUGCCUGGCCUGCACCCUUUUUUCUUGCUUACUGUUUCUCUUUCCUGUCAGCUGAGUCCAGCUCAUGUCCCCCUGCCCUUUUCACUGUUUGAGUUCCAAGCCAACUCCCACACAGCUACCUUGAUCAGAUUUGACUCUCUUAUUUUACCUCAGAGUCAAAAUCUUGCCUGGGCGGGAGCACAGCAGUGAGCCUAUAGCUUAACUUGGAAUUGAAACCACCAUUUAUUUUCCUUCUGUCAUUGUCAGGGACCUCAAUUGUCUCUACAAAAAUAGCUUUCCAUAACUGCUCCUCAGUAGAGGGAAGAAAGCAGUAAAGAGGAAGGGGCACUGCAGCCUUCAGACCGCAGGCCUGCCUUACAGCCGUGUGUGUGUGUGUGUGUGUGUGUGUGUGUGUGUGUGUGUAUGUGUUACAUUAUAGGCAGACCUUUUAACCUCUCUGGGCCUCAGUUUCCUUAUUGGUAAAAUGCAAGGAUUGAAGUAAAUGAAUUUCAAGGUCUCACUGCUCUGAUGUUUUGAAAAGCUUCAGUGUAUCUUUCAACAUUUUCCAUUACAGAUUCUUUUUUCUCAUGCUGUAAAUGCCAGAAGCAGAGAGAGGUUAGUCUUAUCUAUUUCUACAGCAGCAGCUACACAACUAUCUUAUUCUUUCUCUCUUUAACCUCUUCCAGUCUGAUUAGGACUCAGCUUCAUCCUACUGUUUUGAUAGCAAUUAUCUAUUCUGUGGCAUCAGCUACUAUUUAUUUUUGAGAUAGAGCUCAGAGUUACCAAUUCUUGGGUUAUUAGCACACUUGUAUUUAGCAAGACCAAUAAUGUGAACCAUCUUAAAAUUAACACUUAAAAAGAAAUUUUCUCAAGGUUACAUAGCAGAAGAAUGACAUGGACUCACCAUAGCCACUGAGAGAGCGGGUAGCUUCCCAGUAUUAAACCGAAUUAUAUCUGAGUAACUUCUCUUGAUCAAGUCUCACCACUGUUUCUACUUACUACUACUGUUCUUGCCCUCAUAUUCAUUCAGUUGUGUCUAUUGAUCUCUGAUCUAUUUGGAUAGCUCAUUUCCAAUAUAUAAAUUUGGAUACUUGCAUUGUCAGUAGAUACUUUUUGUCCCUAACAGAUAGUAUAGGUGUGCGCAUGGAAUUAUAUGUGGACAUAGAUCUUUAUUUGAAGCCUUACAACCUAAAAUGGAUUAUAAAUUGCUUCUUUAAAUUUAGCCUCCUGGAUUUAGGUUGUCCACAGCAGGCCAGUGGGAGCACAAUUCGGAUGCUCGUCUCCUCCUGUCCCAUCCCAUCCCAUUCCGUUCCUUUUAGGCAGCAGCUCCCUGCCCUCCUCGAGCCCCAUAAGUGCUGCUCGGGAUAAUUCCAUCCUGGGCAAAUGCAGGGCAGUGGUCUCUGGAGUUUCUGUUCACAGAGGAAGCCGGCUGUUCCAUUUAUAACAAGGAAGGGUAGUUCUCUCAGACAUUGCACAUACACUUCAACGUGAUGUAACCUGAUAGCCCCUGACGGAAGUCCUAAGGCUCUCUCUUUAAACCCUUUUCCAGAAGGCAAGGUGUUUUCCUUGCUCUUUGGCUGCUGCUCACAGUAUUUUCGUGUUAUCUCCUCAGACAUUAAGUCCCAUAUCUUUAGCUCGCAGAGUUUGUCUGCUCAUAUGCACCACACUUAAACGUCCACAUCUAGAAAACACUCUUGUUUUCACAUCACUUGGGGCUGUUUCCCCAAACUGCUUACCUUUUCACCAUGGCUUUGCUGUUUUCCUCAUUUUGACCUUUUCUUGUUAACAUAAGAUGCUUGUGUGUUGUUUCUGCAAUAACCACUUUCUGGAAGGGCCUAGUUGACAUUUCUUAUCCUGCUGUUUUGACUGUGAUGAUGAUGAUCAUUAUCAUCAUAUAUAUGAUUCUUUGCAUACAAAGUGCUUUUACAAACCCUUUAUCGUUUAGGCCAAGCUUGGUCCUCCUCCCUGGCUUCUUGUUACAGAUUCCUUUACUUGACUCUGAUAAUACUUUUUAAAUUAGUUUGCUUACCAAGUGGGUUAACAAUAAAGAAGAGAGAAAAUCUCUGAAGGACACUUUUCCUUUAUGUUUGUUUGCCUAAAUGCUAAAUAACUGGCCUAUUACAGUCACAGAGUAUGACUGUAACUACUGACUUAAAUAUGCUGAUUUUCUGCAAUGAAAAGAAUAGCUUUUGAUAAAUGUUAAUAAAUAGCUCAAAAUUUUUGAGUAAUCAUAACUUCUUGAAUUUUCUAUAACAUACUUGCCUUAAAAAAAACUCCAGAUUGCUUUAAACUUAUGUGUUUAUUUUUUAUUCUUUGUCUUCAUAUAGUGGUUUUUUAAAUGAGUUUAGGGUCUAGAACUAAAUCUUUUACAGCUGAAAGCAGAACAAAGCAACUUUCAAUUGGAUCCGUCUUUUCUUUUAUUCAAAAUGAUUAUUCUAAGCACUUGUGACAGUGGGUAGCUGAGUAGUAGAAAUAGCCACAUAGUGCUUCAUCCUCCUUGCCUCUCUUACUUUUCUCUCGACAUGCAUACCUGCAAUUUAUCCAUGGUCCCACCCUCCCAACACAUUACUGCUGUUUUGCAUUUGCCCAUCCUCCCAUUUGAAGGAGUGCCAGGGAGGUCCUGUUGAAUUCUUCGAAGAGCAGAUUUGUAGUUGUUGUAUGUUUUGGUAUUUUGACAGCACUAGAUGCAGACUUGGGUUUAGGGUGCUGUGAUCUGCGGCAAAAACAGGAUGUUUUAGGUGAGCCUGACUGUACAGGCAGUGGGCUUGUGGCAGGGUGGGUACUCCCUAACUUUGGUCCCCGUUUCCCUCCCACCCCCACAACAAUUUCUUUGUGUGUGGGUUUGUUUCAGGACUUGUCAAAAGACAGUCGUUCAGUAGGUGUUCCCUUCUCCCCUGUAACACAGCUGCGGAGAUCUGCACUUCCCCCACCCAAACUCAGCUGGCUCUCCUCCCUGACACAUGCCCCUGGCAGCAACUAGUGCUCUGGAGCUCUUCUACCUUUUUUCUGCCGUUCUCAAAAUGCUAUCUGGUUCCAUGUAGCUUUCUUUCUGAUUUCCAGAUUGAAAAAUCUGAAUAGAUUUACUGGCAAAAUGUAUUUCUUCCUCUUUAGUGAACUGUAUGGCACUAAACAAAGAGAAUGGUUUCCAUCAUUGUAUUAAUUAAAAAACACACCCUGUCUGUUUCACUAUAAGAACAUCUCACCUCGGAUAGCAUUCCACAGCUCAGAGAUGUGGCAGCAUCAGGCUUCCAUUCCUGGGCUUCUGCCAUUCUAAUGUUGUUUUUCCUCCAACAGGGUGGUUUCUGACAGUGCUUUGAUGACAUUGUCUAAUGGUGUACUUAAUGGGUAGCUGGGGGAUGUCUUAGAGACAGAUAAUAUUUUACUUUGUAGAGUUAGACUCUGGUUUGACUCUGCCUUUUCUGAGAAGGCUGUUUCUCUACAAGGGUAUAGGAUUAAAAUCAGGAGCAUAUACUAAUUAUGUGAAACUAUUUGUACUAAUCCCACUUGCAGGUAAUGACAUUUGUUUACUGUGCAGCUGAUGCUGAUUUAUCUUUACAUUUUAUCUAGUUAACAAACAUACUUAUAUAUCAUUACGAGCCAGAAAUCAUUCUAAGAACUUAACUAAUAGCAGCUCACUUAAUCCUUAACAACCCUAUGAAAUAGGUACUGUCAUCAUGAUCCUUAUUUUCCAAUGAGGAAAAAUCAAGGCACAGAAAGAAUAAGUAACAUGCCCAAGGUUGUACAAUAAGUGUCAGAGUUGAGAUUCAGCCCCUGGCAGUCUGGCUUCAGGCGUCAUCCUCUUACUGCCUCAUGGCUGUGUGCCCAUGGGUGGGUGGGACUGGCCAUCACACAGUCCUGAAUGGCAUUGCAAGGGACAUUUUUCUCAUUGCCUGGAGAAACCAGGAUCAGAACACUCUACCCCAGGCAUGGGGCAUGCAGCGAAAAACUGACUCUCAAGCCUAGGAGCUAUUUGUAUUGGCUUUGGUCCUUGGACCUCUGCUUACAGAAGCAGAGACCUCACAGCCUUCAUCUGACCACACGAAAACCAUCAUAAGCUCAUAGGACAGGGUUCCAGAGAUGGAAGCUUCUAAUGCCCCAGCAGCCACACAGUGUGUAUCAAUGCCUGACCUCCCAACAUCCUAGCACCAUUGAACUCCCAACAGGUCAUUACCACUGUUUUUUGCCUGUUUCCAACAGCCGAGCUCUUUGCAUACUCAGAUCACUAGCUGCUGAGCCUUGUAGGGGAAUUAGGGCAGGGUCGAUUUCACAGAUGAGAAGAUACAGUGUCAAUAGUCCACCAUAAGACUAGGACCUAAAUCCUGCUGCCACUUUUUUUGUAUGUCAGUACUUUUACUUUUUAACCUGAGACAGGUUCUCAGUCUGUCACCCAGGCUAGAGUACAGUGGCGCAAUCACAGCUCACUGGAGCUCCCAAGCUUAGGUGAUCGCCCACCUCAACCUUCUGAGUAGCUGGACUGGAAGGGUGCACCACCAUGCCCUGCUAAUUUUUUUGUAUUUUUUUGUAGAGACAGAGUUUCGCCAUGUUGCCCAGGCUGGUUUCGAACUCCUGAGCUCAAGCAAUUCACCUGCCUUGGCCUCCCAAAGUGCUAGGAUUACAGGCGUGAGCCACCACGCCUGGCCUGUAUGCCAGCACCUUUCUUGCCUCCCUCUACCUCAUUUUUUCUUUACUCUUCCUCCUCUGAUUAAAUAAGGUAAAUGGUAAUAAAUGACAGUUAGGGCUGGAAAUAUAUAUGGUGGCUACAAAAGAUAAAGAAUCACUUUUUGCAGGCAUCUCCUGUUUUCCCCUCCUUUCCUCCCUUCAGGCAGGAGUUGUGUGGCCUGCAAGAUGGCCUGGUUGCUGGAAGGUGACUUAGUCAAUGAUGCAGUUCAUUGGCUGGGUCCCCAGGUACACUCAGCAGGUGGUGCUUUCAAAGAUUAGCUACAGGCCAAUGUGCUGAGAAUCAGGAUAAUAAUGCAUCUCUUGUGCAGUCAUCACAGCUUUAGAUACAUUCAGGAAAAAAGCCAGUGGGAAUGGAAGGAAGGCAGAGACUGUCACAACCACCUGGGCACAUCUUGCAUUUCUUCAUUUGUCCUUACAGGGGCUCUGUUUGCAUCAUUAACAUGAAUAAUUCUUUCUUCCUUUUCAUUAUGUGUUCUUUCAUUUGGUGUAUCCUAUGGAAAUAUUGGGGGUAGUUAUUGAUUAGCACUAUAUUUUGCCUUGGAAGAACUUAGAGAAAAUUACUGAUCCAAUUUUACCCAAUUGUUAGGUCAUCUUUCUAUAUACUAGUUUACCUAUCUUUCAUCCAAUUUAGUAAGUGUUCAUCUUCAUUGAAAUGCCAUAAAAUGAGUUGUAACCUAGAGUCUGGACAGAUUUCAGAGAUAUUAUGGUUCUAGGACCUACUCAAAGUUUGAAAUAAUAGGAAAGAUUGCAGUGUGCUUACUAAGCAGCCAUGAAGGGCUGUGAAUUCUGCAUAUUUUCUGUAAUUCUUACUACAAAACUGUAAGGUGGAUAUUAUCUUCAUUUUACAGCUGAGGAAGCAGCGGUUAAGUCACUCAACGAGGAUGAUGGAAGGGAGCAGGGUCGAGGUUUGAGGCCAGGUCUGUCAGUCUUGUCGCAUACCUAGGAGACCCGCAUGAUGUGCCCAUUGCAGGGGGUGGGGCACAGAUCAGCUGUGGUGAUUUCCUGAGAGAAGCAGUGAUACCAUUCUUAGGAGAGUAAAGAAAGAAAGAACAUUGAUAUGUCUGUCUCUUUAGUGGGGAAAAAAGCUCCAUUGUGUUUUUUUGCUUUAAAAUAUCCAUAAAAAUUCAAUCUCAAAGACAAUUGCAAUCAUCCUAUUAGCAACCUUCUAGGCAACAGACAAGCAGUAGUUUCACUAGGGGCGUAGUAAGGCUAUUAAGUUGUAGAGAUAGUAAAUGCCUGCAAUGUAUCAUGUUUGAGAAAAAUUCUGACUUCAGAGAAACAAGAAUAGUGAAACUUGUUAAUUUUAGAAAGUGAAAACAUGCUCUAUAAGGAAAUGGUUUAUAAUACUUAGUGACCCCUGCUGCUGUACUCAAAAUAGGAAAGGCAGAAACAUUUAACAGUUAAGUAUUGUUUGGAGAAUGUUAAUUUUCUACUUGGAAAACUGUUUGCCAACAAUGCCACCUGCCAUUCUUCUGCAUCUCCCCUCCUACUGGAGGCUUCGUGCUCUUGCUGAAGAGAACAGUUCUAAUACAAAUCCUCAUUACUUUCCCUUUCACACCUUUCCCCCACUAGACUUUAAAAGUGAUAAUUGCUUGAAAUACUGGGAGAAACUAAUUUGUAUUGGUAAAGCUCCCGUGAACUUCAAACAAAUCUGUGUUCUCUAAUGGUGACUUCUUUUUAAUUAUGAGGCUGGGCAGGUGUGUAUUUUGUAGACCUGCUGUGCCUGCCCCCCUUCCCCAAGAGCCUCCCAUCUCAGCCUGGGACACUUGAUGAUGGAAAAUAACUUCUCUGGAUUAAAAAAACCAUCUCUAUGUAUACAGUAAGAGGCCAUAGUUUAGAACCUGAGGGAAUGUCUUAUUCAGUACCCUGAAUGUUUUGCCUUCUGUUUUCUAGAUUAAAACUUACAUUAGAUGGGAGUGGUAAUAUCUAGUGCCUAUUGGUCACCAUUCUAAGCACUUCACAUGUUUUGUUUUAACACUUACAUAGUACUUGCUAUGUGCCAGAUGCUGUUCUAAGUGGUUUGCAAAUAUUAAUGCAUGUCCUGCUCAUACAGUCCUUCAAGGGUCACUCUGUUCUUAAUACCAUUUUACAAAUGAGGAAAAACUAGGCACAUGGAGAUGGAGAGACUUACCAAAGAUCACCCAGUUGGUAAGUGACAGAAGUGAUAUUCAAACCCAGGCAGUCUGUCUCUGGAGUUCAUGCUUAAUCACCUUCCAUACUGGAAAACAACUUGUCCCUUUUUCAUUUUUAGAGGCCUUUCUAGGUGAUUACAGCCUCCAGCAAGUCAACAGCGUUUAGCUUCUGUCUGUUAAUAAUUGAAAUGAAUUGAGCGCCGAGGAAGUGCUCAGGCUAAAAACACUGAGACGUAAUAGUUGAUGGCCUUACAAGGAGUGGAUUUCUCUUCUUUCCUCCAAUUUAAUUAGUUCUGCACAGGGGCUAACUGAAAUAUGCCUAAAGAUUGCAUGCCCACAGCAGAUAAGUAGCUUCUAGCAGAUUUAACAAAUUACCCUUUGUCUGCCAAGCUCCUUUGUUAUCAAAACUACAUCCCUAGGUAGAAAUGUUAAGUUUUUGCACAUCAAAGUUUGCAUGCUAAGCUGGGGACACUGGAGAGACCUAUUGAAUUUGAUCCUUGGUCUGGUUCCAAUCCUGUAUUCCUGGUUGCAGAUACAAAAUGAAAUACACACAUAAGUCAACUCUAUUUGUACGAUCUUCAGUCCAGAUCUUUUUAAUGUAAUUAAGAGGGUAAGAGUAUGAAGGAGGAGAGAGAAACUUGCAGCUCAACAGGAAGAGCUCGUUUGCUUGUUUUCUGUUUAUUUUUUAUCCUAAUAUUUAACUGCUAAUCCUAACGCAGUGCAUGUGUAUCUUAUAAAUAAAGAAACUGAGAAGUUAGUGAUUUGUAUUGGUUUCUUGAGUGAUCCUGUUUACCACAUGGAAAAGUCUGGUGAGAUGAACAAGUGGGACUGCAGCACUUGCAUGUUUCUCCUGACAGUGUGGCUGCUCUUAUUUUGAUGGAAGUAUCCCCAGUUCCAAGACCACUGGACAUCUCCCACAUUUUAAUAUAAUUUAUUUUAUACAUACAGAAGGAGAACAGCAUCUUUAUGUCAUGCUUUAGGUUGGAUAGGAAAAAUCAAGUCCAGAAAAAUAUUAUUAGCGCUGCAUCUCUUAACCAGGUCAGGUUGCAAGGAGAAAGGGUAUACUACGAGUGAGUCAAAUCUAGAAGAAGCUGAAAGUAAGAAAGAGGUGCUAUGACAAACUGAUUGCAGAUAAGAUGAUGAUAAUCUAAGACCUUUUUUUAUUACCAGCACAAUGUUAGGCUUGUUACAAAACAGUCAUCUCUUGCAAAGCACCUGAAGGUUGAUGUGGAAAGUCUGAGCAACUGGAAAGGAAACCUCAAAGUCGAAGCACACUGUUAAAAGCUGUGUAUCAAGGUUGAGGUCCUUUGUAACUAUACACUUUCCAGAGUGAUUGAAUAGAUGGUUGGGUCUCAUCGAAACUUGCAUCUCUCUCUUGAAUUAAAGCGAAGACCAGCCUCACUUUGUAGCUUGCUUUGCUUUUCCCUGUCCCUGCCCAGGAGACCUGUCCCUUUCUAGCCCGCUUUAGCACUGUGGAUGUCUGACUCUGAAUUGAAUUGUGAGAGCUGUGCUUUCUGGGGAUCUCCUAGCUGUAAGCAUCUAGAAGAUCAGUAUAAGCAUCUUCAUGUGGUAAUUGUCCUUUUGAGUUAUGUGCCUGUAGUAGGUUUUCUGUCUGUUGUUCUUUCUCUUAUCAGUAACGGGGAAAAUGGCAGUGAGAAGCAGCAUGUUGGGGGGCGGGGGUGAAGAGUGAAAUUGGACUGUUAGACUCCAUGAUAGUCAAAGGACAUAACAUCCUAUUUUACUGUCCUUCAGAAGAGCUAAAAUGUUCUCAGAGAGUGACAAAAAGAUGAUAGUUACUUCCUUGACAGCAACAUAGGGAGAAACUUUAUGAAAAGCUAGAAAAUUUAUAUGCAUCUGACUUCAGUGACUAUCCAAAAUAAAUUUCAAAGUAUACAAUUUUUUUUUUUACAAGACAGCUCAAGUAGCACCACCAUUUCCCUUUAAAAAAAAUAAAAUAAGCCUUUUCCCUGAUUGUAAGGAUUAUGCACAAUAUUCUAGAUAAAAAUUUUGGAAAGCAUAAGAGACGAAAAUUACCUAUAGUCUCACAAGUUAAUAUUGUGGUUUACAUUUCAGUGCAUAUACUUCUGGUCUUUUUUUCUCUUUGUAGACUUUCUACGAAAUUUCAUAUUUUUCCCAGAAGUCAGGCUGCUAGAUCUGUGUGAUCUUUACCAAAAAAAGAAAAAAAAAAAAACACCUUUCUCUGUCUCUCUGCUUAUAAAUUCUAUCAAGUUUGCCUGCAAAGGUCAUUGACCUCAGCUCUUCUUCCGAGGCAUGGGUCCAUAUAUUCGUGCAGAAUAAAACCAAUAAAAGUCAUAAUGAGGGGCAGAGAGAGUGGAUUGUUUAAAGGCUCACUCCUUUCGAGCAAGAUCAAUGAGUCUUUUUAUCUUAAGAGGCAUGUGAGAUGUGGGGUUUUUUUGUAUUUUCCAAUCAUGCACAAGUGACCAGCCAGCUGUUGGACUCUGGGUGACAAUGCUUGUAUCUGACCUGCUGUCUGAUUUUUUCUCAUUCUUCUGUCACUACCCAUUUUUCAACCUGUGUCCGCCUCCAUGCAGAUGGGUUUCCUCUCUCUGUGCACUCACAGAAGUAGAAAAGGAAUGUAAAUAUGUGUAAACUCCCCUUCAUUGGUGAGUGUUUUUAGAUGACCAUGUAAUGUCACUUUUUCUUGCAUAUUUUUGACCAACUUGACUGGGUUUUGGAAAAAUAAUUUGUAUUUCUCCCACUGAUCUUUGCAACUCAUCCAGGAUAGGUAGUCUUCUGGAGCUAUGGGAUGGCUCGGAACCAGAAGUUGAGCUUUAGAGUCUAGUGCUGGCUCUACCACUUUGCAGCCCGAUGACCUCAUACAAGUCACUUUAUAACUUGUGUUGCAUGAAACGACAACAAAAGUACCCUAAUGUGUGUACAUCAGUGCACCAUAUUGUCGCUGGCUUGCUUCCACUGGACACUGAAAAUGAAGCCCAUCAUCUUUCCUCAUCCUGCCUGCCUGCCCCAUCCUAGUCCGUAAAGGCAGCCUCAAUCUUGAAAACCUGGAAGCCUCUUUCUCCUGGCCUUUCCCCUUCACCCGGCACACCCAGGCUGUUACUGUCUUCUUCCCUUCCUUAUUACCUCCUGCCUGGAGUUUCAUCUCCUAAUGGCUGGUUUUGUUCUUAACAUUACACAUUAUAGGUGUUUGCAUAUAUGUCUUACCUCCUUGAGUAGAUACUAAGUUUCUUGGGAAUAGUGAUGAGAUUUUACUUAUCUUUGUCUCCUUGUCAUGCUUCCUUGGGAUAGCACCUUAACAUGGUAGGCAUUUAUUUACUUAAGUACUUUUUGAGUUGGAUAGGUGAAAUUGACUGAUCAGACCGUUGAUCUCCCUGAGCCAUAUCUGGGCUCACCUCUGAGCAUUUGUGACUGGGUCUGGUAGUAGCUUUGUAUCCCAGGUGGGGCACUGGAUUCGGGGUGGCAACAUUUGGAGCCCGACUGCAGACCCAGCUGCCUGACUUGUCUGAAUAUCACUUUCGUCAUUGACUGACUGAGGGUGGUUAGAAUUUAUUGAACGCUUAGGCUCCUUCAGCUCUGGAAUUCUACAUUAAUAAACUGCUUUGCACUUGAUUACUUUGAAGUGGAAGUUUCCCCCCUUUCUUUAUAAGGUAAAUGAAUAUUUCAUCUCAAGCCCAGGAGUCACUUUGCACAUAUCCUGUGAUGGGAGGCUAAUGAAAGCUUUGAUAGAGACCUUAAAUUGGGAGAGAUGGGAUCAUAUCCAUUGCUCUAUCAUAAGAAUUUCACCAGGUCUAUAGAGAAACGAGAUAGAAGACUUAAAAUUUUCAUUCAUAGCUGUACAACUCAUGAUUUGAAACAUUAUUAAAAUUAAUUUUGAAAACACUUGGGAAAAUGGAGAUGUUUGAGGUAAAAACAAUUUUUGAAAUUCAAAGAGUGGCUUUUAACCUUUUCAUUAGAACCCUAGUAGUCUUCUUAAGGAGUGGAUAUUAAAAGCGGGUUCAGGCUGGGCGUGGAGGCUCACACCUGUAAUCCCAUCACUUUGAGAGGCUGAGGCGGGCAGAUCACCUGCUGUCAGGAGUUCGAGACCAGCCUGGCCAACAUAGUGAAACUCCGUCUCUACUAAAAAUACAAAAAUUAGCCGGGUGUGGUGGCACACGUCUGUAGUCCCAGCUACUCAGGAGGCUGAGGCAGGAGAAUUGCUGGAACCCGGGAGGCAGAGGUUGUGGUGAGCCAAGAUUGUGCCACUGCACUCCAGCCUGGGCAACAGAGCAAGACUCCAUCUCAAAAAAAAAAAAAAAAAGUGGAUUCUUCAUGCAAUUUUAAGUUUAAAAAAAGCAGUGUUUUUAAAUGUAGGAAAAACGUAAACCCAUAGUAUUAAGCUCUGAGGGUUAAAUAUGUAUCGUUUCCAGGUUAUUGAUGAAGACUAACUGGGCCUGAUGACAGAGACUUUUGCUCAUGCCUGUGAUUUUAGAGUCUGCACGUUCUCUUCAGCUCCCGUGUCACAUGCCUAUCUCUCACCUGGCAGCUGAGAACAAGCCUAGAAGACAGUGCGGACUCCCAGGAGGCUUGCACAUUCCCUAAUUGUCCUCUGGCAGUUUGGAGGAUACCUGAAAAGGCACACCUCCAACUCCUAGCUGUCAGUUCACCGGCAUGCCCCCAGAGAGUCAGAUUGAUGCCAUUUAUGGAACUCCAGAGAGAGCCCUGGAAGGGGAGGGGCAAGGAAAACUAAUAACAGCCCUUUUGCCAUCAUGGGGAGAUAGGCCCAGGAAUUGAGGGCGGGGAGUGGGAAAGAGCAUUCAUAGGUAUGUCCUUCAUACGAUAGUUUGGGUGUCACCUGUCUGCCUAAACAUAUACAAUAUGUCGUACUUUGCUGUGGGUUGGACACUGGUUAUAUAGCAUCCCAAUUUUAGCUUGCUGGAAUUCCCCUGUCAUCACUACAUGUGAAAUUACAAUGUUCAGAGAUAUAAUAUGUAUAUUAUUAUUAUAUAAUAAUUUAUAUAUAUAUUUUAUAUAUAUAAUUUAUAUAUAAUAUUUAUUGUAUUUUUAUAUAUAUAUAAAUUUCACUUGGUAAAAUUUCACUUGGAUUUGCCUUCUGUAUAAAGUAAAAUUAGCCUUCAAUCAGUGGUUUUUGGUAUAUUCACUAUGUUGUACAACUAUCACCACUGUCUAAUUCCAUCACUCCAAACAGAAACCCGGUAUCUGUUAGCAGUCAUUCUCAAUUACUGCCUCCACUUAGCCCCUGGCAACCCCUCAUCUACUUUGUUACUAUGACUUUGCCUGGUCCGGACAUUUCAUAUACAUAUACAUAUACAUAUCAUAUAAUAUGUGGCCUUUCUGUUUAUGGUUUAUUCACUUAACAGAAUGUUUUCAGAGUUCAUCCAUUGAAUGUCAGUACUUUCUUCUUUUUCAUAGAUGAAUAAUAUUACAUUGCAUUAUAUGUACCACAAUUUGUUUAUCCAUUCAUCAGUUGAUGGACAUUUUGAGUUGUUUUCAGUUUUUAACAUUGUUAACAUUUGUAUAUGUGUAUUCAUGUGAAUAUAUGAUUUCAAUUCUUUCAGAAGGAGUGGCAUCACUGGGUCGUAUGGUAGUUCUAUGUUUACCUUUUUGAGGAACUGCAAAACUGUUUUCUAUUUCUUUUGAAUAUCUUUAAACCUCAAAACAUCAACUACUUAGAAUUUUUUAAGAGGAAGAGGGAGUUAAAUUAACACUUUUCUUUAGAGAAAACAACUGAAUUAGUAGUAAGAGGAGAAGGAAAAAUUCAGGUUAUGUUAAGCAAAAGAAAACAUUAUUUACAUUGACUUACAGUGUCUCCACAUUUACACAUUGAAAUGAUUAAAUAGGGUGUGUGGAGAAAAUGAAUUCCCACAGAUCUUUUAAUAGAUAUAUCCAAAUUCCGGUGAAAUCAGUUGUAAUUAUGGUCAAGAAUUAGAUGUAACAAGGUAGAGAAGAUAUCUUGAGCAUUUCUAGUUAGCUGGAAGAAUUGAGAGCGUGAAGAAAUUUGUAGCGUAAACUGGAAAAUUAAGGGGAAGGUGAAAAACAUAGGCACAUAAAUUCAUUCCUUAAAAUGGAUGUUUCUUUGUUCUGUGGAUGGGAUUUUUCUGAAUAUGCAAGAAUAGCUUACAUUCUUUCUUGACAUCCCAUUUAUCAGCUUGUCCUGGGAAUCACAAGGCUUGUGAAUAAUAUACUGAUUGAUUGUACUGUUCAUUAGCACAUUCACAUGAUAUUACAUAAACAUUUCUAAAACAUAAACACAGAUGAUGACAGCAUUUUAGGAGGAAGGCGAAGGUUCCAUAGUGAUGCUUUGUUGUUUGGCUGCGUGUUUGCAGCUUGACAAUUCUCACUCUUGCCUCUGAGGCCUAGUGGCCCACUCUAGGUCAACUUUUGAGACCCACGUAGUGACGGGAGCUGCGUGCUCUUAGAGAACCAGAAAAUGGGCUGCAUCAUGGUUUGGUGAAAGAAAACAGGAUUGAGUUCUACUGCUUUUGGACUUUGCUGAGCUUUCUUGUCCUUCUCUGAAACAUGGGAUAUUUAUUAAUACCUUUCUUGCAGGGUGAUAAUGAGAUCCAAAUGAGAUAAGGGUCAUGGAAGCACUUUGUAAGCUAAUGUAAAUGUGAUGGUUUUCAUUAUUGUUUAAUUAUAGCUUUCUCCCUCAAGACAUCACCCUUUUGUUGGAGGAGCUCAUUCAUAGCUAUACCACACUGCCAAAGAUGUGUCCUCUUUGAAAUAAAGUACUUACUGGAGACUUAGAAUCCAGACCACUGGAAUAAGACAGGACUCUUAUUCCAUAUUUGCUGUAUGUAAGACCCUAGCUCUGUAAUCAUACAAGGCAUAGAACUUAGAACCACUGAACAUCAUGUCCCUGUAUCAGCUGGAGUCUUUGCACUGACUUUAUGUCUAUGCAACUGACUCUAGGUGCCUCCUAUCUCCUUCCCUUCUUCUGAGACUGAGGAAUGCCACUUUCCUCAUCACAGACUUGUCCAACUGAGUUUUUCUGUGAAGGUUAAUUUAGUGGUAGAGAUUCGAGGCAGGUCAAAGGCACAGGAGUACAGAGUGGUGCCUUUGCUGAAGAGAAAGGGCAUAGCCCUUUGUGGAAUUUUGGCAGGAUGACCACGUCUCAUCUGUAGGUUGUAAUGAUUAGCACAGCCUUACAGGUCCCUACGCUGGAAGAAAUCAGGUUAGUAAUAAUUUUAAUGAGAAUUGAAGUAAUGUAAUGACAGAAUGCUCCUGCUCUGUGUCUUAAAUCUGUUCUGUAAGCUUUAUUGAUGUUCUUCAAAUUACCAUUUAUGUUCUUUCAGAUUCCCAGUGCACGUUGCCAUUAAACCAGUGCCUACCAUCAGCAAUGUGGCAUUGAUCCAUUUUAAAACUGAUUCUUAAAAUGUUCAGUAAAUAAGUCCGUCCUUUCUUUUUUUUUUUUUUUUGAGACCGGGUUUCACUCUUGUUGCCCAGGCUGGAGUGCAAUGGUGUGCUAUCUUGGCUCACUUGCAAGCUCUGCCUCAUGGGUUCAAGUGAUUCUCCUGCCUCAGCCUUCCAAGUAGCUGGGACUACAGGCGCAUGCCACCAUGUCUGGCUAAUUUUGUCUUUUUAGCAGAGAUGGGGUUUCUCCAUGUUGGUCAGGCUGGUCUCAAACUCCUGACCUCAGGUGAUCCACCUACCUCGGCUUCCAUAUGCAGUUCUUUCUUUUGCUUUCCUGACUUUUUUCCAUAGCUGCUUUUAGCCAUAGUGUCAGAACUACAAAAUAUUAGAGUGUUGAAAUUCAAAGCUUUAGAAUUUCAUUUAUCAUUUGUGGAUAGCAGGAAUCCAGUGCUCACACUUUAUCAUUUCUUGAUAGCAGGAAUCCAAUACUCAUGGGUCGCAAACUCCAAGUUGUUGUACACAGGAACUUGCCUACCCACUCCUCUCACUUCUGUUUACCAUUCUUGCUACAUGCAAGAGUAGACUGUCUUGAGAACAUUCUUCAAUAAGCCCUUAAAUUAUUUUUACUUCUUUACCCCUCUUCCUGAGAUUCACAAUGGUUUUCAGAAAUCCCUAAGCUGAUUUUCAUAUUCUCUAGAAAGAAUUUGUUUCUUGAGUGAACCUGCUGCAAAGACAAAAGUGUCUCAUCUUUCUCUAUUUUAAUACUGUAUUUAGCCCAAUGUCAGCUUCUGUGCAUUUGGCCUGGACAACUGCGCUCUGAUACACUGCCUCAUGUCGAAAGCUGCAUUAAUUAUUCUUUAAUGCACUUGUGAAAGUCUCAAUUAUUUGCUUUUUUUGUGUCUUAUGGAUAACUUUCUAAAAUAAUCACAUCAAACGUUUUACAUUAUGCCUUACAUUAACACUUUCCUUGAGAAGUAAAAGGAAGAAAAUACCUGUGAAUCUUCUACAAAUCUCUUCUCAUUGCUGUGCAGUAAAGUUCCUCCUUGUAUCCAGUGACUCAAACCCAAUGCUGUCUAGACCCAAGGCAAGGAACCAGACAGAGUAAUUAGGGACAAAUGCCUACACAUCCCUCCAGUGUUAGCAGGAAGUGGGUCAUGAAGCAGGUCACCCCAGACCAUGUUAAAUGAUAAUCUUUGAAAUUUUUCAUCUGAAAUAGUUUCAGACAGAGAUCAAGAUUAUGAUCCUCUUGUUUGUCAAAGAAAUAAAUAAGAGUUUUUCACCUAGUAAUUUAGGAAGGGAUUCAGUGUUUGCCAGUGGGGUGCUGUUAUAUGUGAAACAAUUAGCUCAAGGGAGAGGGGACUUUUCACAUGUGCCAAUUUCCAUGGUAUAAAUAAUCCUACCAUGACCAAUUUCAGGCUACCAACAUGAUAACAGGCUCUCAAAAUUCCUGAAAAUUUAGCCAUCAGGUCUCUGAGCUAGAACAAGCCGGCUCCUGGACACUACUGUAAAUUCAGGGUAAUGUAGAUUGCUCUCGGGAAAGAUACAUAGGUUAGGCAUUCAGUAUCUGUCUUGAAUUCUUCAGCAUGUUCCCCUAAAAGAGAUGGAAAUGAAAAUAAACUUCAGGAGGAAAAUUUUCUAUUUUUAAUACAUGGAACAAAGUGGAGUUUAUCUUUGAUUUUAUAUUCACAGAAAUGCCCUUUUUCACUAGCAGAGAAUAGCUGUUGUCUUUGCUACUACAGUUUUCCAUGGGUUAUAGAAUAUUUCCUUUUUAUAAUUUAUUAAUAGAAUUGAAAGUCUUUUAAAAGGUCUUUAAAUUUUGCUUCCUCUUUUUUGAAAUAAAUGUUUUCAGGGAAAAUGUUCUCUUCUGGCUUGACUUAUUUGAGAGCUUUAAGAUGAAGCAAAGUUACAUAGAACCCAGUUUACGUAAUCUGCUUUCUUUCUCAUUUAAGUUUUCAGACUCAAUUCCAACUCAUUUCAGGUUUUGUUUUUAAGUCUAUAACAAAAGGUUAUUUUUUUCUUGACUCAUAUAAAUAUAUCCUGUGAAUAGUGUUGUCUGCAGCAUCAUUUUUCACUCAAGAUAAGCUCUGCUUUUUCUUCCUAGAUAAUGUGCUAUGAUGUGAAAUGGAAAAGAUGGUUACUUGUCAAGGAAUGAGUUCAUCAGUAACUUGUAAUGAAUCUGAAAAUGUGUGUUAGGUAUUUGUAAAAGUUAUCUGAGUUGACUGGCAAGUUGAAGAAGUUACAUAUAACUGCUUCAAGACACACAAUUUAAUCAUAAGGAUCAUUCUACCCUGCUUUUAGUAAUUUUUUUUACACCAUAAAAUGAAAGGUUAUAGUUCUGUACUAGUUGUCAUAUAAAUAUUUGGUUUUAAAUAUAUUGACUUUAGCAUUUGGAGAAAUACCUAAUGUAGAUGAUAUAGGUUGAUGGGUGCGGCAAACCACCAGGGCACGUGUAUACCUAUGUAACAAACCUGCAUGUUCUGCACACGUACCCCAUAAUUUCAAGUAUUAUUUAUAUAUAUAUAUAUAUAUAUAUAUAUAUAUAUAUAUAUAUAUAUAUACACACACACACACAUACACACACACACAUAUACACAUAUAUAUAUAUAUAUACAUACACAUAUAUAUAUACAUACAUGUGUAUAGACUUGACUCUCAGUAUGGGAUAUUGAAAUGUAAUGUUAAAUUACCAGCUCUGCCACUUACCUUCUCUGAUUUUCAGUUUUUUUACCCAUAAGAGUUCUUUUCCAUACAAGGAAGCUUUGUUUCAAAAACGCCAAUUUUUUUGUUUAAGUCAAAUUGGAGUACGAGACAGAAAGGGGGCAGUCCCACCUACAAAUUUUUAAACUGUAAGCAGAACUGCCUGAUAGAAAUGUAGUGCAGAUCACAAAUGCAAGUCAUAUAUGUAAUUUUAUGUUUUCUUAAGCUACAUCAAAAGGUAAAGACAGGUAAAAUUAAUUUUAGUAAUAAAUUUAUUGAACAUAAUAUGUCAAAAAUGUUAUUUGAGCAUGUAAUCAAUAUAAACAUACUGAGAUCAUUUACAUUAUUUUCACACACAGUAUUUGAAUUCUAGUAUGUAUUUUACACUUAUGGCAUGUCUCAACUUGGACUAGCCACCUUUCAAGGGCUCGACCUAAUGCCUAAUGGCUACCAUAUUGGACAGCACAACUCUACAACGCUAUAGAAUAGCUUUAAUGCUGAUCUUACAGUGUAAAUAUCAAAUUUACAUGUUCAUAGAAAAUGAUUUGAGUUUUCCAAUAACUUUACCUCUCAAUUAUUCAUACUUUUAGUCCCAAUCUGACUGAUAGUAGCUGAACCCAAGUAACUUGUUGUAUUUUCCCCAUUUGAUUUCUGAAAGGCACUUCAGAAGUUCUAUAGAAAAAUGAGGACCCCUGUAGACAUAAAUGUUAUCUUUUCACUUACUAAAACACCCAAUUUUAAGUAGAGAAUACUGUAUAUAUAUGGCACUUAUUAAAAUCAGAGAAGGCUCGGUGGGACAAAAUUGUACACAUAAGUAUUUCUGUUACUGUCCUGUAAAUCCUUCACACCUGAUCUUAAAGAAUCAGUUUUACUUAAACUAAAAUAAGGCAAAUGCUUUUCCUAGAAACUUAAGUGUGAAAGCCCCCCCUUUGAAUAUGAAAUAAUUAGAUUUAAGUCUGUUGGCUUCGCUUAUGGAAUUUUGCACCCUCCAUUUGCAGUCUGAACAUUUAAACAGACCAUCUGCACUUCGUAUCUGGGUAACUGUGGGACUUCUCUGACCUUGACCUUGGGCAGACUGUAGCUUGCCGAACCCCACCCCCACAACCCCGCCACAGGAGAUCUAGAGUCCAUUUCUCAGGCCCAACCAUUCAUUGUUUCCUGCUGGACAUUCUGAGUGCCAAGGAGAGCCCUUCCACCCUCUAAACUGCAUAAUAGAGAGGUGUGGCUGUGGUGGCAGUGGGAAGUCCCUCCCUCUGAAUAUGCCAUCCCUGGGCAGUGGAGGAGAGAGGCUUUUCAACCAACAUGUCCCCAGACCAGCACCAGAAAACCUUGUUGAGCCUAUUCAGGAUUGAUGGCUGAUGAGGUUCUGAGGAAAUCUUUCUGGAAUUUGUCCCCCCUGAACCAACCCGCCCCAAACAGUGCCCUCCCUCUCUGGUUCUGGAGUCCCUGGGGUUGCCUCAUGUCGCCUCCGGUCUGAGCUCUCUGGAUGGUAGACAGAGAAAGCUUUUGCUCCUGACUUCUCACUCACUUUAAUUGAUUUGUUUACCUUCCAUUAUUUUCCACUGACCUGCACAAAUACUACUUUCAUCAAGCUGACUACACUUCAGCUUAUUAAUCAUAAUAAGUUAUUAUGCAGUGAUUGGAUUGGUAAAAUACUUCUCUCAGAAUAAGGCAGCAGAUAUUAAAAAAUGUCUAGGUUUUAAUCAUUAUGGGUACAUAAUAGGUAUGUAUAUUUAUGGGGUACAUGUGAUGUUUUGAUAUAGGCAUACAAGGUGUAGUAAUCAUGUCCAGGUAAUUGGGGUAUCCAUCUCCUCAAGCAUCUAUCAUUUCAUUGUGUUAGGAACAUUCCAAUUCCACUCUUUUAGUUAUUUUAAAACUUACGAUAAAUUAUUGUUGACUAUAGUCACGCUGUUGUGCUAGCUAUCAAAACUAGAUCUUAUCCUAACUAUAUUUUUGCACUCAUUAACCAUCCCCACUCACCCAACCCCCAUUCCAAGCUGCUGGUAACCAUCAUUCUACUCUGUAUCUCCGUGAGUUCAACUGUUUUAAUUUUUAGCUCUCACAAAUGAGUGAGAAUGUGGUUAUUUGUUUCUCUGUGCCUGGCUUAUUUCACAUAACAUAAUGUCAUCCAGUUCCAUCCAUGUUGUUGCAAAUGCAAAGAUGUCACUCUGUUUUGUGGCUGAAUAAUAUUUCAUUGGGUAUAUACCACAUUUUCUCUAUCCAUUCAUCCAUUAAUGGACACUGAGGUUGAUUCCAAAUCUUAGCUAUUGUGAAUAGUGCUGCAGUAAAUAUGGGAAUGCAGAUAGCUCUUUAAUAUACUGAUUUCCUUUCUUUUGAGUAUACCGAGCAGUGGGAUUGUUAGAUAAUAAGGUGAUAAUAUUUUUAGAUUUUGAGGCAACUCCACACUGUUCUCCAUAGUCAUCAUAUUAAUUUACAUUUCCACCAGCAGUGUACAAAGUUUCCCUUUUCUUUAUACCCACGCCACCAUUCGUUAUUACCUGUCCUUUGGAUAAAAACCAUUUUAACUGGGGUGAGAUGAUGUCACGUGGUAGUUUUGAUUUGCAUUUCUCUGAUGAUUAAUGAUGUUGAGCACCUUUUCAUAUACCUGUUUGCCAUUUGUGUGUCUUCUUUUGAGAAAUGUCUAUUCACACCAUUUGCCCAUUUUACAAAGGGAUUAUUUCACUUUUUCCUAUAGAGUUGUUUGAGCUCCUUACAUAUUCUAGUUAUUAAUCCCUUGUCAGAUGGGUAGUUUGCAAAUAUUUUUCCCCAUGCUGUGGGUUGUCUCCUCACAUCGUUGACUAUUUCCUUUGCUCUCCAGAAGCUUUUUAACUUAACGUGAUCCCAUUUGUCCAUUUGCUUUGGUAAGGCAGCAGCUUUAAAUCUAGGGAUCAUGGGCCACUUCUUUCCCUGUCCUCCCCUGUGCAUACUGCAACUCCUCUGCCCCAACCCACUGAUGUGUGAUUGUAUUUGUGUAUAAAAACAUUUAAACACAGCUUUCAUCUUAUUUUUCAUGUCUGUGAUCCAGAAAAGAUGAACCAUUGGAUUCUCGCUCUGCCCCACGUCCUUCCACUGCAAAGUUUUCCAUACCCCAUAGAAUCCUUGCACCACUACAGCUAGUGGUCCAGGCAGGCAGCUGCUACUGCUGCUGCUCUUCCUCCUCCUCCUGUUUCUCCUUCUCCUCCUCUUCCUCUUGCCUCCUUAGAAUCUGGUGAGAAUCUGGUGGUCCUUUCUUUUACUUAUGCCCCAUCCCUCUAUUUGACCUCUGAAUCAACCACUGUAAUGCCUUACUUGUACUAUUUUACCACUAAAUAGUACAAGUAAGUAAGUUGCAAAUGUUUUAGUUUGUUUUUUUGGCUCAUUUAUCUGGAAUGACUCCAGUUCCUUCUCUUAAUUUUCAAAGUAUUUUCUUCAACAUGAAAAAUUAAUGGAGUACUUAGAUGAUUAGGGGUAUGGUGAGGGUGUUGUGAAAUCAAUCAAAUAAUAGGAUGUUGCAACUUUACAUAAUUAGAUGUCAUUUUUCCUUUACCCUGAUCUUUCCUCAGCCUCUAACCUUAACCCCAGUCCCUCUAUUUACAGGCUCCAGUUACUGAAAACAAUGGGUCUCCUUUUGGCUCCCAGAAUGAAUUAUUCCCAGAGCCUUGUUUCCUUCUCGAUAAAACAGAAAUCUUAACACCUAACUUAGGUAUGGCUUUAGGAUUAAAUGACGUAAUGUUUGGAAUUCACCACCUUACAGAGAACUUGGAGAAUAGUGGGUUUUCCAUGCGUUUUAAAAGGGAGCCCUUCCAGCAUUCUGUUGUAGUCUGAUUGCCUCUGGUAAUAUCAGUUUUCUCCAAGUGGUCCACUGUUCCUCUCUAGAUGCUUCAUUACAGUUGAGGCCACAGCAGGCCACAUUCACUUGGUUGGGGGGUAGUUUGGAAUAGAGAUGGAGAGAGGAGCUGAGCACCAAACAGUGUGGGGCAGGAAGAGCAGGGACUUUGGUAUCAAACAAAUGCCGGCACAGAUCCUCUCUCCACUAAUUAUUACUUAGCUCUGUGUUCAAAAAGACUCAGCCUUCUCAUCUAUAAAUAUGGGGGUAAUAAUACCCACUUACAUGGACGAGUGCCAGAGUAUAUAAAAGCGCUACUGUAAUGACUGGUACUUACUAACUGUGCAACCCAUGUUAAUUCCUUUCCCUGUGAUAUGUUCCUUCCCCUCUUAAGAAAACAUUUCAGUUGUCUGAUGAUGGUGCAGGUCUCUAGACCAUCCCUUUUCCUCCAGAGUUGGGCUCAUGGACCGUUUGAAUCUUAAGAUCCUGGGGCCUCGUUCUUAUCUGAAAAAUGCAGCUGCAUCACCACCAGUAGGGGGUCUUACAUUUGAAAGCCACAUCAGACCUGAAGCAGGUGUUUGGCUUUGGUGGAUCUUAGGAAAUAUUUCCAGUACCUUGUUUCUGAGGUCUAGAUGCAAGAAUCAAUGUAUCCUUUUGGAGUAAAUCUGCCUCUCUUUCUGGGAAGGCUUGAGAAGCUCAGAUUCUCAGAAAAGGAGGGAAAGGCGCAGCAUGAAGUUACAUGGCUUUAUGUCACGAGUACCAGACUUCUGAAGUGUUUAAUGAAAAGCAAAAAUGCCACCAUAACAAUCAAGGCCAGAUGAAAUUCCUCAUCUCAAUAAGUUGAUGAAGUGUUAAAAUUCCCCUGGAUUCAGUUAUUACCAGAAGAUUAUUGAUUAAAUGCACAGCCAGUUGAAACUCCAGACCUUUAUGCACAGCCAGAUCCCGCACUUUGGGUUUAGUUUAGUUAGAACCUGGAGAUGUGGAAAAUGAGGACUAGCUACCAGGACAGCAGGUUUCUCCCCCAGUUACUCCUCUAUCCAGGAGGCCCCAGGCCUUAGCCAGUAGGGAGUUGAACCACCUUUUUAGUUCUUCCCAGAACCACAUCCUCUGAGGCUAACAGCUUUCAUGACACCUUCAAUUCCUGCCAGUGGUGAGUGGGUCAUUUCUGGGAAUGCUGCUUUGGGGGUGGCUCUCAGGAUCCCUAAGUGGCACCCACUUCGUGUCCACAGGAGGUAUGGGUUUUAUUGGCUGUGAUGCCAAAGAGGUCCUUACCUGCAGGGACCAGCCUGGGUGGCAGCCAACCAAGCUUCCUUGGCAUGUUUUCCAGUCCUGGAGAGAAAGGCUGCAGUUGAGUCUCCGUAGCUUUACCCACUUCUGCUGAGGUGCUUCUUUGUCUCAAGUGAUUCCUGUGCCUGGGACAGAGACCACACAGCCAUUUCAUAGAUGUCACAUGCUCUCAGGUGUGGCCCAAAUGGUCACCUCAGUGUCCAAGAUUUUAUGAACUUGGCUUUCAGGAAGGCCACAUGAUGUACAGGUAAUGAGCUUGGCCUCUAGAGCCAGACUUCUGCAUUUGAAUCCUGGCUUGGCUGCUUGCUAGAGCACAUACCCUUCAAGAAUAUUUUCUUCUCCAUGCCUGUUUCCUCAUCUGUAAAAGGGGGAUAAUAAUAGUACCUGCCUCAAAGCUGUUGUGAGGAUAAAGUGCUUAGCACACAGUAAGCAGUUGGUAAGUGUUAAUUGCUGUAAUUACUAUGUAUUAUGUGGGUAGGUUGGCCUGAUGGUGAUUUGCAAAUUUAAGAAAGGGUUUCAAGCUUCUCCCUAAACAGCCAUCCUUGAUAUUUUCUCCCUUUUCUUUCUUUCUUUUUUUUCUUUUUUAAGUAUCUACUCUUUUUGUCUUUUCCUUUGCUCACCCACCAAUCACCUGCCUGAGAUUAAAGAAUGUGCAGUUGGAAUCAGAAACCAAGGGUUUUGGCCUAACUCUUACUGCCUUGUGAGCUUAAACAAGUCACUGAACCUCUGACCAGAAGUGGAGAAUUUGGGGUGACAGGGCUGCCAGGUAUCUCGUAAAGCUGGAGUAACUGUGCAUCCUGUGACCCUGGGAUAAUGAAACAGAGCACAUAUUGGGACUACCUGGUGAUUCUCAACUGGAAGCUAAGACUUACCUGAUUGUAUCUGUGAAUCAAAAAGCAGGUGAUUUUUACCCUCUCUCCCUCCUUCCCUCCCUUACAGCGAGAUGUGUAGUAGGAAAAGCACCCGAGUAGGAAUCAGGAGACUUGGGUUCUAUUAAGUGAGGUACUUACUAUGUGUACAGUAGCCAGCACAGAGUAAGAGCCAAAAGGAUCGAACUUUUCUACUGCUGAUUCCACUGUAUUGGGCAGCCCAGGGGGUUCAUUCCCAUUGUAUUCAGUGUCCCUGCGUUACUGGAGUUGUGUAGUGAGCAGGACUGUACUAUUUUAUACAGUAGUCCUGGCUUGACCUACCCAUUCCCUGGUGACCUCUGUUUCUCGGCUUCCAGUCUGUAAAAUUAAAAUAAGGAACUAAAAUAAGCUACUAAAUAUACUUUAGGUUUCUUAGAGCUUAAACAUAAUAAAAAGGCAUAUACUUAGAUACACACUUUCUCCUAUCACCAGGUUCAUUUUCUUCAUAGUACUUGAUGCUGCCUUUUCAGAUUUUGCUUGUCUUUUUUUUUUUUUUUUUUUUUUUUUUUUUUUUACAUAUUCAUUGUUUCCAAUACCCACCCCCUGCUGCCUGACGCCACUUCCAGAGCCCCAGAAAGUAAGCUGCGAGAAUUAGAGACCUUAUCUGUGUGUUGGUCAUUGGUGCUAGAAUAGUGCUUGAAACAUUUUAGGUGCUUAAUAAAUACACACAUAUGCACACGGGCAUGUAUAACUCUGCAUGUGAUGUAGCCACUUAAUUUGUCUACAAACACUUAGAUAGUUGGUUGAUUAUUCUUCCGCUUACCUACUCCCCACAAGAAAAUAUAUACCACAUUUUAUUAGGAGAUUAAAUGAAUGGAAUUAAGAAUGGUUUUACUGGCUGUCUUAAAACUUAACCAAAGUAGCAGUGCCAGGGUUCUCACUUUGUGUGUGCACAUAGUGUCAAGGGGCAGUAACUUGUGAAAUCAGAGGAAGCCUGCAGAUUUUUGGGCUGAGGAAUCUUGACUGUGAUGAUGAUGUGCCACAUAUCCGCAGUGUAAGUUGGAAUCCACUUUGUUCUGUUUAUAUACAUAGUGGAGAUGGUUGGCAGGAAGCAAACCAUAACCCUUGGAAUUCUGCUCACACAUGCUAUUGAAAUUUCAUAUUACUUUUAUUAUUUGGCCACAAAAAUGGACAUAAUCCUUGUUGGCUUUAACACACCUACUAGUACUGCUUUCGCUAUCCAUCUUGCAAAAUAUAAGACAAGGCCAGGCUUAAAUUAAAAUCCUCGGCUUCUUAUCUCUUUCCCACAGGAAAGCAAAUCUGUGUUGAAAACCGUAAAAUUAAGAGGAGAGCAAGGAUAGCAUAAUUUAGCAAAAAUUCAUGGCACCAGAUUCUGAGCUAUAUGACUGGAGGGAUAGGUCAGACAUUAAGAAGAUGCUGCCUGCUAAUGCAAGUUCCUUAAGGUGGUGCUCUGGAAAGAAAGAAUAUAUCCAGAAGAUUUCCACAGUGUUUACUCUUUAUAAGUACCCUAAGAAAAUAUCUUUGUAGAUUGUUUGGCAAUUAUGCUUAUUUAUGAGACUUUUAAAAUGAAACUGAAAGCCAUUAUUCUAAAGUAUAUUUGAAAUCUAUCGAUUUUAACAUUUGGGCGUUGAGAUUUGUGUUUCCAUUUUCAAAAGAGUUCAUAAUAAACUCCUCCUAUCCUCACAUCUACCCACCCCCACUUCUAGCAUUCUAAAUUCCAUGUAUUUAAGAAGCUUAUUCUGUUAUUUGGAAAACUGUGUCAUUAACACUCGAAAAGCAUUAGAAGAUUUGUUUAACCUUUUACACAUUUAUAUGCAUAGAUGUUUGUGCUGAGGUGUGUAGAGAAAAAUUGUGUGGCUAUGAUAAUGGCACUCUAUUUAAUAUACGCCAAAAAAGCUAUAUGAGCUAUGCAAGUUUUGCCAUUAAAGAAGAGCUGAUAAUUAUAAAAUAGGGAAAAUCUAGUAUGGAAAUUAUAUCAUUUUCCAAAAAAAGUGUGAUUUUUUUUUCCUUUUUUUUCCCCCCCCCGUAAGUUUCUUUUGGAUGGAGGUUGUAAUGAUAGGGUAUAAGAAGAAUUACUAAUUUUUCUUAUAAGAUAGGGUAUAAGAAUUCUAAUUUUUCUAAGGGGAGUCCUUCUCAUUGGAGCCACAUAUUUUUUAUGGCUAAUUUGUAAAAAAUAUUAAGUUCAAAAUUAGUGUAUGUCGUAGGUACAGCCACCAUACACAAGUGUGUUUUGGGGGCCCUCUUUAACCAUUCAGAUAUGGACUUACAUUUUAAGCAGUUCACAUUGUGCAGUUUUAGGCACUUCCUCAAAUUUUUAAAAAAUAUGAAUAUUUGCUUCAGGAGAAAACUGAUUUCACAUGCAUUUUAGUCAAUAAUAUAGUAAGAUCUUACUAAUUCAAACUAAUUAUGAUGAAGACAUGUCUGAACUAGUGAAUUGAGCAUAAUGAUAUGCUCAAUUUUCUCUUAAAUUCAUGUUACCCAUUACUAUAGUGUUUUUAAGUAGAGAUUUUCCUGCAACUGCUUUAAUUAUUAGAUUAGUUUAAAAUCAGAAACAAACACCUUUAACAGGUAUAUAAUUGUGUUGAGUCCCUUUUUCUUUGGUGAAGGGUUUAUUGAGUCUCUUUAAAAUGAUUCCCCUAGAGAAGUUGUUAAUGGGUAUAAAAAUACGGUUAGAUAGAAGGAAUAAGUUGUAGUAUGUACAGUAGAGAAACUGUAGCUAACAAUAGAUUAUUUAAUAGCUAGAAGGGAAGAAUUUUAAUGUUCACAACACAAAGGAAAGAUAAUGUUUGAGGUGAUGGAUAUCCCAGUUAUCCUAACUUGAUCAUUCCACCUUUUAUACAGGUAUCAGAAUAUCACAUAUACCACAAAAUUUCUACAGCUAUGCCAUAUCAAUAAAAAAUAAAUAAUAAAUAAAUAAGUGAUUUUACUAAUUAGGUUAAACCUACUUAAGUCUUCUUUAUAUUUUUUAAUUACUUAGUAAGCACUUUUGGGUUGGGGGGAACAACCUUAACUUUGUAACCAAAGUAAUCACAGAUUUCAAAUUGAUGAAGUCCAAUUAGAUAACUUGAAUUAAAAAGUGUGACUGUUGACUUCCAAAUUAAAUAAUAAAAUGUCUGUAAACAAGUAUAAGACAUAUAAAGUGUGUUAAAAUAUACAAUUUUAACAAUUAAAAAUAUUAUUAAAGCAGUAUUUCAGCUGGACACGGUGGCUCAUGCCUAUAAUCCCAGCACUUUGGGAGGCCAAAGUGGGCAGAUCACAAAGUCAGGAGUUCAAAACCAGCCUGGCCAAUAUAGUGAAACCCUGUCUUUACUAAAAAUACAAAAAAAAUUAGCUGAAUGUGGUGGCGGGUGCCUGUAGUCCUACUUGGGAGGCUGAGGCAGGAGAAUCACUUGAACCCGGAAGGUGGAGGUUGCAGUGAGCCAAGAUCACACCACUGCACUCCAGCCUGGGCGACACAGUGAAACUCCAUCUCAAAAAAAAAAGACAGUAUUUCAUAUUAUGCAGUUCAACUCAAGAUUGGAAAUUCCUUUUUAUCAAUUAAUGUUUAUGGAAACUAGAGAAGCAGAAGAUGAACUGAGGAGGGCCAAAGCAUAAUGGCUAGUCUUGUUUGAUUGACAAAGCUAUAAAACUCGAAAGAAUGGUGUACCAUGGUUCUUAAAGAUGUACAACAUAGAGUUAUGAACUCUGUAAGCUGAGGGGAUAUCAGUAUAGGAAAUUUAUAUUUAUUGGGUUUAAAAAUUUAUCCUUUGAAUUGGCAAUAUUUAUUCAUUUAUUUGCUCAUUGGACAGUUUUUUGCUUUUUGUGCCAGACAUAUGUAGUGAAUACAAAUGUUGUAAAACAUUCAUAAAUUUUGCUGUAAUUCGCUCUUUAUUGACUUAACCUGAGGAAAUAAUCUAAAAGAGAGUAUAAAUAUAUAUGUACAGAAAUUCAUGCCAUAUGGAAGAGUAGUGAUCAACCUAAAUCCCUGAAGAGUCACUGGUGAAAUAACUGAUAACUCAUGAAUAUCAGUGACAUAUUCAUAUAUUUGAGAAGUAUUUACCAUGGAAAAAUUCAGAAAAAUUCUAAAAGAGACAUUUCCACCUGUCCAGGUCUGAAGGUGAUUCUUGGGUUAUGUUGAUGACUGGUUACUGCUGCUGUGUGAAUUUUUUUCUUUGGGAGAAAAGACUGGAGCUGGGCAUCCAUAUUAACUAUUGACCUUGUGGUUACUUUGCAGUCAAAUAAAGUGCCCGUGGUGCAGCCAUCCCAUGCGGUCCAUCCUCUCACCCCCCUCAUCACUUACAGUGACGAGCACUUUUCUCCAGGAUCACACCCGUCACACAUCCCAUCAGAUGUCAACUCCAAACAAGGUGAGAGUCCCUGUCUUUCCAGGCCCUUUUUUUUUGCCAAAUGAAGAGCCAAAUCUCAUCAGCCUGAGUGACCUUCCAGAUGCCAGUGCUCCAUGUCACUGGGUGGAUCAGAAUGUGUUUUUACAAGACAAGAGUAAUUCAUUUGAUAGCAAUUCUUUGGAAACACACAAGAAUCUGUUACAUUUAUUAUGCAUUAUUAAAAAGCAGAAGAAAAGCAUAGCAGGGCCACAAUGAAUGAAAAUCUUUCAUUCACAAUGUAAACCAAUAGAUUGUGCAAAUAUACUAAAAAGUCAGUACUCUACAAUAUUCAUUUAUUUCAGCAUGUACAAGAUAUUGAUGCUGGUAAUUUUAAAAUAGGAAUGGGGAAAGUAGGAGAUUUAUUCUUUUGAAUCUCUUUUGGUUAUUCCAUUAUAUCCCUAUGGUGUUUCAUCUUUUGUUAUUUACCAGCACUAGGUUACAUAUUCUACAUAAUCAUUGAUGUAUAAAACCUCUAUUUAAAGUCCAAGAAUCGUGAAUCUUAUUUUACGCCUCUGCAUUAAUAUUUGCUUCUACUUUGUUUAUAGAAAAAAUAUAUAGUGCAAGAGGUCUGAAAAAUUAAAACAUCCUGUUUCUGCCUGAUGUGUACGGGUACGAGUUGGGAGUAGGACAGAGAGCUCUGGUGCACCAAGCCUUCUGGUCCCAUCACUCAGGGCGCAAACCUCAAGGAUGGAUUUGCUCUCAGGGUGGCUCGUUCCUCUUUGCAUGCACAUGCGCACUUGGACUUCAACAGGGUCUUUGAAAGUUCAAAAUAAAAGAUUUUAAAAAAUGUGAAGGCAGAGAACGUAAAGGGGUAAAAUUUGCCACUGCCUACAUUUUACCCCUUUGUCCAUCCCUUUCUGGGACUUACAAUGGACAACAAAAUUUAAUGACUGUGUGAAAAAGAGUGGCAUAGAGGCUGGGUGUUCUUUCCACUACUGGUGAACACUUCUAGGUUAAAUACUUAACGCUUUCAUUUCCCUUCCUUGUUAAAACAGAAUGCUUAUUUAAAGACUUAGUUACUAGUGCACUAGACUUGAAUAGAGUCUGAGUACUUUGAAAAGUUGAGAAUCACCGAUGCAGACAUUUCUAGGUUUGCUUCUGUUUUAUUUUUUAAUCCUCUGUCCUUCCUCCACCCUGCUUCCUUUAAUCAAGAGCCUCCAACAAAUUAGGAAUGUUCAAGAGUCAGGUCUAUGGCUGUAUAGUGAGAAAGGGAAUUAAGAUAGGGGUCUCAGGAAGCAGGCUGAGUUUGAGAGGGAGGACCAGUCUUGGUCGUGGUGAAUUUGAAGUGUCUGUGAGAUACCCAAGGGGAGACAGGAGGUAGGCCACUGAAACCUGUGGGUCACAAUCUCAGACCAGCAUCCGAGCAGGAGGUGCACAUCUGGGAACCUAUUUAGUUGUUAAUUAUUUCUUUAUUUAACAAUUAAAUAGUGCUUACCCUGUCCUAGGUCCUAUUUGAAACUCUUCGAAACAUUAACUCUUUAAAAAGAAUAAGAAAUCAAUCAUAGUUCAGUAGUUUUUCUCUCAAGAAUAAUAGGACAGUUCAAUUUUUUAAUAGUUAAGUUUAUAACUGGCUCUCAGUUACGCUUAUAGUUUCUCUUCUGUUUCCAUCUCCUACUGCCACCCUACCUUGUUUUGCAUAAUUGUUAAGUUAUAUCAUUGCUUCUCAAACUUUUUUUAAAAAAAAACUCUCCAAAACUACCGAGAAGGGACUAAUGGUCAUCACCAGAAGUUGUCUGCUUGCAGUUUCUUCGGUCUUUAUUUUGUUCUAAAGAUUGAUGUGAUUUUUGUAUUCUGGUCCAGACACUAUUUGUGCUUGUUUUAAAAAAAGAUCCUGUUUUAUCCCAGGCCUUGUGUUCCUUAUCAUCGUGUACUUCUGGAGAUAUAUAAACUCCAAUUUGAAAAAAGCACUCACUUCCAUGAUACUGAGUUUGUAUCAUUCCAGUUGGGCACUUUUGUUGCGAAGAAAAUAAGCUUACUAGAUCUCUUCCUUUUAAUUCUUUUUCUCUCCUGCCUUAGGGCAUGAUGGUACUGAGGCCAGAGCUGCUGGUUUCAAAGAUCCUAAUAGACUAGUUAGCUGUAUCUUCCCCCAACCCCUCCGCCUCAGCCAGAAAAAAACAACCGAAGAUCAUCAUAUUCACACUUUAACCCUAGAUAGAACUAUUCCAUAAAUAUAAAAUGUUUGCCAGCAGAGCUCAUUCUCAUUUGUGGAAAAACAACUCCAGGUUAAUUUCCUAUUAGGGAGCACAUUAGUUUUCACGUGUGUGUGUGUGUGUGUGUAAGUGUGUGUGUGUAAGGGACAGUACAUUAAUGUCAAUUUUCUCAUUAUGUGUCUGGUAAAAAUAUCAAAAGGAAAGCGCUUUUAGGAAAUCCUAGGUUUAGAUGUCUGUUUUUAUCUAUGUGUUACCCAUUUUAUCCUUACAGAUGACAACAAAUACUUAUACUUUUGCUCCAGGCAUUUUCCGUAGUACAUAUAUUAAUGCAUUUAUUCUUCACAACAGUCCUAUUCUUAUUUUAUAAAACAGUAGCAAUUACAUAACUUCCUCAAAAAUGCAUAGCUAGUGAGCUGUAUAUCCAUAUAGUCUGACUCCAGUAUUAUUUCACCUAUGUCUAUAGAAGUUACCUAUACAAGUUUAAAAAUCUUAAAGGCUACGCUCAGUAUAUCCUCCAGCACAUAGUAAGUGUUCAAUAAAUACUAGUUGAAUAAAUGAUGUGAAAUGUGCUGGGCACAAUGUGGUUCAUGCCUGUAAUCCCAGCUACUCAGGAGGCUGACGCAAGGAUCGCUUGAGGCCACGAGUUUGAGGCCAGCCUGGGCAACAGAGUGAGACCCCCUCAGCUCUAAAAAAAUUAAAUAAAUAAAAAAUAAACUUAAAAAAAAAUGAUGUGAAAUGUGUCUUCAGUGGCAUAGUAGUUGGUGGAGAGACACACACUUCUGAGAAUCUUUGGAAAUAGGAUUUUUAAAGGACAGUGACCUAUUUAGAAUACUCAGAUCCACUUUCUGCUCACAUAAUGACCUAAGCCACAUCAUGUAUUUGCAUGUACAUGCCAAGUGGUUGAUAAUAUUGACCCAGCAUAUGGAAUGGGUCUGUUUUAACACUUCUGACUUCACUUGUUUGUUUGUUCAAUUGGUCAGAAAUAUUAACUAAGAGGCUCCUCUGCAGAAAACCAUGGUUAGAUACAUAAAUUGGUAAAAUGUGAUCUUUUUCUCCAAGCAGUAUAUAAGCUCAUGCAGGAAAUCAUUUGCACAGACUAACUAUAAAACAAAAUGAAGAGCAUCCCAAGUACCACAUUAAAAGUACAAAUAAAAAAACUUGUAGAUUCAAAGGAGAAAGAUUUCUCAGAGCUGUAAGUUAGAGAAAAUUGCCUAUGAGAGGAACAUUUGAAAGAAGAGUAGAAUUUCUAUAGAGUCAAACGCCUAGCAUAGGACCUGUCCUCUAGUUCCUUCCUUCUUCCUUCUAGCAGAAGAGUGACAUCCAACUAGUUGGUAUUUUUUGUUCUGUUGAAUCACUUCUGAACAGUAUCACUACUGCUGUGUUCUAAGCAUGCUUAGAACAUGGAGUAGUACGGAGAGUAAGAGUUUAAGCUUAAAGACAUGUGACUGCAAGCAAGUUACCUCUCCAUGUCCCAGUGACAAAAGUUCAGGACAGAAAACAGAUGCCUUAACAGUCACUUGGUCCCUCUAGACCUCAAUUUCCACACCUGUGAAAUAGAGGAAUUAAAGUAGAUAAUUCAGGGCUGUGGUUCAUGCCUGUAAUCCCAGCACUUUGGGAGGACGAGGCGGGCGGAUCACCUGAGGUCAGGAGUUCAAGAUCAGCCUGGCCAACAUGGCGAAGCCCUGUCUCUACUAAAAAUAUAAAAUUGGGCAUGGUGGCACGCGCCUAUAUACCUGGCUACUCAGGAGGCUGAGGCUGGAGAAUCGCUUGAACCCGGAAGGCAGAGGUUGUGGUGAGCUGAAAUUGUGCCACUGCACUCCAGCCUGGGUGACAGAGGGAGACUGUCUCAAAAAUAAAACAAAAUAAAAUAAAAUAAAAUAGAUAAUUCAGAUAGUCUGUGACCGCUACGAUUUUCAAGUUAAUAGAAUAAAACAUUGAAAUUUUCACUACAUUUCUGAUGUUUUUCAGGGUUGGUCAAAUUGUAUUGCUUUUAUUUUAUUUUGUUUAUCCCCGCGACUGAGCCAUCCCCUUACAGACCGUGAGAUUUGGGGAGGUAUCUGGAUCUCAGAGUUAAGGGGGCAGCAAGUUGAAAAACCUCCUCAAUGAUUCUGAUAUGUUAAGAAUCACCACUGCAAACUCCCCCACCCCAAAAAAAUCCUAGGGUAAAAAAUUUAUGUUCUGCUGUAACCAAAAGAGUCAGUAUUUCUAACAAAAACAAUUUUUUUGAAUAAAGGAGAUUUGAAACCAUUAUUUUAAAAACAGCAAAACAUGAGAUGAUUUAAGGUAAGCCCUCUGUUGAGAAAUUAAAGAACUUUUUUCUUUCCCACCUACUUUCUGUAAGAAUUGAGAAAUAGUUCGUUCUAACUUCAAAGUUGAAUUAACACCAACUUUCAAGACAGCACUUCUUGUCAUUCCCAAUGUGAAGGCUUUCAGUAUCUUUAAGAUACAAAUGAAAUUCCUAGGCACUUUAAAUAGUAAAAAGCAGAAUAUUUAAGAAACAUCUUCCAUGUACUCAUCUAAUUCCACAUAUUAGCCAGUAUAUAAUAUUUACAGUCACUAAACGUAUAAUCUGGGUGUUAAACCUUGGAAUAUGUGCUUGUAUAUGGAAGUGGUCUUUUAAAGCCAUCAUUAGCUAUGUGAAGACACAUCUGUGGCUUUUUUUCUAUUCUGAAUCACUUUCCCCCAAACACAUUGAAUCUAAGUUGUUAUAUUUUACAUUUUAUGCAUUUGUCUUGUCAUUUUUUUCUUCUGUACCUAGGGUAAGGUAUAAAGGGAUGUCACUUGGGACUGGGAUUACAUAUAAUCUUUAGGUGGUUUUCACAGUUACAGGGCAGUGUACUCCAGGGACUGUGAGCUCAAGAAACAAUUUGGUGGCACUUUCAUUUUCUGUGGAAUUCAGCUAAUCCAGAACAGCUUGACCUUGCAGCCCAGAGGACUCAACUUGAUGAAGAGCUUAGACAGAGACCAAAUGAAUCAUAUCAAAUGUGACCAUUAUGGGGCUGAAGAUGAUUCCUAAUUAAUCUUUGAUCCUCUGAGGUGUCACAUUUCCCAAAUCUAUAUGUCCAUAAGGGAACCAAUGAAAAUAUGAAAAUGGCAAUUUACCUAAUCCUUGAACUUUGUGGCAAGCCAUCUACUUACGAAGGGCUGUCAUUUUCCAUUCUACAAAAAAACAUUCUCAUUCUAUAUAAAACAAUUGUCUACCAUUUUCUUAAAUAAUGUGAAAUAUUGAGGGCAAAACAAAUAAUUUAAAAGUCUAUUUUGAUGAUUGUAUUACUAGCAGCAUCUUUACUCCUGUAGGAGUUCCUUAAGAUAAUACUCUCUGAAGGCCCAGUUUUCCCAGAUGUUGAAAUCUUGAGAAAAGCUAACAAAUGGACUCCUGUUCCUUGGAUCUGGUGAAUAAAUAUUGUUUCAUUCUGAACCUUAAGUAUGAAUGGUAUAAAACAUGUAGUUGCAUUUCUGGUUAAAUAUCCUGUGAAUCUGUAAAUGAUACCUCUCUGUUCUGUUUAACAGGCAUGUCCAGACAUCCUCCAGCUCCUGAUAUCCCUACUUUUUAUCCCUUGUCUCCGGGUGGUGUUGGACAGAUCACCCCACCUCUUGGCUGGUAAGAACCUUGCUGCACCCUUCAGCCAGGCAUUUGAACACAUGUUCCUCCACUUUCCAUUCAUGGAAAUUAGAUUUAUGAAUGGUAACACUUGUGGAGUUGAAGAAAUUUCACAUCAACAAGCAAGGUGCUAACUUUAUUCAUUUCAAUUUAAAAGAUUAAAAAACAUACAGACUUUGAAAUGGAUUGAUCCGUUUGCUAAUAUGGGUAGAAAAUGACUGUAGCAUUUGCUUUGAAGCUUAUAGUUUUAUGGAUUCCCUUUGUGGCUUUGGGCAUUUGCUAUGCCUGUACAAAGUUAGUGCUCAGUGUGGUUCUUCUUUUCUAGGUUUUUUAAUGAACAACUUAUAUUUUUCAAAAAUGAAUUUAGACGCAUUGAAUAUCUACCUUUACUUGUAAGUGGGCAAGUGAGGUAAAUGACAAAAAUAAC